rnacentral:lncRNA from 1 species
GUGAAAAUCUGGAAACUUGCGACCCGAGCCGUUGGAUCUUUAAUUGAUAGCACAGAUGAGAGGUGGGUUUGCUAACCAGCCACUUAUGGCUAUCUUUCAUAUAACCCCCUGUCCUACACACGAAGUCUUAGAUCUCACCUUAUCCAUUGUCGCCUCCCCACGCCCCACUGCGAGGACCAUGGCGCUGCUGCCGUCCACCACCGCGACGGCCGACGACGGGGCCUCCCCUACCGCUACGACCUACAGCAGAGCCAAGACGUUCCCCACCGCGACGACAGACGACGGAUCCAUCUCUCGCUGCGACGACCUACUACGCAGCUGUCCCCCAUGACGGCGCCGCCGGGCGGAUGCUACGGAGGUAUCCGGCGAUAGCCGGCGGGGCUACCAACGGCGCUGAUGUAGGCGUCCACCUCGCCGAAGAUCUCCUGUGCGAGGAAGGCUCCCGCAAGGCACGCUGCCGACGGGGCAGGCGGUGGAAUGUGAUGUUGGUCGUUUGAAGCUUGAUUCUACAGUGCCUCCUUACAGCAGAUUUGUUGUGCGUGCUUGUCAUGUAGAGAUGAAAUUUCUGAAUGCAAUUUUGAUCUUGUGAGGUGUUAUCACUCAACGUGAAAGCAUUGUUGAUUCUCUUUAUUUAGACUGAACGGUGCUCCAACGAUGUAAUCUGAGAAUUUGUAAAGACAAAUUUUUCUGAAUACAAGCAAGUGUAUGUCGGAUGAAAGUUUACACAUAAUUCAGUCCAAGGGUGUAUCUUGGGCGAGCAGGAGUCAUAGCAGUGUGCAGCUUAGUCGCGGACAGCACGGCAGCUAAUCUGAUAAAAUGUGAACUGAUAUACAGAAUUUGUCUGAAUGCCAUAUUGAUGUACAGAAUUUUGUGAUGUAAUCUGAUUGAGUGUGAACUGAUAUAGUCGGUCUAUGUAAUCUGUCCAUGGAUGUUGCUGUCAAAUGUUAUCACUGACUAUCCAUAUGAACUUUGAGUGCUGUUUAUACUUAACUAAUGGAGUGAAUCAGUUCAUUUUGCCAAUAAUUUUUUACAAGAGCUCUUAUGGACAGAAGUUCAUCUUGCCAAUACUUUUGACAAGAAGCAUGAAUUUUCAUGCAAUUGGCAGAAAUUAAACAAAAGGACAAAAACAAAUGAGACGGCAAGAUAUCAUGCCACCUGACUACAACUAGUUACUACUCCCUCUGUUCCCAAAUAUUUGUCUUUCUAGACAUUUCAAAUGCUUACAACAUACGGAUGUAUGUAGACAUAUUUUAGAGUGUAGGUUCACUCAUUUUGCUUCGUAUGUAGUCACUUGUUGAAAUCUCUAGAAAGACAAAUAUUUAGGAACGGAGGGAGUAUCAUGCAGCAGACAACAAACUUAGUCGAGUAUCCGAAGCAAUUAAUUGGAGGCAACAUAAUAGUAGUACAAUCAGUACUAAAUAUUUUAAGUUUCAUCACCAAUAGUAACAUCCAGAAUCGAUAUGCUAAGUACGGCCAGAAUCGAUAUGAUAGGUACGGCAUUGACUUAAUUAACUACAAGGUUGAGGCUACAUAACUAGAUGAUUCUCAGAAGUACAAAAUUCAGAGAAGAAAAUAUUGAGGCUUCGACUUCAAUCUUGUACCGCCCAAAAUAAAAACAUGUGGUUGCCUCGAAUCGAAAUAAAGGAACCUGCAGAUAAACAUAAAAAAAACAGUCAGAAUGAACAUACAAAUUAUGAAAUAAUAUAGCUAUUUUGUGUGUAUGAUAACUACCUUUAUUAUUGUUGAUUCUUUUGGGGGCAACUACGACUGUCAUGGAAGCCAACCUGGUUACAUGUCCUGCAGGUGCGAGGCUUUUUCGGUCCUCCCACAUUUUUCUUCCCCUCUCCAUUCUUAUUUCUCUUCCCUUCUCCAUCCCCUUUUUAAUUUGGGAACUCAUCCCAUAUUUUUUGUUUUUGGAAUUUACCCUACUGCUCUCAAGUAGGAUUUACAAGUCCAGUUUACAUAUUCUACUGCCGGCAACUGAUGUACAUGCUACAGUACACCGACGAAGAUGCAAACAAGAAAGACCAAACCAGAUACUUCAAAAGUACAACUGAAGAAAGACAACUGUGACAUUCAGGUUAACAUGAUUCAGGUAGUGCUUGUUCUACCAUCAGGUGGAGGGAUAUGAGGAUGUUGUGGCAAUAAGACCGACCCCAUAUUAGUACAAUCAGUAACCGAAGCAGCUGUUGCUUACCUGUGCAGGGCUAAGACGAGGUUGAGGCAUGGCACAGUACGAGGAGGAGCGAGGUCCUGGAGAGGCGGCACCGAUGCGUCGACAGGGAACAUGGCCGGCGGAGGGAGAUAGUUCACGGCCAGCGGAGGGCCCCUCGUGGCCGGCGGAGGACGCAUCGUGGCUGGCGUGGGGCUCUUCGUGGCCGGCGGAGGGAGUAGUUCACGGUCGACGGAGGGCCCGUCGUGGCCGGCGUAGGGCAAGUCUCCAUUUUGCCGACGAGAUUGAAAGACGAAUCGAUCGUAGUCGAAACGUAAGGACCUGGUGCGUAAAUGAAAGGGUUAUUUGCUAAUUAGUGUUUAAGUGGCUGGUGGGAUACGACCUAAGAUCUAUGCCGCUCUUUAUUGAUCUGAUGACUCACGAGGUGAGUUUCCAGAUUUUCACUGAAUCAGCGUUUUCACUUGAUACUUCGCCAUCAUACAUAUCUGAUAUAGAUAAUUAAUACACACACACACAACCAGCAUCUAGAGACUGGCCUCUGAAAUGUGCAGAGUACUUCCCCGCCGCUCAUUAACAAGCUUUAGAAUUAUUGGUACAUGCUUUAAUGAAGGAAAUAGCCUAAAGCAAAUUGUAAGGUAUCUACGGCAAAAACGAAGCUGUACAUGACUUACAAUAUCCAUCGAUGCAAAAUGGUUGCUAGAACUGAAGCCUGAAGUACAAAAUGCAGAUAAGUUACAUGAUAGAAAUGCAUAAACUUGGACCCUGGACCACUAACUGUCUACCAAGCUAAUUUGCCAUAUAUCAUCCAUGGGUGGAUGGAUCUGAAACAGAACAUGGCACAGCUCAAAGCAGAGGAGAGGAGGGCAGAGGUAGGGGUGGGGCCUGAGAAGAAGUCACCGGGGAAGGAGGGAGGCUCCAUGGGGCCUCUGCGUCGUGGGGAGAAGGAGCUCCAUCUCCAUGGCAGCGGCCUGCCCCACGGAUGUGCGCCACUCCUGUCGUCGUCACUGUCUGCGCCAUGGCGACCUGCAGAAAAAAGAAGACAAGAUGAGGUGAGGAGGAGAGGGUGGGCAAAGAAGGAGGGGAGAGACCAACCUGUGCCGGAUCCGGCCACCUCUCACCUCGCUGUUGCUGGUUGCGGCGGAUCCCGGCGAUUUUUGGGCGCAGCAGAGAGGGAGAGGAGGGGGAUUUUCUCCGAGCGGUGCGAGAUAGACGGAUGGGUCCACUAGUUUACACGCUGAAGAAAUAGCAGUAGCGCGUUUUGCACAUCAGACCCUACAGCUAUGUCUUUAGCAGUAGCGCUGGGCACGCUGCUACUAUGUAUUAAUCUAGGGGUGUGGUGUGGCACAUUUACUAGUAGCGCUGCCAAAAAACCCACGCUGCUGCUAAGUAAUAUUAGCAAGGUAUUUACCCAUAGCGUGGGGUCCUGAACAGCCGCUACUGGUAAACUUCUACGUAUAAGCAUUUUCCUAGUAGUGGGUGACCCAAAUCUCGUUUUUCUUUUCUCAUUCGGGCUUGUCAAUUUGUAAAACUCUCUUAAUUAAUGAAUGCGGCAAAAAAAUCCAUUUGAAAUAGUUUAGGUGAUGGUGAACACAUAGAAGGUGACUGUAUCAUGUCUCGUCACAUUGGCAACGUCCCUUUUUCUGAAGAAAAAGAUAUUCCCUCCGUCCGAAAAUACUUAUUCUAAAAAUAGUUGUAUCUAGACUUGUUUUAGUUAUAGAUACAUCAAUUUUAUCUAUUUCUAGGACAAGUAUUUCUGAAUGGAGGGAGUAUUUGUUUCAGUCAAAGAAAAAUGCACGUAUCCAUAUAGAGUCUAUGUAGAAUUGCAUGCAUCGGGCAGUUCAUCCAAAAUCUCAAGCUGAUGGGGAAAGAUGGGCAAUACAUUUAUACUUCAACAGUCUAAAAUUUUGGUCAGCGUGGGUGGCGAUUUAAGGUAAUUUUAUAUCAGGAGAUUUGAAUUUUGUUAGUUCCACACCUUUAGACUUGUCAAUAUGUAAGAAUUUGGGUCCCCGCAUGUGCAAAGCUUAAUAAUAUUAUUCUGGGAGAUUUAGCUUAUGUUAUUUCCACCUUCAGGCUCGUCAAUUUGUUAAACUUUUAAUUAAUGAAUGUGGCAAAAGAAAUGCCUUCUAAUUUUUUCCCUAUUUUAAAGAUUUCUUCACAAUUCUGAUUUCAGUUGAAGAAAAAAGUGUGCUUCCAUAUUGAGUCUAGAAUUUGGGUCACCGAUGGUGCCAAUUUUCCGUAAUAUUAUUUUGCAAGAUUUAGCAUUUCGUUAUUUCCACCUUUGGCCUUGUCAGUUAAAACUCUUAAUUAGUGAAUGUGUCAAAAAAUGCCUUAUAAAAAAGUUAUCCUAUUUUAAAAAUCUUUCUUCACAAAUCUGGAGAGAAGUCCACAUAACCCCCCGAUGUUUCACAAACGGGCCAAUUUACCCCCUGAGGUCUAAAACCGGGUAUUUAACCCCCUGAGCUUUUCUAAACCAUGUGAAUCAUCCCCUAAUCCCGAUUAGAGUGGUUUUGCAGGCGGUUUUGUUGAUGUGGCAAGGUUGCGGGUACCACGGCAACUCGGCACAGUUCCUCUCUUCCCCUCCCAUCCCUAUGCCAUGGCCGUGUAUAUGGCGUCGCUCACGUCCUCCCGCCCAAACCACUCGUUGAACGGCACAGACCACAGAGGUCCCGUGAGAACAAUGCAGCGUUGAGGUACUUGAUGGAAAGCAGCACCAGCCAGCAGCCGGCUGUAUUUUGGCUUUGAUGCAAUCUCGGCUUGCCAUCGCGUCCCUUGUGCGCCGUAGUUGCCUCAGUGUCGCUCUCGCCGGCCGCGUCUGCUUCUUCCUCCGUCGACAACAACUCACCUGUGCCGCCUGCGGCUUCCAACAGAUGACGACGUCCACUGUUAGAGCUAAUGAUGAUUAGGUUAAGUCCUAUAAGGCUCAGACAUUGCAGCACGUACUUCUUGUGUUUACAUCAGGGCUUGUCCUGGAAUCAGUCCAGUAGGUCUGUACGUGCGUGUUGCAUCCGAAGGACCUCGCGUUGUAGCCGAGAGAAAUUACGUGCGCCUCGCGAGUGACGAUCUGUUUCCUCGCCGCUUCCUGCGCCAGUGACAUGCUCGCCGACGGCCUCGACCGCCCAACCAGUCUGCCUCGGAGAGCUUGAGUACGAGGCACUACCGUACUGGUCACGGACGGCGGUCGGCAAGGCCAGAACUUGCGUCCGUUGGCAGGUUGCUUGUGCAUUGCGGCGCAGCCGCCGCAUCCACGGAGGAGGUGCUCGACGGCGCAGACGGCCACGAACCCCAGCGGGCAUGCUGGCCUCGUGCUGCCUGGCAAUAGAGCAACCCCGGGAAGCUCAUCACCGAUAAGGUCACAGAGUUAGAAGAAUGGAACUCGGUGAGCUGCGUGGCAAUGUCAGGCAUAGAUGCGAUGCGUCCCAGGUGGUGAGACACUCGCUCGUGCUUAGAUGAGAAUGGACGAGGCCGGGUGCAGGUUAAGAACGAGGUGCACCGUGCCACAUCACCAAAACUGCCUGCAAAACCACUCUAAUCAGACUUAGGGGGUGAUUCACAUGGUUUUGGAAAACUUAUGGGGUUAAAUACCCGGUUUUAGACCUCAGGGUGUAAACUAGUCGGUUUGUGAAACCCUGGGGGGUUAUUUGGACUUCUUUCCACAAAUCUGAUUUCAGUGGAAGAAAAAAGCAUGUUUUUCCACUUGUGCGAUCUGUUUGCCCUGUUUGGUUUAGCUUUUAUCGUCAGAUUCCGCUGCCGCGCAGCAGAAUCUGAACCGAAAGGGCGAACCCAGCAGAAUCUGAUUUCAAAAAUUCGCUGCCAAAAUCUGAAUCAAAAGUGAAAGCAGCCCGGGACGUGCUUUUCAAAACUGAUUCCGGUGCGAGCCAAAAUCUGAAAAAGAUGUAUCAGCUGGCUUGCCAAAUGACCUACAUUUUUUUCACAUCAGAUUUUUCACAACUGUUUUUUCACAUUAGAUUUUUCACAGCUACUUUUAAAAAUCCAGAGCCGAACCAAACAAGGCAAAGACGUUUGAUCUAGCUUAUGCAAGCGAUGUGGUACAAUAAAACGUUCAGCAGAACCAGGACUAGGAGAGGAGACCUCCUAUUGAAGCGUGCGUCCAACAGUAGAGCCUUCGCUGAAGCUCACGCAAACGGGCCGGUCCAUUGGCAGCGUCGAACCUAUAAUUCACGAAAAACAAAACGUGCCGAGCGAAGUCGAACUCCCGACCUCUUAUUGCGGAGCACCAGUGGUAACCACUCGGAAUGGUAGAGUAGCGUUGUAAAAUGCAGCGCUAAAGUUUUAAGUACUAGGUACAUUAGCAGAUCCGUCUUUUUUCAGAAAAACAAAUUAACAUUCAAGGGAAAACUGUGAACGAAGUUUCUUUAAAAAAUGCGAAUACUAUUUGAAAAUGUGAACAAAUUUUCAAAUUCAAAGAAAACCUUUAAAAGGGAACAAAAAUUGGAUAACAUGAACAACUUUCUAAGCUCUGAACAAUUUUGUAAUAUACGCUGAACAAUUUAUAAAUACACAUUGAACUUUUUUUAUAUUCGCUGAACAAUUUUAAUUACACGUUGAACAUUUUAAUGAUGUACAUUGAACAAUUUUGAAAUACGUAAUGCACAUUUUUUAAGAUACCCUGAAAAUGUUGUUAAUAUACAAUGAACAUUGUUUUAAUAUACAAUGAACUUUUCGUAUAAUACGGAACAAAAGAAGGAAAAGAAAAAAUAAACAAAAAAGGGGAGAAGAAAGAACCAUACGAAAAAUCGGAGAAAAUAAAACAAAAAAAUGUGAAUGAAACACAAAAGGGAAGAAAAAACAGAAAUAAAAAAGCAAAGAAAAAAUCGGGAAAAAACAACUGAAAACCGUCCAAAAACAGUGAAAAACUGAAAGCAAAAAAACCAUAGAAAAAAAACCCCAAGAAACAAGGAAACAGCAGCGAACCAAAUCCGUACGUGGGCCGGCCCAAGUGGGGACUUGCUUCAGCGAAGGCUCGUCCUCUUGACGCCUGCGGGCGUCAAAUCGGAUCUGCCCUGGGAGAGCAUGUCCGGAGCCCUGCGCGCCACAGUGUAUCAGGCUGUAUCUCGGCCCAACAUCCCCCUACCCACGAGUUUUUUUGGGCCAGGCCCGUCCUGUAAAGCCAUGCCUCGGGCUCCGCCGCUCCGGCUUCAUCGUCGAGUCACCCGUCCUUCGCGGGUUUUUUUUUUUGGAAGUCUCCUUCGCGGUUGAAUCGUAACCUGUGACAUGCAAGAUACCAGACACGUCUCAGUAAUGCGACCGUGUCAUCUUCCUCCGUGUUUCAGCAACUCCUUGCACGACGCACCAAAGACGCUACAGAGCCUUUGCAUAAUUAACCUGGGCACGCAUGGUGGUCCUCAUCAGAAGAAAAUACUCCCUCCAUUUUUAUUUAUUCUGCAUAUUAAAGUUGACUGAAGUCAAACUUCGUAAAGUUUGACCAAGUUUAUAGAAAACAAUAUAGACAUUUAUCAUAAUAAAUCUAUACGAUGUGGAAGUACAUAUAAUAAUAAAUCUAAUAUUAUUGAUUUGUUAUUGUAUAUCUUAAUAUUUUUGUAUAUAAAUUUGGUCAAAGUUUGUAAAGCUUGACUUUGACCAAAGCUAAUAUGCGAAUUAAAUAAAAACGGAGGAAGUACAAGCAUUUUUCGGCAUAUUAAAGGCCCGUAUUUCCCGGCGUCCGUCCGUCCGCAUACGGGGCGGGGCACGCGCCACGGGUGGCUGGACUCCAUAUACUCCCUUCGGUCUUUUUUACUCUGCAUAUAAGGAUUGUCUGAAGUCAAACUUCAUAAAGUUUGACCAUAUUUAUAUGGAAAAAUAUUAACAUCUAUAAUGCUAAACUUAUACAAUAUGAAAAGUAAAGUCAUGACGCAUCUAAUGUUGUUAAUUUCACAUUCUAAAUGUUUGUAUUUUUUCUAUAAACUUCGUCAAAGUUUACGAGGUUUGACUUCAGACAAAUCUUAUAUGCGAACUAAAAAGGACCUGAGGGAGUAUGUCACCACUCAUCACGUCGAACGACCCUGCAUGAUUUCAUAAGGGCGUCUCGGACGUCGACCAUCAAACCGCCUAAUACGUCCGAUCCACGCGUGUUGUGCCAUUGUAUCGGUCCGUAGGGCUGUAUGGAUGCACUUUUUUUCCAUAAAUCGAAGACAAACGUGAGCUUUGUGGGCGUUUGAACAACAACCACGUCUCCUUUUGACCACCCUAACCUAUCCAAAACUAUCCUCCCUCACACGCGUGAAUUCUCGCAUGGCGUCAGCUGCCCGCAUUCAUAUCGUCAUAGAGCGGCCGCUCCACAUUGAAACCGGGCCAGAGCAGAUACGACCUCUCACUGGCUCAACCAUUGACGCGGCGCGCCGGCCGAGGGCACCACCCGCUGCAUGCCCGGCUAAACAAGCCUCCUCGCUGCAUUCAGACGUCUGCAUUAAACCCGCGCAUGUCGAGAAAUCUACUCCGGCCAUACGUCCGUCCAUAAGCGAAUCGGCAUUAACCACAACGUUGGGCAAGCUCCUCCCUCCAGCCGACUAUUUAAGGGAGACCAGACGUCGGGAAAGAACCGCAGCACUCCGCCGCUCCUCAUCUCCUCCCUCCACCAUUUUUUGCACCCUUUUGGUGGCAUCUGACGAGCGGGAAGAGCAGUUCUCCAGCAUAAAAGACGACCGGGUGGAAUGUUGAGUCCGCCGGAUACGAGCCAUGCAACUCGCUGCUCCACCUCCAUCGCCUAGCUCGAUGGAGCAAAUUGCCGCUCCAAGCUGGCGCAUGGUUCAGCACCUCGCCGCUCCAAGCCAGCUCGCGGAGGCUUGCAAGUUUCUCUAGGCAGGCACGUGCGGGAGCAUGGCAGAACGGGCAUCGUGGCUGCCAUGGACGAGGCCACACCAUCCGCCGUCAACAUUGGCUAAACCACGCCCGGUUGGUGGAGAAAGACGCGGAACUCGCCAGGGACUUCAAAAACGAUGUUCACCAACUCUUCUUCCAUUGCAACUCAAAGUUGGUAACGAUCGUAUUUAAUCUUGUAUGCAUCUUCAUGGUGACUCUGGGAAUUUGAUUGGUAGCACGACUUUUGUUUUGUUUUCUACUAAGUUUUUCAGCAGAUGGGACUUCAAGCCGUUCAAUGCUGAUAUUGAAUUUGUAUUGACCACUUUUUGCUCAUUUUACUAUGAUAUGUUUAAAUUUAGCAACAAUAAACAUGUGAAAAAUGGCGUCGACAGUGUGUUAUCUAAGCAUAGGUUAGUGCCAUAAACACUUUUGAAGGAUUCCCCCACAAAAAGAACACUUACGAAGGAUUGGUAUAUCCCUAUGGCUUUGUUAAUGGUAAGCAUUGGUUUGCAAAUAUCAUUUCAUGUUGCAUUUUGUAGUGUUCGGGCCAAUGAUCGCCUAAACAUGUUGUACAUAUUUCUAAGUUUUUGUCUGUUAAUCUAAAAAAGGUGUUUAACAAUUUGUUUUGCUGUUGUCGCUGUCAUGUCUUCUUUGUAUGGUCUUCAUAACUUAACAAUGCAACAGUUUGCAAGACCUCACACUAUGCACACCAGAUUUAUCACAUACCACUGAUAUCCGAGGUGGUGCAAGCGGUGCUGGCAUGUGCGAUAUCAUGUCAUACCAUUGAAGCUAUGUGCUUUAAUUUGUAUCAUGUUUACAUCUUGCUUUCUGUGUCAUCUAUCUUAACUUCGAUUCACAUGAACAAGGUUUUUGCUAGCUAAACAGUUAGUACAUGCUCCACGGCACAAGAUCUUUUUUGUGGUUCUUCCAGAAUGGUAGACAACACAAAUAAAUCAUGAACUAGAAGUUGUAUGAUUUGUUUUCAUCAAGUUUACACAUAUCGCUGCCAUUGUAUAUGACAUGACAUGCCAUACUAGGGUAUUACUACUUAAUUCUGAUAUGCACAGUACUAUCCAAAAACUGAUGAAAGAUGUGCCAGAUAUUGCUUCAUGUUCUUUCUCCAGCUCCAUGCAUUACUUAGUAUGGCUGGAUACUGCAAUAUUUUUCAAGUAUUUGCACCAUUUAAAUUUCAAUAAACAAUCAUAUCUACAUUUUGACACUUUUUUUAUGAUUUUUUUAUUAUUUUAUUGUAUAAAUAGACAUGUGUGCCAACACGCACCACCAACGAUCUAGUAUCACCAUAGGAAUUGGCGCCAAUGUGAACAUUUGGGAUUAUGCGUGGGAAGAGGGCCUGAGGCGUAAGGACAUGGCGCAUUCGAUCUAUGCCGUUUCUGAAAGAAAGCGUUGGACCUUCAGAAAAAUGUCAUACACAAGAAUACUUGGUUUGAUCAUAUUUCGGAAGCAAUAGCUUCACUAUUCAACAUUUGCAGGAUUUUUGCACCCUUUGGUGCCACAUAUUGCAAGUUCGUCUUCAAGAGGAUCAAUUAGACACCAUGGUUAUUGCAAAAAAGAAAACACUCUUACAUUAUGAGACGGAGGGAGUAUUAGUGUUAUUCAUCAAAUAUUAGUGUUACUAAAUAAUUAUUUCAAUUUUUUGAAUUUUGGUCAAAUCUGGUCAAACUAUGGUCAAACUUAUUCAAGAAAUAUUAGUGUUGCUAAAUAAUUACUGUUUUUUAGAACAAUAGUUUCAAACUCAAAUGGUGAAACUAGUGACCUAAUGCUCAAGCUAAACUGCUGGGGGUUAAUAGGAUUGACAGCUUACAUUUGUCAGGAAAACAACAAGUGCAGACUUGGAAAGUAGGGGGAUAGAACUCCAAAGUUAAGUGUGCUCAGGCUGGGGGAGUGAGAGGAUGGGUGACCGGCCGGGAAGUUAGACGAUUUGGAAUGAGUGAUCCAAACUUGAGCAGUUAAGAGGGGUGAUUAGAGACUAAAUCAUCAAAUAAUUCAAUUCAGAAAAUUGAAAAUCGAAAAAAAAAUCCAAAAUUUUCAAAAAGAAAAUUCAAAAAAAACCUUUAGUACCGGUUGAUAACACCAACCGGUACCGGUACUAAAGGUCCCCCAUGCCACGGCGCGAGCUCAAGCCAUGUGGUGGGCCUUUAGUGGCGGUUCGUGCCGAACCGAUANNNNNNNNNNNNNNNNNNNNNNNNNNNNNNNNNNNNNNNNNNNNNNNNNNNNNNNNNNNNNNNNNNNNNNNNNNNNNNNNNNNNNNNNNNNNNNNNNNNNNNNNNNNNNNNNNNNNNNNNNNNNNNNNNNNNNNNNNNNNNNNNNNNNNNNNNNNNNNNNNNNNNNNNNNNNNNNNNNNNNNNNNNNNNNNNNNNNNNNNNNNNNNNCGGUUACAGAACCGGCACUAAAGACCCUUACGAACCGGUUUUAAAACUCUGUUUUCUACUAGUGAAAAUAUCAUACACAAGAAUACUUGGUUUGAUCAUAUUUUGGAAGCAAUAACUUGACUAUUCAACAUUUGCAGGAUUUUUGCACCCUUUGGUGCCACACAUUGCAAGUUCGUCUUCAAGAGGAUCAAUUACACACCAUGGUUAGUGUAAAAAAAAGACUCUUAUAUUAUGGGACGGAGGGAGUAUAUUAGAUGCCAUUUCUUGGAAUGACUCCUUGGCAGCUAGUCCCUUCAUUUUUGUUAGUCCGCAUAUUAGCUUUGUUUUAAGUCAGACUUUGUAAGCUUUGACCAAGUUUACAAAAUAAUAUAUCGUCAUAUACAAUACCAGAUGAACAUCAUUAGAUGUCAAUAUUGGAUAUUUAAAAGAUGGUUAUAUCUGGUCGAAUCCCUUUAUUUUUAUUUACUCUGCAUACUAGUUGUCAAUAUUGGAUGUCAAUAUUGGUUACAUCAUUAGAGGGCACGUAUUCCCUGCGUUUGCAUCCGGGGUGGGGCAGGCGCGACGGGCGGGCUGUCCCGGGCACGUUACACGUACGUACGCGUGAUCUAGGUAGGCCCCUAUCCAUUCAUUCAUUCAUUCCUCCCCAUGUAUGUCAUCACGUCGAGCGACGGUGCAUGAUUUCAGUACACGCGGACCGGCGAGGCCGCGAUUUCAGAUUCGGCGCAUGCACACGCCGGCACGCCCGGCUUUGGUUUGGUCUGGCAGGCCCACUGGCCGGCCACUCGGGGCGCGCAUUCGGCCUUUGCAACCUGGAAUGUUCGCUCUCUUGUACUCGUUCGCCCCACGCCCAGCGCGAGCCGCCAACCCACAGCUGUAGCUUGAACUUGCCUAACAAAAAAAGGCUGUAGCAUAAAACGCUGGGGCCUCGCCUUUUGCCUAUUUUACCCGGGUAGUUCAGAUUCCCGGGCUGGCUGCUAGCUCACCGCACAUGAUGAGAGUGCGCCACUGGCCCCGAGCUUCGUUUGAAUCUGAAUAAUCCGGGGUCCGGGGGCUCCUUUCUUCUCCACCAGGAGCAUCUCCCCUGGACUCCGGUCCUGGUUAAUGGCACCGGCACGCCAUCCGUAACCAAAGCUGCUCAAAUCUAACUAACACGGUGUGCCUUGGCGUGCUUCCAAGUUCCAAGAACCGCCUGUGCAUGCCUCUCUUGCACAUCCCAUCUCAAUGGCGUUUUCUCUUAAAAAACCACAUCUCAACAACUUUUGUUUCAGAACCAGACAAAUCUUAAGAGCCAGUACCAAUUGGUUUGUUUAGGCAGCUAAUAAAGCCUUGACGAUCUGCGUACAGCCGUAAAUUCCUUCACGUGAAUAAUCCACAACCAGUACCACUUGCCCAAGUUGCAGCUGUACUGCCACGGCGGGCGCACAGAGGUUCCUUGGCCAUUAAUUACCUCUCUUCACUGCCGUGCGCCACUGCCCUGCUGCUCCGGUGCAUUUACCUGCCUGCCUGCCUGCCUGGCUGGACGCCUGGACGGGCGCUCGCUGCAUCUGCAUGUGCAGCUGUUACCUACCCCACUGUCUUUACUCGCACUCUGACUCCAUGUUACUCAAGUUGUGUACUCGUACGCGUACGUGCCAGCACAUUUCAGUUGUAUUCUUGCUUGUCUUACCGGAUUGUUCGACCCCUCGUCCGUUUCCACUGCUUCUAUUCCGUCCAUACGCUUCCGAUACGUUCAACCACCACGUACUGCAAUGCACCGGUGAUCAUUUGGCCAGUGACUGAAGAGCAUGUUCAGUACUCUACUGAAUGUUGGUAUCUCAGAACGGGUCUUGGAUGCCCACACAUCUCGACACAUUGCACACGAUGCGACUAGAAGAUUUGACAGCCCGGUUAGUUAACAGACAAGGAGGGUCUGGAGCUCUGGAUCGUGAUCUGGAUCUUGGCGCGAGAUGAUGGAUCUUGAGCUCUCCUUUUUCUCCUGCGGCUGAAAACUCGAUCCGGAUCUCUGAGUUCAGACAUUAACGUGACCUUGAAGAUAAGGGUGGCGCGCAUUUUCAAUGGCAGCGUGGCACAUGCUUGCUGGGACGACGCACUGUUGAGUUCCAACUUGAGUUCAUCUUCUGUUUGUGGUAAACGCCUUUCAUUUUCCGACUAUGACCGAUCGAUCCGCACACGCUCCGUAGGAUAGGCCGUAGCCACUGCCGAGAUGAUGCCGCUACUACUGCUACGAUGAUCUUUGACAUUUGUUCGCGUCCGAUCGCCCGAUCGGGACCUGGGGCAUGGCAGAGCCGGGUAGCGCUGGCUAGCUAGGUAGAGUACUAGUCUUGGCGCAUGCUUCGCUGGAGCGAUAAGAGUAGACUGAUUGAUGGAGCAGGGUUCAUGAGAGGAGGAGGCGGCACAGUUCUUUAGCUGAAAAAGAGUUCAUACACGAGCAUGGGUGUAUGAUGGGCCUCGGUUUGGACUUUGGAGCCGUUGCCAGCGCCUGUAUCUGGACUCACCGGAGGAGCGGCCGCAGUGAUUAGCGCGCACGCUUAAUCGAAAUGGACCACUAAUCUGACUGGGCCACAACACGAUGCUACUCUUAAUCUGAGUAAACUUACUCCAGUUUUGCUAGAAAAAAAAUGUGAGCACCUCUGUUAUCGAUGCUUUGCUGGAGAAAAGAAAAGAAAGACGUGCGCGUGCGCUGGGAAAGAGAAAAACCGAGGAAUACGUCGCGCCUCCCGAGCCUACCACUGUAGUAUAGUGGGAGUAGUAGAUCCCACGCACGGCCACCCCGGGGAAAAUUCAACCAGCGGUAAGGUGGGCCCAUAUCUCUAUUCCUAAUGGAGCAGUUGGUAGUCUCGCUUCCAGGUUUUUUUUCGUCCCACCACUUUCGUCCGGUUAUUUUCCGUAGGUUAACCGUCGUAGAUUUUUUUCGUCGCCUCCCUCACUUCAUCGGUUUAUUUUCACUUCACCCUCUCACACAACGAAAAAAACUGAACGGAUCAAAACUUUCUAUACUGACGCAAAUUAUUUAGUAAUGUCUUUAUGUAAAAGAAUCAAUCACAAUCAAUCUCUAAAGAUCAAAUCUAAAUUAAUUAAUCUUCAUAACGUUUGUUUUCUUCCGAAUCACGUGCAUAACUUUCCUUCCUUGUUUGGGCAGAAACUGUUUGGUAUAGCAGAGAUUAGGAAGCUUCCUAUGAGUGUAGUAAUAGGAAGUAUUUUUUUUCUUGAUGAUUUGUUUCCAUGCAUGAUGAUAAUAAAUUAGGCCAACAUUCACCACUAUUUAUCAACGUCAUCAAUCGUAUCCAUUCCUAUCAGUUUUAAGGGAAUCUGCUCGCUAUGUCUUUUUUAAGGGGAUCCGCUCGCUAAGUCGUCGUCGCACGUUAUUUUCACAAGCAAUUCCCCUAAAAAGGCGUGGGUAUUGGUAGUUGAACGCCCGCUAGGUUUUCCGCAUGUCCCAUCCUCGCGCUGUGCCGCCGCCACCCGCCGAAUUUCCAGCCGCCCGAGCCCGUUAACUUCGCCAACCAUCAGGUCGACUGCCCCCGCCCCAAACCCCCAUCCCUGAGCACUAGCUAUCGCCGCGUUGCCGCCCCAAGCUCCACGCCACCGGGAACGAAUCAAGCGCCGUCCCGACACCGCCGUCGCCGGCCCAGCACCUCCAGCCUUGCAUGGACAGCUUCAAUGUGCAGUCUCCCUUGCUGCCUCACCUUCUGCUAGCGCAUGCAGCGGCGGGGUUGGAUGCGUGCGUGCUUGUUAGCUUGCUCUCCGUGCGUACGUACUUGUUCUGCGUGCGUCGCACCGGCCAAUGCGCAUGAUGCGUGUGUGCCUACUUUUCUGUAUGUGUAUACCAGCGUGAUGCGUGUGUGCGUUGCUGUGUGUGUAUGAUAUAGAUGGCCCGAGUGUGUGCAUGUUGUGCUCUGCUCUCUGCUGAUCUAUGUGUUGGUGCUCCUGCUAUAUGUUCAUGCCAUCAAAUGAAAUUUCUGUUAAUCUUCUGACAUGUUGAGUUGGUUCUCUCUGUCUUCUGAGGGGGUGAAUGCAAAGCAGUCUAUUAAGCCAGACACUAUUGCUGAGCUAAAUUGACAAAAAAAUAUUGGUAGCCAUAGUUGUAGUUUAAGUAGUAGCGAGUUGUCUGAUAUGUAUAAAGAGCCCAUUGCAACUGAGCCCGUUGCUAAAUUGACAAAAAAGGUCGCCAGUGUCACUUGAUAUGUAUGAGAAUAUUAAAUGUAUUAUUAACAUGAUUAAUAUUGAACUCUUAAAGUUAAUGUGGCUCCGUUGCAACGCACGAGGACUCGUGGUCCUGGUGGCGGGGGUCACGCGCGGGCGGUUGGGGGCCAGGGAUCAGCGGCGUGACGGGCAGACGGGCGUGUGAAGGAACGUGGAAGGAACCAGCCGCCCGACAUCCGUCGCGGUCAAAGCGUGCCUGUGCGCGCGUCGUCGCCGGCGUUGGAUUCCCUUUCCCUGGGGUGAAAAUUGGAAAACAGUGAUGGCAAUCAGUAAUCACCAAAAGGAGUACUAGUAACACAGAGAGCUUUUGCAGCAGCAGGGGGCAAUAAAGCCUGGCCCUAUCAUCGUCCGCCAGUGCCAGCGCCCUCUCGUCUCUGCUGUGGUCCGCUGCCCAGAGCCUCACUAUCCCCGGCCUCUCGCCGCACGCAGCGCGGCCGCACCGGCGUCCUCGUCGUCCCGUCGUCCCGUCGUCCGUCACCGCGGUAACUGACUGGUAUGCCGUCAGCCUCCCAUCCCGCUCCCCUGCUUCGCCUCCCUCCGCGUGUUGAUUCGUUGGUUGGUUGGUUGUUUGGUUUCGUCCCCUUCCUCGCCGUCGCCGUCACCGGUGACGCGACGCGCGCGCACGUACCACCACCUACGAGUGUAGGAGUGGAGUGCUCCGCUCUGCGCUGCGCUCCAGGUUUGCCGCCACCACCGACCGACCCUUUUCUUCUCCUCGCGCGCGAGAGAGCGGCUCCAAAACGAGAAUCUGCCUGGGUGGCGCUUGGAUGUGGAUUUGCCAGCGACCCGCGCCCCUUUCCUGCGCUUCUAGUCCGGUCCGGUUGGUACUAGUACUAUUCUACUGCUCCAGUAGGAGUAGAUAGAUAAUGGUGGCUGUUGCCAUCCAUGGCCAUGUUCCAUGGCCUGGCCACUCAUGGAGCAGUGGGGAAUACUCGAGCGAGUCUUCGAUUUGAAUCCGCGAGCGUGGCCGUCCUCCCGCACGCAAGCGCACCAGUAACCAGUCCCGAUCCGUGUCUCCCGGCCGCAUGCGUGCACGCCUCCCCUCCCGCCGGAACUGUAUCUACAUUCUCCGGAUUAAGAUCCAUCCAUGUACUAGUAGCAGCAUUAUUCUACGGUGGUUUCCUGUAUGACCAGUGUGGCGGUUACUAGCACUGCCGUUCGUGCGAGUCCACCAUUUUCUCCUAAUUUAAUUUGGACGCUCCGCCCCGGCGCCCGGCCGGCGGUGGUUAAGCCUUCCCAUUCCACGGCGAAGCAGGGCAAAGAAUUCGCGAUUAUUUCGCCCGUCUAGGUGCCUUGUCCCCUUCGGCCGGGCCGGAGAUCCAGCUGGAGAAAUUCGUCGCCGCCCGGCGGCCGGUGAGGCGGGCCUCUCCCCCGCUUCUCGCGUACUACGUGCGUGCAGUCGCCAAAUGUGGUUGUGGCUGUGUGCGGAGCAUGGACUGCGCUGCGCUUGCGACCAGUCAGAGCGGUGAGUGGGAUCGAGCAUCGACGGAGAAUUAAUAAUUUAGUUAGCUGUGAUCUCGCCCACAGCGACGGCGCAGCGGAUUAAGAUGCCCGUCGACCUCUCGGCUCUUGUGGCGUGGCCCUGGACGUGGUGCCGCCGCACUGCAGCGGUGGCGCGAGAAUUGUGGACGUGGCGUAGUUAGUGGGGAUCGUUUCCGUUUCCAUUUCCCCCUUUCCGUUCAUACUUUAUACUGCUCCGUAUUAUGCUUCCAAAAGGAUUUUUUGUUGUUUACAUUACCCGCCGCCGUCGUCAUCGCAGCUCAUCAAAGCAAAUGAUUUCCUUCCUUCGCUUUCGGUCUCUCCUUUGCUGCCUUGCGAAUCUCGUGUCGGCGGCGGCACUCCCCCGUGAGAGUGCACACUGCUACCGGGCGGCUAUAAGAUGAACCGGGGUUUUCCUUUCCUCUCACACCUCUCCUUCCCAGGGCACCAACCGCUAGACAUUUUUGCCGGUUUCACCUUGCUCUUGCGAGUUCGUGUUCGCGCGCAUGCGGCGGAUUGCUAGCUGCUCCUUCUGAGGUAUACAGACAUACAUACUUGCAGCUGCAGUCAUGUCUGUCGAGUGUACUGUAUGGGCUUUUAGGCGUUCUCUGUCGAAUCAUCAAGGUUUCUGUGGCCGUUGGGGUUUACACAUAUAGCUUGCUGUUUUGCCGGCUGGUUUUCUGCAACUUGCCGAUGAUCAUGCUGGUUUUCAGCAACUUGAGUUUUCGGACAGUGAAAGUGAUAAAAAGAAACCACCACCUGGUUUACUUUAAGUAAAGCAUGCUCCCUUGUGUCUCACUACUUCUCUAUGGUGCCUAGAGCCAGCAGGGGAGCCUUUGAAUGGCCUAGCCUAAUGUUUGGUCUUUACGUGCUUACUUUCAAACACUAGUCUUUCUUUACACUGCUAGGCCGUUGUAUCUUGCUGCUCUAUUAUGAUGGCUAUGGACAACAGAGGAGCCUUUGAGUGGACUAGGCCUAAUGCUUGUCCUUUAACUGUGUUUUCAAACAUCAAUCCUUCCUUGCACUAGCUAGCUCAUCUUUGAUUUUUCCUUGUUGCAUAAGCGUCAUUCAAUGUUUGCUCACAUGAUUACCACACUUUCCCCAGGUCUAUACAUAUAGUCGGCGGUGAUCGAUACCAGACGCAGUGCCAAGAUGGGGAGUCUGCACAAGACCACCUUUGUUCUCCUCAUGUUCUGCUUGGCGGCGUUGGGAAGCGCGGAUUAUCUCAAGUACAAGGAUCCGAAGCAGCCUCUUGGCGUUCGCAUCAAGGAUCUGCUUGGUCGGAUGACCCUCGCUGAAAAGAUCGGCCAGAUGACCCAGAUUGAGAGGGAGAAUGCCACAGCAGAGGCCAUGUCCAAGUACUUCAUAGGUGCCUCUCACGUCCCUUGUGCUAAAUUAACAACUGCAGAUUCUGAAGGGUUGCAGAGCUGUCUGUAAUAACAUUUUGUAUGAUGCAGGUAGCGUACUGAGUGGUGGAGGCAGUGUGCCUUCUCCUCAGGCAUCCGCUGCGGCUUGGCAGUCGAUGGUGAACGAGAUGCAAAAGGGCGCCCUUUCCACCCGCCUAGGUAUUCCGAUGAUCUACGGUAUUGAUGCCGUGCAUGGUCACAACAACGUCUACAAAGCUACCAUCUUCCCACAUAAUGUUGGCCUCGGAGCUACCAGGUAGAAACUGCUCUCUUUUUUAAAUUUUGAUUGAUGUGACAGUGAAAUGUCAUAUAUCCUGUAAUAUGGAUGUCUAUAUUAUAUUAGAUCAACUGUGACACAUAUGUUGAUCUGAAUUAAUAUGUUACUGUCUUCUAGGGACCCUAUGUUGAUAAAGAGGAUAGGAGAAGCAACUGCUCUUGAAGUUAGAGCAACGGGAAUUCCUUACGCUUUUGCUCCGUGUAUUGCGGUAAUAGAUCAUACUUCUUGGAUGGUUGAUACUUUAGUAUGGAUGCCAAAUGUGCCUUGCUAUUGUUCCUAGAAACUCACCCGUUGAUGUUGCUCAGGUGUGUAGAGAUCCAAGAUGGGGACGCUGCUACGAAAGCUACAGCGAAGACCCAAAGGUUGUCCAGUCCAUGACCACACUUAUCUCUGGUCUGCAAGGCGACGUUCCGGCUGGUUCUGAGGGAAGGCCAUACGUUGGUGGAAGGUAAUAUACAUUUGACAGAUAUACUAGUAGGUAACUUGUGUUCUGUGCUUUAAUCUGAAGAGGCGGAAUUAACUUCGUUGUCACUCUUGGUACACUGCAGCAAGAAGGUUGCUGCAUGCGCAAAGCACUAUGUCGGUGACGGUGGUACGUUUAUGGGGAUCAACGAGAAUGAUACAAUCAUCGACGCCCAUGGGCUGAUGACUAUCCAUAUGCCUGCUUAUUACAAUUCUAUCAUCAGAGGUGUCUCCACUGUUAUGACCUCGUACUCUAGCUGGAACGGCAAGAAAAUGCACGCCAACCACUUCCUUGUCACUGAUUUUCUGAAGAACAAGCUCAAAUUCCGGGUCAGUUGCUCAUUAGAAAGGCAGAACAAUUUCACUCUUUGUUUUCUUCAGGCCUAUUUUAAGAUACUGAUGUAAUCAAUUUGGUGGGAUUUCGCGCAAACAGGGUUUCGUGAUUUCAGACUGGCAAGGCAUUGAUCGGAUUACUAGUCCUCCAGGUGUGAACUAUUCUUAUUCAGUUGAGGCCGGAGUUGGUGCCGGUAUUGACAUGGUAAGAUGUGCAAAUUACAUAUACUUCAGCCAACUUCAACUUUUUGGAUAAAACAUGAGUAAAGAUAGGAUGUUUCUUAUCUGAUACACCGUUGACAGUUGUUAUCUCUUCUAGAACUAAUACAAAUAUGCCAUUUUCUUCCAUUCUGACCAUGCUCUGGUAUACACUAUUCUGCAGAUCAUGGUUCCUUUUGCCUACACCGAAUUCAUUGAUGAUCUGACAUACCAAGUAAAGAACAACAUUAUCCCCAUGAGCAGAAUCGAUGAUGCUGUCUACAGGAUUCUUAGGGUGAAGUUCACCAUGGGCCUGUUUGAGAGCCCCUAUGCUGACCCAAGCCUCGUUGGUGAACUCGGGAAGCAGGUUAGUUCUCAACACCACAUUUUCAACACUUCAUUUGUCAGGAUCCAUGAAUUCUUACUAUAAAUUCCGUCCCAUUGUUAGGAACACCGCGAUCUCGCUCGUGAAGCCGUCAGGAAGUCAUUGGUGUUGCUGAAAAAUGGAAAAUCUGCCUCCGCUCCGCUGUUGCCUCUCCCGAAGAAGGCCGGCAAGAUCCUCGUCGCCGGAAGCCACGCCGACGACUUGGGCAACCAGUGCGGAGGAUGGACCAUCACAUGGCAAGGACAGACCGGCAACGACAAAACUGCCGGUAAAUAUUCAUUGCUUGCUUGUAGUACUAAUAUGUGGCAACGUCGUCGGAAAUUGGGCCAAAAGUUGAUGGAAUCAUGUGAUGAAACGCAUGCAGGGACGACGAUCCUUUCGGCGAUCAAGUCCAUCGUCGACCCCAGCACGGAGGUGGUCUUCUCGGAGAACCCGGACAGCGCCGCCGUGGACAGCGGCAAGUACGACUACGCCAUCGUGGUGGUCGGCGAGCCGCCCUACGCCGAGACGUUCGGCGACAACCUCAACCUGACGAUCCCUGCCCCGGGUCCCUCGGUGAUCCAGAGCGUGUGCAAGAGCGUCAGGUGCGUGGUGGUGCUCAUCUCCGGCAGGCCGCUGGUGGUGGAGCCGUACAUCGGCGCCAUGGACGCGUUCGUCGCCGCGUGGCUGCCCGGCUCCGAGGGCCAGGGCGUCACCGACGUGCUGUUCGGCGACUACGGGUUCUCCGGGAAGCUGGCCAGGACGUGGUUCAAGUCGGUGGACCAGCUGCCGAUGAACGUCGGCGACAAGCACUACGACCCGCUGUUCCCCUUCGGGUUUGGCCUCACCACUGAGGCCAACAAGUGAGUCGGCUGAGAUAACUGAGAUGGGAUGUAUCUCGGUUGGGCUGGAGAGAUGGGACACAUACAUACAUUGCGUUUUGUGGUUGAUUUGUUAGCAAUAAAAGAGCGAUGCGUUCUUACAGAUCCGGUGGUGUUACAGCAAGCCGUCCGAUCGCCAUAAUAAUCGUCGUUAUGACAAUUUUAACUGAAAAGACCGCCCUAACAAAGCCGUCAUCCUGUCCUUGGUCGCCAUAAUUUUCAAAGGUGCUUCAAAUCGAGCCCGUGAGCCUCCAUAUUUGACUUAUGUGGGAAAUAUUUGGAGCGCACUCCGUCUAGAAAAUGGCUUGGCGUGAACAACAUUGCUCUUCUGGUCUGCUCUGCCGCCUCCCCUCUAUUGCCGUAGCGUCGUCUUUCACCGCUUUCGGCUGCCCCAGUCCCUGUCGGCGACGGUAUCGACGACACCUUGAGCCUUUCGUCUGAUUUCAUCGUUUUGGACUUAUCUCGCGCCUUCUACGCCUUUGGUGGUUGACGCACCUCCUGCGCCUUCGAUGAUCGACCGCCACCACCUAGGCCAGCAUCUCGUUCACGUUGCCGUGGGAGUCCGACAAUGAGGUGACAAAGCCUAUGACACUGCAUGAAGGCGGCGGCCUCCUCCCGCGGGUGACGAAGGGACAGAAGAAGAAGACGAGGAAACUAGGUACCCGCGGCCCUUCCCCAACUUGCUUCGUCCCUCCGGCCUGCAAAACUGGGGCACCUUCCCGGUCGUACGCCGGAGUAGAUACGACGACGUGGUAUAAAAAUGAAUCCUUUGCCUUGUAUUUGGUUUUUGUUCAAUUUAACGCGAGGUGAUCAUGGAAAUUUGUUGUCAAAUGGGCAACGUUUACUAUUUAGUGACGAUUUUCUAAAUUUGGAUGGAUCGAUCUUCAACGAAGAAUCAUUUAUCAAUGCGAUGAUGGUUCAGUCCGAGACAAAUGUUGUGGAUCUCGAUGGCACAUCGUUAUCGCUUUUUGAUCAUCAGUUUGACCAAGAUAUGGAAUUUGAUCAAUUCGAGCCCCACUGGCUCGGCAAAGAAGACAAUUUGGGGAAACAACUUUAACCCCUGAUGUGGAUGUUGCGCUUGCCCUAUCAUGUCAAGAUAUCUCUCUUGAUGUGAUUGUCAGGAAAGAUCAAUCGGCAACAAAGUAUUGAAAGCAAAUUGAGGAGCGUUUCCAACAUCAUCUUGGGUGGAGACCGAAACGUAGUAUCAAAUCUCUCACUACCAAUGGGGUAUGAUUCAAGAGAUGUGCAUCUGUUGGGUGGGUUGCAAGGAGCAAGUGAAGCACUCUCCUCCUAGCGGUGUCAACAUUGAUCAAUAUGUAAGUAUAAUCUUGUUCUGCAUUUGUUUGCCACAUUUGCAUUAAUUUAAGCAUUCUCAUCAAUCUGUGCAUUUGUUUGUUUUAGGAUGAGAUAGCCCAAGAGAGGUACAAACAAAUGACUAAGUCGAAGGGCAAACCGUUUGGCCUCCAACAUUGUUGAGAUUUAUUAGAAAAGCACAAGAAGUGAAAGAUGAGGAGUGAUGACGGUAACCCAAAAGCUGGAAAGUACACCAAUUCCUCUUUGGAGAUGGACGGCUACACAUAUGUUGUAGAUGGAGAGGAAAUGUCAAAUGUGCCUAGAAGUACUACUACGAUGUCUACGGCGGGUCGGCCCGCUAGGAGAAAGUAUGAAAAGCUAAGGCUCAAGAGAGGAGUGGUGGAGGCGAUUAAAAGAGACCGAUGAGUUGACAAAGACAAGAAACAAGUACACCAAGAAGAGGAAGUAAGAAAAUUUAGUGAUGGGCGAGACGAAGAACCAAGACAAGAGGGUUAGGUGAGGUGUAAUGCAACAGAGUAGACAAGGUCAGGAAGAGGUGGUGGCGCCUAGAUCCAAAUGUAGCAACAAAUGGAGAUGCGUAGGCUUGAAAUGCAGUAGAAGAUGGAGGCGCGUAUGUUCCAAAUUAAGGAGGUUAGGGCAAGAGAUUAUCGCAUAGCCAAGCAGAAUCGAUUCAUCAUGUUAGAUCUAAACCUAAUAGAUCCAGCGGCAUGAGAUUUUUGGGCGUGACAGUGAGACUUGAUCAUUAUUUUCUAGAAGCUCGAAGGAGGGGACGAUGCAGAAGGCGGGAACAUGUGAUUUGUACAUGUCACUGUUGGAAUGAUUUUGCAACUUAUCAAAAAUUACGUGCAUGUUCGUUUGAUGUUCUAAAUGUUUAAAUUUGAAAGGAACUAAAGUGUUUGAACGUGAAACCGAUUGUUUUUAUGAAAUAUGAGAUAUAAUAACUUUGAGGUUGGGUGUGAUUUGCAUUCUCUUCGACCCCCCCCACCCUGAAGGAAAUAUGCCCUAGAGGCAAUAAUAAAGUUAUUAUUUAUUUCCUUAUUUCAUGAUAAAUGUUUAUUAUUCAUGCUAGAAUUGUAUUAACCGGAAACAUAAUACAUGUGUGAAUACAUAGACAAAUAGAGUGUCACUAGUAUGCCUCUACUUGACUAGCUCGUUGAUCAAAGAUGGUUAAGUUUCCUAACCAUAGACAUGAUUUGUCAUUUGAUUAACGGGAUCACAUCAUUAGGAGAAUGAUGUGAUUGACUUGACCCAUUCUGUUAGCUUAGCACUUGAUCGUUUAGUUUGUUGCUAUUGCUUUCUUCAUGACUUAUACAUGUUCCUAUGACUAUGAGAUUAUGCAACUCCCGUUUGCCGGAGGAAUACUUUGUGUGCCACCAAACGUCACAACGUAAUUGGGUGAUUAUAAAGGUGCUCUACAGGUGUCUCCAAAGGUACUUGUUGGGUUGGCGUAUUUCGAGAUUAGGAUUUGUCACGCCGAUUGUCGGAGAGGUAUCUUUGGGCCCACUCGGUAAUGUACAUCACUAUAAGCCUUGCAAGCAUUGCAACUAAUGGGUUAGUUAUGGGAUAAUGUAUUACAGAACGAGUAAAGAGACUUGCCGGUAACGAGAUUGAACUAGGUAUUGAUAUACCGACGAUCGAAUCUCGGGCAAGUAACAUACCGAUGACAAAGGGAACAACGUAUGUUGUUAUGCGGUCUGACCGAUAAAGAUCUUCGUAGAAUAUGUAGGAGCCAAUAUGGGCAUCCAGGUCCCGCUAUUGGUUAUUGACCAGGGAGGUGUCGCGGUCAUGUCUACAUAGUUCUCGAACCCGUAGGGUCCGCACGCUUAACGUUCGUUGACGAUAUAGUACUUUAUGAGUUAUGUAUGUUGAUGACCGAAUGUUGUUCGGAGUCCGGGAUGAGAUCACGGACAUGACGAGGAACUCCAGAAUGGUCCGGAGAUAAAGUUUGAUAUAUGGGAUAAUAGUGUUUGGUCACCAGAAGGGUUCCGGAAAUCACCGGAAGGGGUUCUGGAUGUUUCCCGAAAUGUUUGGGUACGAGAACACUUUAUUUGGGCCAAAGGGGAAAGCCCACAAGGUUUUUGGAAAGCGCAAAAGGAAGUUUUGCGGAGUCCAGGGGCCAGACGCGAGGGUCCCUGGCGUCUGGGUCCAGACGCCGGGAACCCUGGCGUCUGGCCCUGGAGUCCGAGAAGGACUCCUGCCUUUCGGGUGAAACCGACUUUGUGGAGGCUUUUACUCCAAGUUUCGACCCCAAGGCUCAACAUAUAAAUAGAGGGGUAGGGCUAGCACCCAAGACACAUCAAGAAACACCAAGCCGUGUGCCGGCAACCUCGUCCCCUCUAGUUUAUCCUCCAUCACAGUUUUCGUAGUGCUUAGGCGAAGCCCUGCGGAGAUUGUUCUUCACCAACACUGUCACCACGCCGUCGUGCUGCCGGAACUCAUCUACUACUUCGCCCCUCUUGCUGGAUCGAGAAGGCGAGGACGUCACCGAGCCGAACGUGUGCAGAACUCGGAGGUGUCGUGCUUUCGGUACUUGGAUCGGUCGGAUGUGAAGACGUACGACUACAUCAACCGCGUUGAUAUAACGCUUCCGCGAACGGUCUACGAGGGUACGUAGACAACACUCUCCCCUCUCGUUGCUAUGCAUCACCAUGAUCUUGCGUGUGCAUAGGAUUUUUUUUGAAAUUACUACGUUCCCCAACAGUGGCAUCCGAGCCAGGUUUUAUGCGUUGAUGUUAUAUGCACGAGUAGAACACAAGUGAGUUGUGGGCGAUAUAAGUCAUACUGCUUACCAGCAUGUCAUACUUUGGUUCGGCGGUAUUGUUGGAUGAAGCGGCCCGGACCGACAUUACGCGUACGCUUACGCGAGACUGGUUCUACCGACGUGCUUUGCACACAGGUGGCUGGCGGGUGUCAGUUUCUCCAACUUUAGUUGAACCGAGUGUGGCUACGCCCGGUCCUUGCGAAGGUUAAAACAACACCAACUUGACAAACUAUGUUGUGGUUUUGAUGCUUAGGUAAGAACGGUUCUUGCUAAGCCUAGUAGCAACCACGUAAAACUUGCAACAAUAAAGUAGAUGACGUCUAACUUGUUUUUGUAGGGCAUGUUGUGAUGUGAUAUGGUCAAGAUAUGAUGCUAAAUUUUAUUGUAUGAGAUGAUCAGGUUUUGUAAUCGAGUUAUCGGCAACUGACAGGAGCCAUAUGGUUGUCGCUUUAUUGUAUGCAAUGCAAUCGCCCUGUAAUGCUUUACUUUAUCACUAAGCGGUAGCGAUAGUCGUGGAAGCAUAAGAUUGGCGAGACGACAACGAUGCUACAAUGGAGAUCAAUGUGUUGCGCGGGUGAUGAUGGUGAUCAUGAAGGUGCUUCAGAGAUGGAGAUCACAUGCACAAGAUGAUGAUGGCCAUAUCAUAUCACUUAUAUUGAUUGCAUGUGAUGUUUAUCUUUUAUGCAUCUUAUCUUGCUUUGAUUGAUGGUAGCAUUAUAAGAUGAUCUCUCACUAAAUUUCAAGAUAAAAGUGUUCUCCCUGAGUAUGCACCGUUGCCAAAGUUCGUCGUGCCCAGACACCACGUGAUGAUCGGGUGUGAUAAGCUCUACGUCCAUCUACAACGGGUGCAAGCCAGUUUUUGCACACGUAGAAUACUCAGGUUAAACUUGACGAGCCUAGCAUAUGCAGAUAUGGCCUCGGAACACUGAGACCGAAAGGUCGAGCGUGAAUCAUAUAGUAGAUAUGAUCAACAUAUUAAUGUUCACCAUUGAAAGCUACUCCAUUUCACGUGAUGAUCGGUUAUGGUUUAGUUGAUUUGGAUCACGUGAUCACUUAGAAGAUUAGAGGGAUGUCUUUCUAAGUGGGAGUUCUUAAGUAAUAUGAUUAAUUGAACUUAAAUUUAUCAUGAACUUAGUACCUGAUAGUAUUUUGCUUGUCUAUGUUGAUUGUAGAUAGACGGCCCAUGCUGUUAUUCCGUUGAAUUUUAAUGCGUUCCUUGAGAAAGCAAAGUUGAAAGAUGAUGGUAGCAAUUACACGGACUGGGUCCGUAACUUGAGGAUUAUCCUCAUUGCUGCACAGAAGAAUUAUGUUCUGGAAGCACUGCUAAGUGCCAAGCCUGCUGCAGGAGCAACACCAGAUGUUAUGAACGUCUGACAGAGCAAAGCUGAUGAGUACUCGAUAGUUUAGUGUGCCAUGCUUUACGACUUAGAACCGGGUCUACAACAACGUUUUGAACGUCAUGGAGCAUAUGAGAUGUUCCAGGAGUUGAAGUUAAUAUUUCAAGAAAAUGCCCAUAUUGAGAGAUAUGAAGUCUCCAAUAAGUUCUAUAGCUGCAAGAUGGAGGAGAAUAGUUCUGUCAGUGAACAUAUACUCAAAAUGUCUGGGUAUCAUAAUCACUUGACUCAAAUGGGAGUUAAUCUUCCUAUUGAUAGUGUCAUUAACAGAGUUCUUCAAUCACUGCCACCAAGCUACAAGAGCUUCGUGAUGAACUAUAACAUGCAAGGGAUGGAUAAGACGAUUCCCGAGCUCUUCGCAAUGCUAAAGGCCGCGGAGGUAGAAAUCAAGAAGAAGCAUCAAGUGUUCAUGGUCAAUAAGACCGCCAGUUUCAAGAAAAAGGGCAAAGGGAAGAAGAAGGGGAACUUCAAGAAGAACAACAAACAAGUUGCUGCUCAGGAGAAGAAACCCAAAUCUGCACCUAAGCCUGAAACUGAGUGCUUCUACUGCAAGCAGACUGGACACUGGAAGCGGAACUGCCCCAAGUAUUUGGCGGAUAAGAAGGAUGGCAAGGUGAAAAAAGGUAUAUGUGAUAUACAUGUUAUUGAUGUGUACCUUACUAGAGCUCGCAGUAGCACCUGGGUAUUUGAUACUGGUUCCGUUGCUAAUAUUUGCAACUCGAAACAGGGACUACGGAUUAAGCAAACACUGGCCAAGGACGAGGUGACGAUGCGCGUGGGAAAUGGUUCCAAAGUCGAUGUGAUCACGGUCGGCACGCUACCUCUACAUCUACCUUCGGGAUUAGUUUUAGACCUAAAUAAUUGUUAUUUGGUGCCAGCGUUGAGCAUGAACAUUAUAUCUAGAUCUUGUUUGAUGCGAGACGGUUAUUCAUUUAAAUCAGAGAAUAAUGGUUGUUCUAUUUAUAUGAGUAAUAUCUUUUAUGGUCAUGCACCCUUGAAGAGUGGUCUAUUUUUGAUGAAUCUCAAUAGUAGUGAUACACACAUUCAUAAUGUUGAAGCCAAAAGAUGCAGAUUUGAUAAUGAUAAUGCAACUUAUUUGUGGCACUGCCGUUUAGGUCAUAUCGGUGUAAAGCGCAUGAAGAAACUCCAUACUGAUGGACUUUUGGAACCACUUGAUUAUGAAUCACUUGAUACUUGCGAACCGUGGCUCAUGGGCAAGAUGACUAAAACGCCGUUCUCCGGUACUAUGGAGAGAGCAAUAGAUUUGUUGGAAAUCAUACAUACAGAUGUAUGUGGUCCGAUGAAUGUUGAGGCUCGUGGCAGAUAUCGUUAUUUUCUCACCUUCAUAGAUGAUUUAAGCAUAUAUGGGUAUAUCUACUUAAUGAAACAUAAAUCUGAAACAUUUGAAAAGUUUAAAGAAUUUCAGAGUGAAGUUGAAAAUCAUCGUAACAAGAAAAUAAAAUUUCUACGAUCUGAUCGUGGAGGAGAAUAUUUGAGUUACGAGUUUGGUCUACAUUUGAAACAAAGCGGAAUAGUUUCGCAACUCACGCCACCCAGAACACCACAGUGUAAUGGUGUGUCCGAAUGUCGUAAUCAUACCUUACUAGAUAUGGUGCGAUCUAUGAUGUCUCUUACUGAUUUACCGCUAUCGUUUUGGGGUUAUGCUUUAGAGACGGCCGCAAUCACGUUAAAUAGGGCACCAUCAAAAUCCGUUGAGACGACGCCUUAUGAAUUAUGGUUUGGCAAGAAACCAAAGUUGUCGUUUCUUAAAGUUUGGGGCUGCGAUGCUUAUGUGAAAAAGCUUCAACCUGAUAAGCUCGAACCCAAAUCGGAGAAAUGUGUCUUCAUAGGAUACCCAAAGGAGACUGUUGGGUACACCUUCUAUCACAGAUCCGAAGGCAAGACAUUCGUUGCUAAGAAUGGAUCCUUUCUAGAGAAGGAGUUUCUCUUGAAAGAAGUGAGUGGGAGGAAAGUAGAACUUGAUGAUGUAACUGUACCUGCUCCCUUAUUGGAAAGUAGUUCAUCACAGAAACCGGUUUCUGUGACACCUACACCAAUUAGUGAGGAAGUAAAUGAUGAUGAUCAUGGAACUUCAGAUCAAGUUAUUACUGAACAUCGUAGAUCAACAAGAGUAAGAUCCGCACCAGAGUGGUAAGGUAAUCCUGUUCUGGAAGUCAUGCUACUGGAUCAUGAUGAACCUACGAACUAUGAAGAAGCAAUGGUGAGCCUAGAUUCUGCAAAAUGGCUUGAAGCCAUGAAAUCUGAGAUGAGAUCCAUGUAUGAGAACAAAGUGUGGACUUUGGUUGACUUGCCGUUGAUCGGCAAGCAAUUGAGAAUAAAUGAAUCUUCAAGAAGAAGACUGACGCUGACGGUAAUAUUACUGUCUACAAAGCUCGACUUGUUGCGAAAGGUUUUCGACAAGUUCAAGGGAUUGACUACGAUGAGACCUUCUCACCCGUAGUGAUGCUUAAGUCUGUCCGAAUCAUGUUAGCGAUUGCCGCAUUUUAUGAUUAUGAAAUUUGGCAUAUGGAUGUCAAAACUGCAUUCCUGAAUGGAUUUCUUGAAGAAGAGUUGUAUAUGAUGCAACCGGAAGGUUUUGUCGAUCCAAAGGGAGCUAACAAAGUGUGCAAGCUCCAGCGAUCCAUUUAUGGACUGGUGCAAGCCUCUCGGAGUUGGAAUAAAUGCUUUGAUAGUGUGAUCAAAGCAUUUGGUUUUGUACAGACUUUUGGAGAAGCCUGUAUUUACAAGAAAGUGAGUGGGAGCUCUGUAGCAUUUCUGAUAUUAUAUGUGGAUGGCAUAUUACUAAUUGGAAAUGAUAUAGAAUUUCUGGAUAGCAUAAAGGGAUACUUGAAUAAAAGUUUUUCUAUGAAAGACCUCAGUGAAGCUGCUUACAUAUUGGGCAUCAAGAUCUAUAGAGAUAGAUCAAAACGCUUAAUUGGACUUUCACAAAGCACAUACCUUGACAAACUUUUGAAAAAGUUCAAAAUGGAUCAAGCAAAGAAAGGGUUCUUGCCUGUGUUACAAGGUGUGAAGUUGAGUAAGACUCAAUGCCCGACCACUGCAGAAGAUAGAGAGAAGAUGAAAUAUGUUCCCUAUGCUUCAGCCAUAGGCUCUAUCAUGUAUGCAAUGCUGUGUACCAGACCUGAUAUGUGCCUUGCUAUAAGUCUAGCAGGGAGGUACCAAAGUAAUCCAGGAGUGGAUCACUGGACAGCGGUCAAGAACAUCCUGAAAUACCUGAAAAGGACUAAGGAUAUGUUUCUCGUUUAUGGAGGUGACAAAGAGCUCAUCGUAAAUGGUUACAUUGACGCAAGAUUUGACACUGAUCCGGACGAUUCUAAAUCGCAAACCGGAUACGUGUUUAUAUUAAACGGUGGAGCUAUCAGUUGGUGCAGUUCUAAACAAAGCGUCAUGGCGGGAUCUACGUCUGAAGCGGAGUACAUAGCUGCUUCGGAAGCAACAAAUGAAGGAGUCUGGAUGAAGGACUUCAUAUCCGAUCUAGGUGUCAUACCUAGUGCAUCGGGUCCAAUGAAAAUCUUUUGUGACAAUACUGGUGCAAUUGCCUUGGCAAAGGAAUCUAGAUUUCACAAGAGAACCAAGCACAUCAAGAGACGCUUCAAUUCCAUCCGGAAUUUAGUCCAGGUGGGAGACAUAGAAAUUUGCAAGAUACAUACGGAUCUGAAUGUUGCAGACCCGUUGACUAAGCCUUUUCCACGAGCAAAACAUGAUCAUCACCAAGGCUCCAUGGGUGUUAGAAUCAUUACUGUGUAAUCUAGAUUAUUGACUCUAGUGCAAGUGGGAGACUGAAGGAAAUAUGCCCUAGAGGCAAUAAUAAAGUCAUUAUUUAUUUCCUUAUUUCAUGAUAAAUGUUUAUUAUUCAUGCUAGAAUUGUAUUAACCGGAAACAUAAUACAUGUGUGAAUACAUAGACAAACAGAGUGUCACUAGUAUGCCUCUACUUGACUAGCUCGGUGAUCAAAGAUGGUUAAGUUUCCUAACCAUAGACAUGAGUUGUCAUUUGAUUAACGGGAUCACAUCAUUAGGAGAAUGAUGUGAAUGACUUGACCCAUUCCGUUAGCUUAGCACUUGAUCGUUUAGUUUGUUGCUAUUGCUUUCUUCAUGACUUAUCACUAGUAGAAAAGGGGGCAACGGUCCAGGCCGGGUCAGCCCAUUAGUCCCGGUUCAGUCUAGAACCAGGACCCAUGGGGGCAUUGGACCCGGUUCGUGAGCCUAGGGGGCCGGCCGGGCCACGUGGGCCAUUGGUCCCGGUUCGUCUAGACCUUUUGGUCCCGGUUGGUGGGACGAACCGGGACCAAUGGCCUCGCUCCUGGCCCACCACCAUUGGUCCUGGUUGGUGGCUCGAACCGGGACCUAAGGCUCCCCUUUAGUCCCGGUUCAUGCCACCAACCAGGACCAAUGAGGUGCCUAUAUAUACCCCUUCGCGUAAGAGCAGAGCACACUGCUCUGUUUUUUUCUGACGGAGGGGGAGAGGGCUUGGUGGUGCUCUAGCUCACCUCCUAUGCACACAGGGUGUUCGAUGGAAUGCCCGAGCCACACUACUUAAGCUUUCUCCUCUCCAAACUCGACCUUCAAGCUCCAUUUUCCUCAAUAUUUGUCUAGGUUUAGCGGUCCGUCACGCCCCGUCCCCAUCUUCACCGCCGUCGAUCACCCGCGCCGAGCUCAUCGCCGACACCACCGUGGUGAGCCUCUUAUUCUUAUCUUCUUUUUGAAAGGAAAAAUAUUCUUACUUGUAUGUUUACAUAGAUACUUGUAUUAUUUUCUUACUUUUAUUAUCGCAUCUUAUAUAGUGCGAUGGUUUUGGUAUCCGCCUCCGUCGGCCCUCGUCCUGUCUAUGAUUCGGAUGUGGUAUAUAUAUUAUCUUUAUAACUAUUGGUUCAUUUAUUGUUUAUGAAAAUUAUGCCGACCAACGUGACAUAAAUUUUAUUUAUGUAGGAUGUAUGUGAAUCGGAAAUUCCAACCGACCCUAUUGUCGAGAGGUUAAAUUUAGUUGAAGAAGAAAACAAUUUGUUGAAGGAAAAAAUAAAAAAAAUUGAGGAGGAGAAGAUGAUAUUGGAGUUGCAUGUUGCGGAUGUCGUCGAUGAUCACAAGAUCAAGAUGGAUGCAAUGCGCUUGAAGAUUAGAAAGAUUAUAAAAUAUGCCAUUCAUACCGAGGCUUGGUAUCAUUAUGUCGUUGGAUCAAUUGUUACCUUGGUUGCGAUUAUGAUCACAUUUGUUUUCGCAUUGAAAGGUUUUACAUAGUUUCAAUGUAUGGUUUAAUUAAUUAGAUGCUCUGGAGAGCUAUAUGUUGUUAGAUGAGAACUAUGUAUGUACUUUGGUUUUAAUGUGAUGACGAACUUCUAUUAAUUUAGACACUUAAUUAUAUAUAACGCACGCAGAUGAACCGGAAAUGGAUGUACGGUGACAGACACACCUCCGAGUACAUUAAGGGCGUGCAUGAGUUUCUCGAUGCGGCUGAGGCAAAGAAGCAGAAUGGUUUUAUGUGUUGUCCAUGCACUGAAUAUGGGAAUACGAGGUCUUACUCUAACCGGAAAAUCAUUCACUCCCACCUGCUUUACAAGGGUUUCAUGCCACACUAUAAUGUUUGGACGAGGCACGGAGAAAUAGGGGUUAUGAUGGAAGACGGCGAAGAAUAAGAGUAUGAUGACAACUAUGUGCCCCCUGAAUACGGUGAUGCUGCAAUGAGGGGAGCUGGUGAAGAUCAAGAGGAACCAGACGAUGUGCCCAAUGAUGCUGCAACAGGUGAAGCUGCUGAAGAUCAAGAGGAACCAGACGAUGUGCCCGAUGAUGAUGAUCUCCGCCGGGUCAUUGUUGAUGCAAGGACGCAAUGCGAAAGUCAAAAGGAGAAGCUGAAGUUCGAUCGCAUGUUAGAGGAUCACAAAAAAGGGUUGUACCCCAAUUGUGAAGAUGGCAACACAAAGCUCGGUACCAUACUGGAAUUGCUGCAGUGGGAGGCAGAGAAUGUUGUGGCUGACAAAGGAUUUGAGAAGCUACUGAAAAUAUUGAAGAAGAAGCUUCCAAAGGAUAACGAAUUGCCCGACAGUACAUACACAGCAAAGAAGGUCGUAUGCCCUCUAGGAUUGGAGGUGGAGAAGAUACAUGCAUGCCCUAAUGACUGCAUCCUCUACCGCGGUGCAUACAAGGAUCUGAACGCAUGCCCGGCAUGUGAUGCAUUGCGGUAUAAGAUCAGACGAGAUGACCCUGGUGAUGUUGACGGCGAGCCCCCCAGGAAGAGGGUUCCUGCGAAGGUGAUGUGGUAUGCUCCUAUAAUACCACGGUUGAAACGUCUGUUCAGAAACGAAGAGCAUGCCAAGUUGAUGCGAUGGCACAGUGAGGACCGGAAGAAAGACGGGAAGUUGAGAGCACCCGCUGACGGGUCGCAGUGGAGAAAAAUCAAGAGAAACUACUGGGAUGAGUUUGCAAAGGACCCAAGGAACGUAUGGUUUGCUUUAAGCGCGGAUGGCAUUAAUCCUUUCGGGGAGCAGAGCAGCAAUCACAGCACCUGGCCCAUGACUCUAUGUAUGUAUAACCUUUCUCCUUGGAUGUGCAUGAAGCGGAAGUUCAUUAUGAUGCCAGUUCUCAUCCAAGGCCCUAAGCAACCCGACAAUGACAUUGAUGUGUACCUAUGGCCAUUAGUUGAAGAACUUUUACAGAUGUGGAAUGGAAACAGUGUACGUACGUGGGGUGAGCACAGACAGGAGGAAUUUAACCUAAAGGCGUUGCUGUUCAUGACCAUCAACGAUUGGCCCACUCUCAGUAACCUUUCAGGACAGACAAACAAAGGAUACCACGCAUGCACGCACUGUUUAGAUGACACUGAAAGUAUAUACCUGGACAAAUGCAGGAAGAAUGUGUACCUGGGCCAUCGUCGAUUUCUUCCGACCAACCAUCAAUGUCGAAAGAAAGGCAAGCAUUUCAAAGGCGAGGCAGAUCACUGGAAGAAGCCCGCCAUGCGUACCGGUGAUCACGUGCUUGCUAUGGUCAAUGAUUUACACGUAAUCUUUGGAAAGGGUCCCGGCGGACUAGCUUUUCUGAAUGACGCUGAGGGACACGCACCCAUGUGGAAGAAGAAAUCUAUAUUUUGGGACCUACCCUACUAGAAAGACCUAGAGGUCCUCUCUUCAAUCGACGUGAUGCACGUGAUGAAGAACCUUUGCGUGAACCUGCUAGGCUUCUUGGGCGUGUAUGGGAAGAUAAAAGAUACACCUGAGGCACGGGAGGACCUGCAACAUUUGCACGAAAAAGGCGACAUGCCUCCGAAGCAGUAUAAAGGUCCUUCCAGCUACGCUCUUACGAAAGAAGAGAAAGAAAUCUUCUUUGAAUACCUGCUCAGUACGAAGGUCACGACUGGCUUCUCGUUGAAUAUGAAGGGAAUAAUAAAUAUACCAGAGAAAAAGUUUCAGAACCUAAAGUCUCAUGACUGCCACGUGAUUAUGACGCAACUGCUUCCAGUUGCAUUGAGGGGGCUUCUACCGGAAAAUGUCCGAUUAGCCAUUGUGAAGCUAUGUGCAUUCCUCAAUGCAAUCUCUCAGAAGGUGAUCGAUCCAGAAAUCAUACCAAGGCUAAGGAGUGAUGUGGCGCAAUGUCUUGUCAGUUUUGAGCUGGUGUUCCCACCAUCCUUCUUCAAUAUCAUGACGCACAUCCUAGUUCAUCUAGUCGACGAGAUUGUCAUCCUGGGGCCCGUAUUUCUACACAAUAUGUUCCCCUUUGAGAGGUUCAUGGGAGUCCUAAAGAAAUAUGUCCGUAACCACGCUAGGCCAUAAGGAAGCAUCUCCAUGGGCCAUCAAACAGAGGAUGUUAUCGGGUUUUGUGUUGACUUCAUUCCUGGCCUUAAGAAGAUAGGUCUCCCUAAAUUGCGGUAUGAGGGGUGACUGACUGGAAAAGGCACUCUUGGAAGUGACUCAAUAAUAUGCAGGGACGGAUAUUCUUGGUCUCAAGCACACUACACAGUUCUACAGAACUCUACCUUGGUGACCCCGUAUGUCGAUGAACACAAGAACAGUCUGCGCUCCAAACACCCGGAGCAGUGCGACGACUGGAUUACAUGUGAACACAUCAGGACUUUCAGCAGUUGGUUGGAAACAUGUCUCAGAGGUGACAACACUGUUUGUGAUGAGCUGUACUUGUUGUCCAGGGGACCAUCUUUGACUGUAUUGACUUACAAAGGAUACGAGAUAAAUGGGAAUACAUUUUACACGAUUGCCCAAGAUCAAAAGAGCACCAACCAAAACAGCGGUGUCCGCUUUAAUGCAGCAAUCGAGAGCAGAAAGGACACAUAUUAUGGUUACAUAGUGGACAUAUGGGAACUUGACUACGGACAUGAUUUUAAGGUCCCUUUGUUUAAGUGCAAAUGGGUCAAUCUGUCAGGAGGCGGGGUACAGGUAGACCCACAGUACGGAAUGACAACAGUGGAUCUGAAAAAUCUUGGGUACACUGACGAACCGUUCGUCCUAGCCAAUGAUGUGGCACAUGUUAUCUAUGUGAAGGACAUGUCUACCAAACCGAGAAAAAGAAAAGAUAAUGAAGCAAAUACAUCAUACGAUGAGCCAAAGCGCCACAUAGUUCUUUCAGGAAAAAGGGAUAUCCUGGGAGUGGAGGGCAAGACAGACAUGUCUGAAGAUUAUGAAAAGUUUCAUGAAAUUCCUCCCUUCAAUGUCAAGGCUGACCCAAGCAUCCUGAUAAACGAUGAAGAUUAUCCAUGAUUACGGCGCAAUAAGCAAAUGACACAAGCGAAGAAAAAAUGAAGACUUUCUCCCGCAACUAUUAUGAUGAUACCAUGCCAACUUUGUAACACACGAGUAUGCUAUGCUAACUUUUUCAGAGUUCAUUUGAAAACUAUGAAUUUAUGUUGAAUUUUCUCUAUAGGUGCAUCUAUGUUUAUUUUUUAGUAAAGUUAAUCACAAACUUGUGAUUCACACAAAUUUCAAAGAAUUCAAAUUUUAACUAUUCAAAUUUGAAAACUAAUGACACUAACAGAAAGUUUAUAAUUUUUCUAAAACUAAUGGCACUAACAGAAAGUUUAUAAUUUUUCUGACCUAAAAGCAAAAAGAAUUAAAUAAUAAAGCAAAAAACAAAAGAAAAUAAAUAAUACAGAAAACAAAACAAAAAACUGGGAAAAAAAUAAAAAUAGCAACAAUAAGUAUUUUGUUGUAAGUAGAAACAAAAUAAAACAAANNNNNNNNNNNNNNNNNNNNNNNNNNNNNNNNNNNNNNNNNNNNNNNNNNNNNNNNNNNNNNNNNNNNNNNNNNNNNNNNNNNNNNNNNNNNNNNNNNNNNNNNNNNNNNNNNNNNNNNNNNNNNNNNNNNNNNNNNNNNNNNNNNNNNNNNNNNNNNNNNNNNNNNNNNNNNNNNNNNNNNNNNNNNNNNNNNNNNNNNNNNNNNNNNNNNNNNNNNNNNNNNNNNNNNNNNNNNNNNNNNNNNNNNNNNNNNNNNNNNNNNNNNNNNNNNNNNNNNNNNNNNNNNNNNNNNNNNNNNNNNNNNNNNNNNNNNNNNNNNNNNNNNNNNNNNNNNNNNNNNNNNNNNNNNNNNNNNNNNNNNNNNNNNNNNNNNNNNNNNNNNNNNNNNNNNNNNNNNNNNNNNNNNNNNNNNNNNNNNNNNNNNNNNNNNNNNNNNNNNNNNNNNNNNNNNNNNNNNNNNNNNNNNNNNNNNNNNNNNNNNNNNNNNNNNNNNNNNNNNNNNNNNNNNNNNNNNNNNNNNNNNNNNNNNNNNNNNNNNNNNNNNNNNNNNNNNNNNNNNNNNNNNNNNNNNNNNNNNNNNNNNNNNNNNNNNNNNNNNNNNNNNNNNNNNNNNNNNNNNNNNNNNNNNNNNNNNNNNNNNNNNNNNNNNNNNNNNNNNNNNNNNNNNNNNNNNNNNNNNNNNNNNNNNNNNNNNNNNNNNNNNNNNNNNNNNNNNNNNNNNNNNNNNNNNNNNNNNNNNNNNNNNNNNNNNNNNNNNNNNNNNNNNNNNNNNNNNNNNNNNNNNNNNNNNNNNNNNNNNNNNNNNNNNNNNNNNNNNNNNNNNNNNNNNNNNNNNNNNNNNNNNNNNNNNNNNNNNNNNNNNNNNNNNNNNNNNNNNNNNNNNNNNNNNNNNNNNNNNNNNNNNNNNNNNNNNNNNNNNNNNNNNNNNNNNNNNNNNNNNNNNNNNNNNNNNNNNNNNNNNNNNNNNNNNNNNNNNNNNNNNNNNNNNNNNNNNNNNNNNNNNNNNNNNNNNNNNNNNNNNNNNNNNNNNNNNNNNNNNNNNNNNNNNNNNNNNNNNNNNNNNNNNNNNNNNNNNNNNNNNNNNNNNNNNNNNNNNNNNNNNNNNNNNNNNNNNNNNNNNNNNNNNNNNNNNNNNNNNNNNNNNNNNNNNNNNNNNNNNNNNNNNNNNNNNNNCCCUGCCCUGACGCCAUCCUCGCCGCCGACCCCGCGCGCGCGGUCCUCUCCUCAGCUUGGUCCGGCCGCCGGCGCCCUCCCUUUGCAAUAUUUUUUCAUGCUUGUUUAUAUAUAUAUAUGUAAUGAUUUUUUUUAUAGAAUAUGAUGUUUUUUUCAUAGAUGAUCACAUAUAUGAUGUAUGCACGAAUGUGGAUGAAAUAUGAUGUUUUUUUGUUCAUAGAACAUGAUGUUUUUUUUAAUUCACAGAUUUUUUUUGUUCAUAAGAGAGGCGGGGACGUUGAGGGUUCAUAGAUGUAUUUUUCAGAAGUUUCUAACAUGCAUAGACGGAUUUUAGACCACGGGAGCACCCCCUCCCUAUCGUUGCAAAAUUUGCUAAGUGAUAUUAAGAAGGAAGGAAAAGAAGGAUAGGAAAGAAAGAAAAUAAGAAGAGGAAAGAAAGAAGAAGAGGAGAGGAAGAAGAGGAGAAAUAAGUAAGAAGAAGAAAAAAUAAGAAAAAGAAGAGGAGAAGAAGAAAGCAAUAGAGGAGAAGAAGAAAAAAUAGAUAUUCUAUUUUUUCUUUUUCUCCUCUAUUGCUUUCUUCUUCUCCUCUUUUUUUUCUUCGAUCUUCUCCUCUAGCUAUUCCUUUCUUCUUCUCCUCUUUUUAUUUUUCUUUGUUUUCUUAUGUCUUAUUGUGUAUAUUGCUUCUUUGUGUAUAUUAUGUAUAUAUAUUGUGUAUAUUGCUUCUUUUCCGAUUUUUUUUUCAUAUAUAUGUUUGUAUUUUGUAUUUUAUCAGGUCUGUCGUCGUCGAUAUACCCCUCCCGAUAACUUCAACACGAGGGGGGUCGAUAUACCCUAAAUAGCAAGUAUCGUCGGUGUGAGAUACAUGUGGCCGUCGGUGUCAGACACUACAUCCACGUCCCACAAGUGACGCGGGCUUCGACGCCCACGUCACUUGUGGGACGUGGAUGUAGUGUCCNNNNNNNNNNNNNNNNNNNNNNNNNNNNNNNNNNNNNNNNNNNNNNNNNNNNNNNNNNNNNNNNNNNNNNNNNNNNNNNNNNNNNNNNNNNNNNNNNNNNNNNNNNNNNNNNNNNNNNNNNNNNNNNNNNNNNNNNNNNNNNNNNNNNNNNNNNNNNNNNNNNNNNNNNNNNNNNNNNNNNNNNNNNNNNNNNNNNNNNNNNNNNNNNNNNNNNNNNNNNNNNNNNNNNNNNNNNNNNNNNNNNNNNNNNNNNNNNNNNNNNNNNNNNNNNNNNNNNNNNNNNNNNNNNNNNNNNNNNNNNNNNNNNNNNNNNNNNNNNNNNNNNNNNNNNNNNNNNNNNNNNNNNNNNNNNNNNNNNNNNNNNNNNNNNNNNNNNNNNNNNNNNNNNNNNNNNNNNNNNNNNNNNNNNNNNNNNNNNNNNNNNNNNNNNNNNNNNNNNNNNNNNNNNNNNNNNNNNNNNNNNNNNNNNNNNNNNNNNNNNNNNNNNNNNNNNNNNNNNNNNNNNNNNNNNNNNNNNNNNNNNNNNNNNNNNNNNNNNNNNNNNNNNNNNNNNNNNNNNNNNNNNNNNNNNNNNNNNNNNNNNNNNNNNNNNNNNNNNNNNNNNNNNNNNNNNNNNNNNNNNNNNNNNNNNNNNNNNNNNNNNNNNNNNNNNNNNNNNNNNNNNNNNNNNNNNNNNNNNNNNNNNNNNNNNNNNNNNNNNNNNNNNNNNNNNNNNNNNNNNNNNNNNNNNNNNNNNNNNNNNNNNNNNNNNNNNNNNNNNNNNNNAUCGUCAGUGUGAGAUACAUGUGGCCGUCGGAGCCCGUGUUACUUGCUAUUUAGGGUUUCCUCUACCGCUCGGCGACCCUCGACGACCCUCGUUCCCGAUAAAAAAAAGAGAAAGAAGAAGAAAAAAAGAGGAGAAGAAAGAAUAGAGGAGUUCUUACUCCUCUAUUCUUUCUUCUCCUCUUUUUUUUCUUCUUCCUCUUCUUUUUUUAUCCUUGAAGCGUUGUCGAGGCCACCCCAAACCCUAGAGAAGCAGCGUCGAGGCCACCCCAAACCCUAGAGAAGGAGCGUCGAGGCCACUAAUUAAUAUUAGUUCUACGUUUGCCACUAACAUAUCCAUCUGUCAUGUUUGAAUAAUAAUUGCCAUGUUGUAAAUAUUUGUAGAAACUAUGGACACCGCCCGAGACGAAGUACAAGAAGAGUUGUUGGGGGACAUAAUCGCACGACGAAGUGAUGCCGUCUGCUCAUUGUUUCUCAACGACACCGAUGGUCUGGAAGCAGCUGGCUAUGAUUAUGAUGGCUCCGGUGACAUAAUGCCGGUGCAAGAAGGAGACCGUGAGGAUGGCUCCGGUGACCCAAUGCCGGUGCGAGAAGGAGACCGUGAUGACGUCUCCGGUGACCAAACCGAGUCCGGCCAUAUAUAUAUAUAUUAGUUAAGCUUGUGCUGACUAGCUAAUUGAUGCAUUCAUUGUUUUGGUAUGUACACAUAUUAAUUAAGUCUUUGUUCUUUUUUCUAGCCCUCCGGAUCGAGCACAACUUCGGUAAAGAGACGAGGCCCGAAGAAAAAGUUGAUCUCGGAUGAAAAGUUUGAGAUCAUAGCAAUCGCGCCCGACGGCCAACCGAUUGAACCCCUCCGGACAAAGAGCGCAUUUGUUGCUCAGUGCGGGGUUCUGGUUAGGGACAAGAUCCCGAUCAGCAUCCAGCAAUGGUUAAAGCCGGCUACAGAAGACCCUAAGGUGUCUUAUGUCAAUGAUAUGCAGAAAAAUGAUCUUUGGACUGAGCUGAAGUCAAAUUUCACCCUACCGCGAGAGGAUGAUCCGGAGAAGCCAGUUAAAGAGCAAUUAAUCAAGUCUUUUGCUCUUAAGAGGAUGGCAGAACUAUUCAGGAGGUGGAAGAAAGAGAUGAAUAAGUUUGUCAAAAAUAAAGAGACACUAGAAUUCAAGGGCAGAUAUGAGAAGAUCAGAGAUCACUGGCCCGCAUUUGUGGCCCACAAGACAUCAGAAAAGAGUAAGAAGAUGUCGGCGACAAACAAGCAAAAUGCUGUGAAGAAGAAGCAUCACCAUCGCACGGGGUGAGGUGGCUACCUCGUAGCCCGGCCUAAGUGGGCCAAGACUAAGAAUGAUCUGGUUGAUAAAGGGAUCGAACCAGAGACAAUUAACUGGCCAGACCGUUGCCGGACUUGGUUCUUUGGGGUUGGCGGAACCUUGGACCCUGUAUCAGGAAAGUGCAUUUGGACGAACGAUUAAAUGGACAUACCAGUCAAGAAGCUUGAGUAGUAUAUCGGAGCAGCGCAGCAAGGGACGUUCGUUCCAGACAGAGAGAACGACGAGCUCACAAUGGCCCUCGGGAAUCUUGAGCACCCUGGACGGACACGAGGCACGCCAGGCUCCAUUCCGUGGAAGGUUGGGUUUCCGGACGCAGGCGGUUACAAAUGCCACGAGAGGAGGAAGAAAGUGGAGUAGACCCAACUACAGGCGCUGCACGCUAGGGUACAAGCGAUAGAGGAACGAGAAGCAAAUCACAGCAAACGAACUGCCGAAGCUUCCCCCGAAGCUACCCCGUCAUCUCAGCGGAGAAGCAGCGUGGCUUCCACCGAGCUGCUUCAGCCGGAGCAUGUCUUGACAGAUCCAGCCAGCUAUCCCGUGGAUGCUACCACGGAGUCUCAAAAUUGCCACCUUAUGAUGCAAUGGAUUAAUAUGAAGGUCAAGGCGGCUGUUGGCUCUGUUUUUCCUACUGAACCCGACGCAACUUUUCACUGCCGGCCAAUUCCAGAAGGAUAUGCUAGGGUGAUGGUGGAUGAAAUAAUGGAGGGAUUUGAGGACCUCCAGCUUGACCACCCUACCGGUGAAGGGAGACUCGGCUGGGUUCUGCUCUGAAGACUCCAUGCCUAUGGCGGAAGGAGCUCAUCAACCUUCCGAAUUGGACGCCUCCGCCUCCUCCUCCUCCUCCGGCGAGUCAGGGCACUCCGCCUCCUCCACCGCCUCCUCCUCCGGCGAGUGACGAUUAGGGCACUCGACCGGCUCCUUCUCCGGUGCAUGGCGGCACUCCGCCUCCUUCUCCGCCUGCGCCGGCAUGCCCAAGCAGCCAGCCUCCUCCUUCUCCGCCUCGUCAGCAAGGGCAGAAGAGACCUGCCGCCGCUCCGGCUGCUCCGGCGCGUCAUAGUCCUUCUCCUCCGCCUCGUAAGAAAGUAAAGAAGAAAACCGCUCCGUCUGCUCUGCCGGCGUCUAGCAGUACAGCCAGAGGCGGGAGGACAUACAAAUUCAGUCCUAGCGACAUCGACGCUAAUGAUCCGAGGAUGGUGCCCGGUUAUAGCAAUCUUGGAGAUUACCUGCCCGACGAUGUACAUUAUGAUUUCAUGGAGGUGCAGAUACAAAGAUACGAGUACGGGAAGCCUCUCGUCAAAGAUGAAAGAUCUCUAUCAAUGAUGAUGCGAAGAUUGCAUGAUUGGUACUUGAAAAUCUGUAGAGAGUCUGGGGGAGGAGUACUUUGUAUGUGAGAGUUAAAAAGGAGCAUGACCUUGUUGGAAUUGUACUGCUGCAUGUUCCAUUUGAGGAGUUCUUUCAGUUUUUCAAUCAAUUGGCCCUCGAUAAAGCAACGGUCACCUACUACCGUCUAUAAGUAGUACUACUUCUGUCAUAAAGUCUCUCUAUAUAGCUCAGCUCUUUCAUUGCAUGUAUUUAUAAUUAUCCUCACUAUAUUAUGCAGAUUGAAGAUCGCCGAAUUGAAGAAAAGACAAAUCGGUGAUAUUGGGUUCAUUAACACAAAUCUCAUAGAUGCAACUCAGGUUAAAUUUCAUACCGCAGAUACCGAGGCCAACUUGCUACGAUCGUUGGUAAUAAAUGAAAACAAAGAUAUAAUACUCUUUCCUUACAACUUCAAGUGAGUGUUACUGUCUUGUGCAUAUUCAGUUUCCCUUAUAUAUUAGUCAAGGUUAUAGUAAUGUAAUUGAUGAGUUAUGCAUGCGUGUGCAGUUUCCACUAUAUUCUCCUAGAGAUUAAGCUUGAGCAGGGACUAGUAACCGUCUUAGACUCAAGAUGAAAAGAUCCCUAGGACUAUGCGGACAUGACUCAAAUGCUCGAGAAGUAAUCUAAAUCGAUCAUUAUCCACCAUAUCAGCAACUUUGUUCAUUUCCUGAUAUAUCAAGUAAUUGUUUUCUUGGUCUGGCAGGGUUUGGAAAAAAAUCACCAAAAAAGCUCCGGGACUCCCGAAGAAGCUGCAAUUUAGACACCCGAAAGUAAGUACUAUAGUAGCAUGUUCCGCGCAUCUCCUAUUGAUUCAAGAGCUAGUUUCAUCAAUACCAUUUGGCAUUCUUGCUUAUCAGUUUGAUUGACCUCUAUUUCUUGUAAAGUGGUUGUGGCAGGAACAAGGGAAUGAUUUCUAUGGAUACUAUGUUUGCGAGUCCAUCCGCCACAUGACCUGUGAGCGGGGCUACUCUGACGAACAAUAUGAAGUACGUAAAUAACAACAUUCACAAUUUUAUUUUAUUACCAUCAUUUGUGUUGAGUUUCAUUCAUUCAUAUAUAUAUAUAUGUAUUGACCUCCUUCUUCAAAUUAGAUGUUUCAGAAGCGGGAUGAACUCCUAGCACCAGCUCGCAUGCGAACAAUUCAAGAGGAAUUGGCGGCAUUCUUUCUUGACCACGUGAUCGCUGAAGACGGAGAAUACUAUGUGGACCAUGUGUCCGUAUGUUAGGCGAUUAUAUUUGUAAGAGAUAAUUGUUGUAUAUAUGUAGCCGGUAGUGUCGGAUAGAUAUAUGAGAACUUGUUGUUCGACCAAUCUCUCGGAGAAGGAGAGGUGGUCGAUACCACUUCUCUCUGUAUGCAUAUAUGUUCAUGACGAUCUUCCGUUUCCUUCGUUUGCUUACUAGCUAGCUAGCGUGUCUAGUCCUCUCUAUACGUAUGUAUAGUACGUAGCAUCGACCAAGAACGGACAUAAGAGAGGACACUUCUCUCUAUUAAUUAUAACUAGCUAACACAAUAUAUGAAACACCUAAAUUAACCCCCCAAAACCCCCCAACCCCCCCCCCCUUUCAAAAAAAAAACAAAAACCCCAGCCACAGAAAUGCUGACGCGUGGAUGCCUAUUGGUCCCGAUUGGUGCCACCAACCGGGACAAAAGGCCCUCCUGCCUGCGCUCCGCGCACAGGCCACGUGGAGGCUGAAAGUGCUAGUGAUCGACUAGGGGGGAGGGUGAAUAGGCGAUUUUUAUGAAAGUCUUCAAAACAUGUAAGUUUCGAAGACAAACGAUAGAAAUAAACCUAUUAUCAUGCAGCGGAAGGUAGACUACACUAGACAAACCAUAGUCACGUAUUCAAUGAAGUGAAAGCACAAUGACUAAUAGCAGCUAGGCAGUAAGGAUCAGGUAGGAAGAUAUUGUGAAGCCAAUCAGAACAAGUAAUCACUCAGUGAAGUCAAAUGUUGAUGCUAACGUACAAUGACUUCACAAGAACCAACAGUAAGUAAAGGGAAGGGAAGGAUGAAACCAGUGACUUGUUGAAGACAAUGAUUUGUUGGACCAGUUCUAGUUGCUGUGACAACUGUACAUCUGGUUAGGGAGGCUGAGAUUCAACUCAGAAGACCUCGUCUUCACCUUAUUCCUCUUGAGCUAAGGAAACCCAGUCCUCGCCCAAUCACUCUGGUAAGUCUUCAAGGUAGACUUCCAAACCUUCACAGACUUCGUUCACCGGCGAUCCACAAUGACUCUUGGAUGCUCAGAACGCGACGCCUAACCGGCUAGAGGAUUCACAGUCCUCAAGUGUAAUAAGUCUUCAGAUCACACAGACAAGAAGACUUAAGUGAUGCCUAACACUCUUUGGCUCUGGGUGGUUAGGGCUUUAUUUUCUCAAGGAAUUCUCUCUCAAAGGCUUCGAGGUGGGUUGCUCUCAAACGACAAAAGCCGUACUUUAACUCUGAGCAGCCAACCGUUCAUGGUUGUAGGGGGUGGGCUAUUUAUAGCCACUAGGCAACCCGACCUGAUUUGUCCGAAAUGACCCUGGGUCACUAAGGAACUGACACGUGUUCCAACGGUCAGAUUUCAAACACACACGACAACUUUACUUGGGCUACAAGCAAAGCUGACUUGUCCAACUCUGAACAAGAUUCGCUCUCAUAGUCUUCACUCGAAGACAUAGGAUUUUGGUUAAGCAUCACUUCAGUCAUUCUGACUGGUUCUCUUGGACCCCACUUAACAGUAUGGUGGUUCCUAUGACUCAACAAAGAAGAAAAAGAACUACAAAAGAUCUAAGUCUUCGCGCUCCAUAGUCUUCAUGCGAUGUCUUCUCUUGUCAUAGUCUUCAAUGUGAAUGUCUUCACAUACCACCUUUGACUUCAAUGUCUUCAUACAUUUUAGGGGUCAUCUCUGGUAGGAAAACGAAUCAAUGAGGGACUUCUACCUGUGUUAUCCUGCAAUUCUCACAAACACAUUAGUCCCUCAACUAGGUUUGUCGUCAAUACUCCAAAACCAACUAGGGGUGGGACUAGAUGCACUUACAAUCUCCCCCUUUUUGGUGAUUAAUGACAAACUAGUUGAAGUUUUCAACAGGGAAUAUAAUAUGUGAACUUUGUAAAGGAUAAGGAAUUGUCUUCAUAAGUUGCAAGGGCUCCCCCUAAAGAUGUGCAUACAAGUAAUUUGCUUUUGGAAUGCAAAUGCACAUGGCAGGUUGUACUCGUGGAGAUCUUCUUCAACUUAUGAUGACAAUUCAUCAUGCAUGAAAAGUAUGUGAAGAUAAUGACAUGCAUAAUGAAAAAUGGAUGUCUGCAAAAUGAUCUAAGUGUGGAAUUUAUCGUCGCACAUGCGGAAUUUAUCAUCACAUCACAGAAUAACAAAUAAGUAGCAGACGACCAUCGACUUUAAGUGUUACAACUCAAAGAACCAAAUGUAUCAAAAUGAGAGUUGUAAACACUAGGCAAAACAUAAAGUAACCGCCCACAUGGACCCGCUUGAAGACUAUCAAACUCAUAUGCUUCUCCCCCUUUUGUCAGGAAGGACCAAAAAGGUUUUAAGACAUAGAGCAUCUACUCGUUCCCAUGAAGAGUAGGUGAAGCAGCAAGGUCAUCGGUGGUGUUCGGCGGUGCAGAAGAACUUGGGGUAGUGUCGAUGCGUGCAGAAGUAGGGGGCGGUGAAGUAGCAUCGUCUUCGUCCUCGAUUAGAACUCAGAGUCUUCAAGAGAUGGAGUUUGUCACAGCACAGUCCUUCGGGGAGGUGUGGAGUCAAACUUGAAACGUACAGAGAAGCCAUCCUCUUGAAGAUCAUCCUCAGAACACAUAAGCGUCAGCCCUUUCCAUGUACGCCGACAGGUUUCAUGGGCAACAAAGGCAUUCUUGGUGGCAAGAUUGCGAAUGCGGUUGACAUCCACCAAGAGGCUUUGCAUUUGGCGCUUCAGCCAGUCAUGAUGCCUAUCCUGUUUCUGAUGAAGGGCAACCAGAAGCUCUCGGUCAUUGAGAACACGAGAUCGCUUCUUGGGCCAUUGGGCAAUAGUUCUUUCAGUGGCUUCAGUGAGGGCAUGAUGAGGUGCACGUGUAGUACCAGCCAGAGGAUAGACACGAGUGACUGCUUCAACUCCUUCAAUGUUCUGAGAGAAACUUUGAUGCUCAACAUUUUGAUGACUAAGAGGCUCCUUGGCAGGCUCUGGAUAGAUGGCUUCAACGGACAUAUCCACGUCGGGCGGAAAGAUCCGAUGAUUGCAAGCAGAGGGCUGAUAUGAGAUAGGUGAGUGGAGUUUGAUCAGCCGCAUUAUCCAUGGAGCGUAGAACUUCAAGCCAAAAAGAUCAGAUCUAGAUGCAGCAAGUUGGCGGAUGAAGAAGUCUUGUGCAUUGAAGCAUUUGCCAUGAAGAAUAUAGAAGACCAAAGUCUUCAUUGCCCCUUCCAGCUUUGCAUGUGGAGACUGUCCUUUGAUGGGCCAGAGAGUUCGCCUUAUAAUGUGAUAGAUAGUGCGUGGUAGAUACGCAAGGUCUUCAACAAAGAACUCCUUAGGAUAUGCAGCAUCUGGAGGCAAAGGCUUCAUCAUACUAAGCAUCUGACUCAUGUUCUGUUCAGGCUUCUGAAAGAUGCUCUCCAUAGCUUCACUGUGAAGCUAGCAGCCAGGUUCAUAGAGAUCUCCAGGAGUGGGCAGACCAGUGAGCUCAAUGAUAUCAAAGGCUUUGGCUUCGUGAUGAACAUUUCCGGUCAUCCACUCAAGGACCCAAGUCUUCGGAUCUCUGUUGUAGCCAUGUAUGUGAAGAGUGGCAUAAAAUUGGAGCAGCAACUCUUCAUUCCAGUGCUCUUGGUCGGUGACGAAAGGCAACAAGCCAGCCUCUUUGAAGCAAUCCAGAGCUUCUUCCAAGCAGGGCAGUCCAGUUAUUGCUUCGGUGUCAAGACGCAUAUGAGGGAAGAUGCGACCUUGAUUGUACAGAAUGCAUGAGUAAUAACUUCGCUGCGGAUAGCUCCAGAACCGAUCAGAAGAUAUUCUUUCCCUUGAGUAGGGGUUCUUGAAGCUAUUGAAGAAGGUGUUGUCUGCUUUGAACCCGUUGACAUUAAAGGAUCCAGGUGCUGUGCAGGACCUGGAAACCUGGGCAAGCUUUGCAUCGGCUUCUGUACCUGAGGCCUGUGCCCAACAUGAUAGUCAAACUGAGGACCAGCAGCAGGCGCAGGAACAGGAGCAGUAGCAUCAUUUGCUUCACUGACUUCUGGCUCAUUGGUUGGUGUAGGCUCCACAUUUGCUUCAGCCAUGACAACGUCAUUGGCUUCAUUUGUGUUGGUGGUGGCAGCCUCAAGAUUUUCUACCUCCAAUUUAUGAGCUAGAGGGUCGGGCACAGACACGUUCUCCUCGAGAACAGGUUUUUCAGUAAUGGGGGGAGUAGGGACACGUUCUUCUUCUUGAGUGUCAUCGGCUGAUGCAGUCGGAAUGUCUUCAGCAGCUUUAGCCUCAGAUUCAGACACAUUCAUAGUAGGAGUGGCAUCUGGAAACACUUGACGUGCAACAGAGUGGUGGGGCACUUCUCCUUCUGGAACGCUCGAGAGAGGGACUUGAGACCUUGGUCCUUUGUGAAGCCUGCGUAAUGCUGGCGACGCCUUUGGAGAUUGAGUUGGCUGGGCCUCAAAGUCAUCUUCUUCUUCUUGUCGAGGUAGUGUGACUUGUUGUUGUGGGUGAUUAGCCCAUGAUGCAUCCUGAGCAAUUGGCGUCAGAGGACGACCAAUGCUGAUGAGUUCACUAUGCGUAAGCACAGGCGAUGAUACCUGUUGGUGCUCGAUCUGAGGAAGAACUACAUCAUCUUCAACAUUGUCAUGAUGACCAAUGUCUUCAGCAGCGGUGGGAUCAACUGCUGGAAUAUCUUCAGCUAUAUGAGCUCUGUGGAAGCAGGCUCAUGGAAAAUCAGUUGGUGCUCUUGGUGUGUAGAUGCAGGGUGAACCAUUGAGAUAGAUUCAACAACUAAGGGCUCUGUGGGAGCAGCCCGAUCCUUCUUGGUCUUCCGCUUCUUCUUGGAGGGAGAAGCAUCAGAGGCUUCAGGAUGUUUCCUCUUUCUGGCUUCAGCCUCAGCAGUCCUUGUCUUCUUCAGUUCUGAAGCGGUUGACCUGACCUUUGGCUUCGAGCCAGUCAUGCUGGCUGGGAAGACAAUGAGAUGUGCUUCCUGCCUUGGUGCGUCGGGCUCGGCCACAGCGGGCUUCUUCUUCUUCUUUGUAGCCAUCCUGGGAUCGAUGCCAAGACGCCCAAGGGCCUUGCGCUUCUCAGCCUCAUUGUAGACUUGCACACACUUGUCAGCCAGGCUCUUCAUGCGCUCAUGAGAGCCUUAAGCUUCUUCACGCUUCUUGAGAUAGGCUUCUUUGAGCUCGUGCAGCAUGAUCUUGAAGUUCUUGACCUCUUGCAUGCUGAGCUUGGCCAUAUGCUUCUUAAACUGAGCUUUCUCAAAGUCGAUCUUUUGUUUCAGUUCAACGAUGCGCUGAGCUAGAGCUAGCUCUGAAGCAAUGUCGCCAUGGAAGGCGACACUGAGGCCAAUUGGAAGUUGUAGAUCUUCAAAGCUGAGGUUGGGCGUGUCAAACCACUCAUCAAUGAAGUUGUGGAUGAUUGCCACGUCAAAGAGAGGCAAAUCAUUGAAGAUUUCUCCUUCUUCUUUGCUCUUGAUCAGUUGCUCAAGAGCGUCAUCUGCAAGAUCUUCAUCGCUGGACAGAUCAAUGGCGUCGUUGCGCAGAAUAGCAGCAGCAGUCAGUUCUUGGCUGGUGUGUUGCAAAGGCAUCUUUACUCUUGAGGGCUUGGAGAUGCGUGACAAAUCUUCAGACUGCACACUAUCUUCAGGAGGUGCAGUAGCCAGUGGCUUCGCUCGUGAGAUUUUUGGUGCUGAGGCAGGCAUUGAAGCUUUAGGCUUCUUCAGUUUCUUUGGCUUCGGCGGGGCAGGCGCUUCAUCAGAUUCAACGUCAUCUGCAGGCUCAUCCACAACUGUCCCUUGAACCUUGAUAUGGGUGAUGAGACCUUCCAGGUUGUAGAAGGGCCCAACAAGAUUGGGUUCAGCUUCGCGGGUGCCAUCGGCACGGGGAGCAGAAGGGCCAGGGUUGAAGUCAAGUCCCCAUGACUUCUUGUUUUGCUUGCCCAAAUUCUUGGCAAACUGGAAGUUGCGCUUGAACAGAUUGUCGUCACGACACCAUAGACGAUGGGUGUGCAUCUGCAGGCUGUGGUCCACGGACCAUGCAGGGAUAGAAGCCUUGUUCAAUGGCUUCAUCUCUGGACCUGGGUUGAAGAUUUUUGUAUAGGAUGUCUCCCCAAGGUCGCUUGAUGGCAUUUUUCUCAGCAUAUUCCUGGGUCAUAAACUGGUAUUUGAACCAUUGUUCUGCCCAAUAUCUUCGAAUCCAUUGGAUUCGGGUCUUGCGCUGAUUGUAAUCCUCUUCAGGAUCUGUCUUGUAAAGCUCUGAGAGGUCAUCAGGCAAAUCUCUUGACGUUCCCCCACGACGCUGUCUGCCACCCUUCCUUACUGAUUUCUCUGCAGCCAUGAACUUCAAACUGAAUGGCUUCAACACGUUCAAAGGCUUUCGCUUGCUUGACAAACAGGAACUGGCUUCGGGAGAAUUUAUAUGAUACUGUAAGAAUUCUGCAAAUGAAUGCAGACUAUGAGAACCAAGGGAUUCUCCCACGGACAUGUACGUGUGACAACAUUAAGGUUCGAGGGAAGGGGAAGAGGUCAUAUGCAUUCUCAGAAGAUUUUAAAGAUAAAUCAGUUUAGAAGACAUUGACCUCAUCGUGCGAAGACAUUCACUCAUAGAUAAGGAGUUGGUUCCAGAUUUGUACGAAUCCACGGAUCAGUACAAGUGAGGAAUCUAACUACUUUGUGAAGCAUAAGUGAACAUACUAGGCAUAUUAUGAGAUGCAGUAUGAAAUAGAUCCAACUUGUGUGAACUAAAACUUCUUAUGGUAGAAAGUGAUGAAUCUAUAGGAUCAAAGGGGCUGUAAAAAGGAAGUUUUAUUUGCCACACAAAGAACUGCUAGACGGAGUGGAAGAGGAGGCCAAGCAGUUCGAUCGUCCGUGCCCUAACUUAGCGACGAAGGACACCUACGGCGACGACGGAGAAGACGAUGUCCGCGGCCGGCGUGAAGACGGCGUUAGAGAGGUUGCGGCAGCUAAGCGCUUCGUCGCCGGCGUCGACGAGGGCUAGCGGUGGCGCUAGGGUUCGUGCGAGAGUGGAAGAAAGGAUAAUGACUAUGGUGAGGUGUGUAUUUAUAGGGACAGGGACGGCACAGUGUUAUUACACAGGUGCCCCUGGCGAUCCACAUCUGAAGGACACGUGGCCAUCAUGCAACAUAUCGGAGGUUGUUCCACGUUCCCACGCACACCUGGAUUGUCGGGUGGUCAUUCCCACUUCUUCGGGUUUCAGGUGAAUGAAUUAGCAUUGAAAGCAGACUUAAUGUUUGUCUCUAUAUCUUCUGCUGACAAGGAUGCAGAGAAGACAUUUGACAGUUUCAAGAGAAUGCAUAUGAUUUGAGAUAUAGAGUUUGAGAUAGAAAGCAUAGAGAGGUUAGGGUCCGAUCAUAUUCACUUAGUUCAAAAGAUUCAACAAGAAGACAUAGCUAUAAGUGAAUGAUGUAGAGGACAGAACACUAGUAUAUAUAUAUAUAUAUAAUCAACAUAGUGAAGAUAAUCAUGAAGACAUGUUGAGAUUGAAGCCAAACCAAAUGUGAAGACAUAGCAAAUGCAACGCAUGGGUGAAACACUUCAAACAGAAGAAUUUGGUGGUGGCGUUACCCACCGUAUAGGAAGUAUUAGACCCAGACACGACGCACAAUUAUCGUGGCGCUCUGAAGUCAAAUUCCACAUUAAUGUAUUCACACUUAGAAUGUAUGUCUUCAUUGAUUGAAGAUAUACUUUAUUUCGUGUGUUGCACAUCUAAGUCAUCAAUAUGCAUAAGUGUUAGGAUGUGUGCCUGAUCACAGGACAUUUGAGGAUUCCAGGAUAUUUAGCUCACACCGUAACUUGCAAAAUCUCUUCUCAUCCAAGGGCUUGGUGAAGAUAUCUGCCAAUUGCUCUUCAGUGUUGACGUGUAUGAUAUCAAUAUAUUCCUUCACAACAUGAUCUCUGAGAAAGUGAUGAUGAAUUUCAAUGUGCUUUGUCUUCGAGUGCUGAACUGGGUUGUUGGCGAUCUUGAUGGCGCUUUCGUUGUCGCAGUAGAGUGGCACUUGCUUCAGAUGAAUGCCAUAGUCUUUGAGUGUUUGCUUCAUCCACAGAAACUGAGCGCAGCAAGAUCCAGCAGCAAUGUAUUCAGAUUCAGCAGUGGAGAGAGAUACAUAGUCCGCUUCUUUGAAGACCAACAUACAAGUGAUCGUCCCAGAAAAUGACAUGUGCCUGAUGUAGACUUGCGAUCCACCUUGUCACCAGCAUAAUCAGCAUCCUAGAAUCCAACCAGAUCAAACUCUGAGCCCUUUGGAUACCAUAAUCCUAGUGUUGGGGUGUAAGCCAAAUAUCGAAGAAUUCGCUUCACAGCUAAGUGAUGCGAUUCCUUUGGUGCCGCUUGGAAUCGAGCACACAUGCAAACACUAAGCAUAAUAUUUGGCCUAGAUGCACAUAGAUAAAGUAAAGAACCAAUCAUGGAGCGGUAUACCUUUUGAUCGAACUCUUUACCAUUGUCGUCGGGACCCAGAUGAUGUUUGGCUGGCAUUGGCGUCGUGAAGCCUUUGCAGUCUUGCAUACCAAAUUUCUUUAGGCAAUCUUUGAGGUACUUCUCUUGAGAUAUAAAGAUGCCGUUGCGUUGCUAACGUAUUUGAAGACCAAGGAAGAACUUCAGCUCACCCAUCAUGGACAUCUGAUAUUGCUCUUGCAUCAUAUAUCCAAACUCUUCACUGUAUUUCUGAUUGGUGCAGCCGAAGAUAAUGUCAUCCACAUAUAUUUGGCACACAAACAGUUCACCAUCAUAUGUCUUCGUGAAGAGAGUGGGGUCGAGGGAACCAAAUUUGAAGCCUUUGCUCUUCAGGAAGUCUUUGAGUGUGUCAUACCAAGCCCGAGGGGCUUGUUUCAGGCCAUACAGUGCCUUGUUGAGCUUGUACACCAUGUCAGGAUGUUUUGGAUCUUCAAAGCCAGGCGGUUGUGCAACAUAUACUUCUUCUUCAAUCUUGCCAUUGAGAAAAGCGCUCUUCACAUCCAUUUGAUAUAGAAGUAUGUUAUGAUGAUUUGCAUAGGCCAGCAGUAUAUGUAUGGCUUCAAGUCUAGCCACAGGAGCAAAUGUUUCAUCGAAGUCAAUCCCUUCAACUUGAGUGUAUCCUUGAGCAACGAGACGAGCUUUGUUUCUGACAACUUGACCAUGCUCAUCUUGCUUGUUGCGAUAUAUCCAUUUGGUGCCUAUUAUAUUGUGCUUGCGAGGAUCAGGACGCUUAACCAGUUCCCAUACAUUAUUCAGCUCAAACUGUUGAAGCUCUUCUUGCAUAGCUUGAAUCCAUUCAGGUUCCAUGAAGGCUUCUUCAACUUUCUUGGGUUCAGUUAUUGAGACUAAUGCGAAGUGCCCACAGAAAUUUGCUAGCUGUGUUGCCCUUGAAUGAGUGAGUGGACCUGGUGCAUUGAUGCUAUCAAUUAUUCUCUCAAUCUGCACUUCAUUUGCAACACGAGGAUGUAUAGGACGAAGAUUUUGCUCUUGCUGAUCAUUGUCAUUGUUAGAGGGAUUGUCUUCAGGCUGAGCAUUGUCUUCAGGUUGAUCAGGUGCAGAGAUGAUAAGUUCCUCUUCAGGUUGAGCUUCAGAAGGUAUGAUUUCUCCAGUUCCCAUAAGUUUGAUUGAUUCACUGGAUGGAACUUCAUCUAGCACAUUUGGCAGGUGCUCUCUUUGUGAGCCGUUAGUCUCAUCGAACCGCACAUCCACUGUUUCAACCACUUUAUAAUGAAAGAGGUUGAAAACUCUGUAGGAGUGCGAAUCCUUUCCAUAUCCAAGCAUAAAACCCUCAUGUGCUUUUGGUGCAAAUUUUGAAGUGUGAUGUGGAUCCUUGAUCCAGCACCUGGCGCCAAAUACUCUGAAGUAACUGACAUUUGGCUUCUUGCCAGUAAGGAGCUCAUAGGAUGUCUUGUUCAGAAGCUUGUGAAGAUAAACACGGUUGAUGAUAUGGCAUGUAGUGUCAAUGGCUUCAGGCCAGAAUUUUCUCGGAGUCUUGUAUUCAUCAAGCAUCGUCCGAGCCAUCUCAAUAAGUGUUUUGUUCUUGCCUUCGACGACGCCAUUCUGCUGUGGCGUGUACGGAGCUGAGAAUUCAUGUGUGAUGCCUAAGGUAUCAAGAUAUGUAUCUAGGCCAGUGUUUUUGAAUUCAGUGCCAUUAUCACUUCUGAUGUGCUUUAUCUUGGCGCCAAGGUUGUUCAUUGCUCGAUUGGCGAAGCGUCUGAAGACAUCCUGCACUUCAGUCUUGUAAAGGAUUAUAUGUACCCAAGUAUAUCUUGAAUAAUCAUCAACAAUGACAAAGCCAUAGAGACAAGAAGUAGUAGUAAGAGUUGAGUAAUGAGCGGGACCGAAAAGAUCCAUGUGUAGCAGUUCGAAGGGUUGAGUCGUUGUCAUGAUUGUCUUCAAGGGAUGCUUGGCCCUCGUCAUCUUUCCUGCUUCACAGGCACCGCAUAAGUGAUCCUUCUUGAACUUGAUGCCCUUGAUGCCUAUGACAUGCUUCUUCUUUGCAAGGGUGUGGAGGUUCCUCAUGCCAGCAUGCCCUAGCCUUCGAUGCCAGAGCCAGCAUUCAGAAGCUUUUGCUAGAAGACAUACUGCAAGUUGUGGUCCUGCUGAGAAAUCUAACACGUACAAAUCAUCUUUCCGAUACCCUUCAAACACUAGAGAUUUGUCAGAUUCCAUUAGUACAAGGCGACGGUAUUUUCCAAACAUCAUAAUCAUGUUUAAAUCACAAAGCAUUGAGACAGACAUUAAGUUGAAACCAAGGGAUUCAACAAGCAUGACUUUAUCCAUGUGUUGAUCCUUUGAGAUUGCAACUCUACCUAGACCCAAUACCUUGCUUUUACCAGUGUUAGCAAAUGUGAUGUGACUUUUGUCAGAUGGACGUAAAGUUGAGUCCAUGAGAAGACUUCGCUUGCCAGUCAUGUGAUUUGUACACCCACUAUCAAUAAUCCAUUCUGAAGCAGCUGGUGUCGUACCCUAUAGUGCAGUUAGGGGGAUAGGCUUCACGAAGAGAAUUGUGAAGCAAAAACACUUGACGAACCAGUGGAUUAUUAAAGUUUAGAUCGAGAUUAGGACUGAUAGGGCCAGUUGCAAGUGAUUCAGGAACAAAGUACAUAAUAAGACCAUUUGGGCAUUUGAUCUUGCACCCUACAAGAUGUUUAAGGUCCCCAGCAAUAGUGUUAGACGAUUUUGGUUUUCGGCUGGAGACCUUUCCCUGCAAAAGAGAGUUAAGCUUUCUUAGCCACCCACAUCUUCAAGGGUGGCUUCGAAGCAAUGAGUCUAAGUGCAGCAUCUGAGAACUUUGGCUUUGGAGCCCUAGCAAAAAGUCUUGCAUGUGGACAAUAGUACUCAUAAGAAUAAGCAGAAUAGUUCUUGGUCUUAUGAACAUGGCAGUUUGAUGAACCACGCUCAUAUUCAUAGGCCUGAGUAUGGCUUCCCCGCAAAAUAUUUGCGUUAGUGCGACUCAGGUGAGUCCUCUAUCUGUAUGAAGACUUUGGACCGUAUGAAGCCUGUGGUCUGGGGUUUGUCUUCUUCACCUGUGGUGUCAUGAUGACAUUCACAGGAAGAUUCUCCAAACACCUCUUCGGCACCCAGAUCUUCUUCACAGGUGGUCCAUUCCUGCAGUUAGUACCAAUAUACCUGGAAAACACUUCACCAUUCUGAUUCUUAAACAGUUUAUAGUUUGCGUCAAAGGAUUCAUCAAUAACAAUGGGGUUAGCACAAGUGAAGCCAAAUAGGGUGGAUGGAUCUGCUGAAGGUUCCUUUGCAGCAACCCAUGUGGUUUUGGGGUACUGCUCAGGUUUCUAGUAAGAGCCAUCAGCAUUCAUUUUCCUUUUGAACCAAACACCCUCUUUCCUAGGGUUUCGGUUCAGGAUCUGCCUUUUGAGGACAUCACAUAGUGUUUGAUGCCCUUUGAGACUUUUGUACACCCCUGUUUCAAGCAGUGUUUUCAACCUAGCAUUCUCAUCAGCAAUAGCAGUGGUAUCCUCAGCAGAGGGUUUAGUUACCACAUCAACAGUUGAAGAUAUUGCAACAGUAGCAGUAGUAGAACAUUCAGCAUCAGAAGUAGCGUUAUCAUGCUCAAUGCAUUUAAGACAUGGUGGUUCAAAUCCUUCCUGAGCUGAACUGAUCUGUUCGGCGCGAAGUGACUCGUUUUCCUUUUGAAGAUCUUCAUGAGCCGCUCUCAAUUUCUCAAGAUCUUGCUUCCUUUGAAGAUAAUCAUAGAAAAGCAUUUCAUGAGUUGUUGAGAGCGUUUCAUGACGACUUUCAAGUUCCUCAUACUUAACGUGAAGAUUGUUUAUGUCUUCAACUAAGGACUGAGAUCGAGUCAUUUCAGCGUCUAACAGAUCAUCGCUUUUGUCUAACAGUUUUUGAAUGUGUUCCAUAGCUUUCUGUUGUUCAGUUGCAAUUUUAGCAAGUGUUUUGUAGCUAGGUUUGGGACCACAAUCAGAGUCAUCGUCACUAGAUGUUUGAUAGUGAGUAGUGCGUGUGUUUACCUUGGCACCGCGUGCCAUGAAGCAGUAGGAAGGAGCGGAGUAGUCCUUGUCAUUUGCAUCGGGGUCAGUGAUGAAGUCAUUGUCUUCAGUGUUGAAAAUGGACUUGGCAACGUAUGCUGUAGCCAGACUCGCAACGCCAGAAUCGGACUCCUCCUCAGACUCCACCUCCGCCUCCUCAGAAGCAGACUCCUCCUCAGAAUCCAUUUCCUUGCCAACAAACGCACGUGCCUUGCCAGAUGAGCUCUUCUUGUGUGAUGAAGACUUUGAGGAAGACUUGGAAGAAGGCUUUGAGUAUUUCUUCUUCUUCUUAUCGUCAGAGUCAUACUCCUUGCUCUUCUUCUUCUUGUUGUUCUCAUUGUCCCACUGUGCACACUCAGAGAUGUAGUGGCCAGAUUUCUUGCACUUGUGACAUGUUCUUUUCUUGUAGUCAUGAGCAGAAGCUUCAUCAUUCCUUGAGCUUGAUCGUGAAGACUUUCUGAAGCCUUUCUUCUUGGUGAAUUUUUGGAACUUCUUCACAAGCAUAGCAAGCUCCCUUCUAAUGUCUUCAGGAUCAUCAGAGCUGCUGUUAGAUUCUUCUUCAGAUGAGGAGACAGCUUUUGCCUUCAAGGCACGAGUUCGACCAUAGUUGGGACCAUAGAUGUCUCUUUUCCCAGAAAGCUGAAACUCGUGUGUGUUGAGCCUCUCAAGUAUGUCAGACGGAUCGAGUGUCUUGAAAUCAAGACGUUGUUGAAUCAUCAGGGCUAGGGUGUCAAACGAACUGUCAAGUGAUCUCAGGAGUGUCUUGAUGACUUCAUGCUUGGUGAUCUCAGUAGUGCCGAGGGAUUGAAGCUCAUUUGUGAUGUCGGAGAGUCGAUCAAACGUGAGCUGGACAUUCUCAUUGUCAUUUCUCUUGAAGCGGUUGAAGAGGUUGCGAAGGACACUGAUUCUCUAAUCUCUCUGGGUUGAGAUGCCUUCGUUAACCUUGGAGAGCCAGUCCCAGACUAGCUUAGAUGUUUCCAAAGCACUCACGCGGCCAUACUGUCCUUUGGUCAGAUGACCACAGAUGAUAUUCUUGGCAGCAGAGUCCAGUUGAACGAACUUCUUGACAUCAGCGGCAGUGACACCUUCUCCAGCCUUGGGAACGCCGUUCUUGACGACAUACCAUAGGUCGACAUCAAUGGCUUCAAGAUGCAUGCGAAUCUUAUUCUUCCAGUAGGGAUAUUCAGUUCCAUCGAAGACGGGGCACGCAAUGGAGACUUUAAUUAUCCCUGCAGUUGACAUAGCUAAAACUCCAGGUGGUUAAACCGAAUCACACAGAACAAGGGAGUACCUCGCUCUGAUACCAAUUGAAAGUGCUAGUGAUCGACUAUGGGGGUGAAUAGGCGAUUUUUAUGAAAGUCUUCAAAACAUGUAAGUUUCGAAGACAAACGAUAGAAAUAAACCUAUUAUCAUGCAGCGGAAGGUAGACUACACUAGACAAACCAUAGUCACGUAUCCAAUGAAGUGAAAGCACAAUGACUAAUAGCAGCUAGACAGUAAGGAUCAGGUAGGAAGAUAUUGUGAAGCCAAUCAGAACAAGUAAUCACUCAGUGAAGUCGAAUGGUGAUGUUAUCGUACAAUGACUUCACAAGAACCAACAGUAAGUAAAGGGAAGGGAAGGAUGAAACCAGUGACUUGUUGAAGACAAUGGUUUGUUGGACCAGUUCCAGUUGCUGUGACAACUGUACGUCUGGUUAGGGAGGCUGAGAUUCAACUCAGAAGACCUCGUCUUCACCUUAUUCCCCUUGAGCUAAGGACACCCAAUCCUCGCCCAAUCACUCUGGUAAGUCUUCAAGGUAGACUUCCAAACCUUCACAGACUUCAUUCACCGGCAAUCCACAAUGACUCUUGGAUGCUCAGAACGCGACGCCUAACCGGCUAGAGGAUUCACAGUCCUCAAGUGUAAUAAGUCUUCAGAUCACACAGACAAGAAGACUUAAGUGAUGCCUAACACUCUUUGGCUCUGGGUGGUUAGGGCUUUAUUUUCUCAAGGAAUUCUCUCUCAAAGGCUUCGAGGUGGGUUGCUCUCAAACGACAAAAGCCGUACUUUAACUCUGAGCAGCCAACCGUUCAUGGUUGUAGGGGGUGGGCUAUUUAUAGCCACUAGGCAACCCGACCUGAUUUGUCCGAAAUGACCCUGGGUCACUAAGGAACUGACACGUGUUCCAACGGUCAGAUUUCAAACACACACGACAACUUUACUUGGGCUACAAGCAAAGCUGACUUGUCCAACUCUGAACAAGAUUCGCUCUCAUAGUCUUCACUCGAAGACAUAGGAUUUUGGUUAAGCAUCACUUCAGUCAUUCUGACUGGUUCUCUUGGACCCCACUUAACAGUACGGUGGUUCCUAUGACUCAACAAAGAAGAAAAAGAACUACGAAAGAUCUAAGUCUUCGCGCUCCAUAGUCUUCAUGCGAUGUCUUCUCUUGUCAUAGUCUUCAAUGUGAAUGUCUUCACAUACCACCUUUGACUUCAAUGUCUUCAUGCAUUUUUAGGGGUCAUCUCUGGUGGGAAAAUGAAUCAAUGAGGGACUUCUACCUGUGUUAUCCUGCAAUUCUCACAAACACAUUAGUCCCUCAACUAGGUUUGUCGUCAAUACUCCAAAACCAACUAGGGGUGGCACUAGAUGCACUUACAGAGGCCCAUCUGUCCCGGUUCUGGAUUGAACCGGGACUAAAGGGACAGGGCAUUGGUACCAACCCUUUAGUCCCGAUUCAGGAACCGGGACAAAAGGUCCUUACGAACCGGGACAAUAGGCCCUUUUUCUACUAGUGUAUACAUGUUCCUAUGACUAUGAGAUUAUGCAACUCCCGUUUACCGGAGGAACACUUUGUGUGCCACCAAACGUCACAAUGUAACUAGGUGAUUAUAAAGGUGCUCUACAGGUGUCUCCAAAGGUACUUGUUGGGUUGGCGUAUUUCGAGAUUAGGAUUUGUUAAUCUGAUUGUCGGAGAGGUAUCUCUAGGCCCACUCGGUAAUGUACAUCACUAUAAGCCUUGCAAGCAUUGCAACUAAUGAGUUGGGAUGAUGUAUUACGGAACGAGUAAAGAGACUUGCCGGUAACGAUAUUGAACUAGGUAUUGAGAUACCGACGACAGAAUCUCGGGCAAGUAACAUACCGAUGACAAAGGGAACAACGUAUGUUGUUAUGCGGUCUGACCGAUAAAGAUCUUCGUAGAAUAUGUAGGAGCCAAUAUGGGCAUCCAGGUCCCGCUAUUGGUUAUUGACCAUAGAGGUGUCUUGGUCAUGUCUACAUAGUUCUCGAACCCGUAGGGUCCGCACGCUUAACGUUCGUUGACGAUAUAGUACUUUAUGAGUUAUGUAUGUUGAUGACCGAAUGUUUUUCGGAGUCCGGGACGAGAUCACGGACAUGACAAGGAACUCCGAAAUGGUCCGGAGAUAAAGUUUGAUAUAUGGGAUAAUAGUGUUUGGUCACCAGAAGGGUUCCGUAAAUCACCGGAAGGGGUUCCGGAUGUUUCCCAAAAUGUUUGGAUACGAGAACACUUUAUUUGGGCCAAAGGGGAAAGCCCACAAGGUUUCUGAAAAGUGCAAAAGGAAGUUUUGCGGAGUCCAGUGGCCAGACGCCAGGGUCCCUGGCGUCUGGGUCCAGACGGCGGGAACCCUGGCGUCUGGCCCUGGAGUCCGAGAAGGACUCUUGCCUUUCGGGUGAAACCGACUUUGUGGAGGCUUUUACUCCAAGUUUCGACCCCAAGGCUCAACAUAUAAAUAGAGGGGUAGGGCUAGCACCCAAGACAUAUCGAGAAACACCAAGCCGUGUGCCGGCAACCCCGUCCCCUCUAGUUUAUCCUCCGUCACAGUUUUCGUAGUGCUUAGGCGAAGCCCUGCAGAGAUUGUUCUUCACCAACACCGUCACCACGCCGUCGUGCUGUCGGAACUCAUCUACUACUUCGCCCCUCUUGCUGGAUCGAGAAGGCGGGGACGUCACCGAGCCGAACGUGUGCAGAACUCGGAGGUGCCGUGCUUUCGGUACUUGGAUCGGUCAUACGUGAAGACGUACGACUACAUCAACCGCGUUGAUAUAACUCUUCCGCGAACGGUCUACGAGGAUACGUAGACAACACUCUCCCCUCUCCUUGCUAUGCAUCACCAUGAUCUUGCGUGUGCGUAGGAAAUUUUUUGAAAUUACUACGUUCCCCAACACCCCCAAUGAGUAUACAAAGAAGCAGUGCUCCAGCUUCGAAAAAAAUGUAGAAACCAUACUAUCGACGAUUACAUGUUAGAAUUCCUAUGGAGCAGAGGAGGAAUGUGAAUGACUCAUGGUUAGGAGAUGCUAGUCCACUUAAUCAGCAAUACCCUACGAUUAUACAACAGUGUUCUUGUAACGCCCUCGAUGCGGCUAUAUCUCCCACGUGUCGAAGCACGACUAAGAGGCAUAACCGCAUUGAAAGCAAUGUCGCAAAUGAGGUAAUCUUCACACAACCCAUGUAAUACAUAAGGGAAAGAGAUACAUAGCUGGCUUACAAUCGCCACUACACACAAGUACAUGAAUAAAGCAUUACAUCAUCCAAAUACAAUCAAGGUCCGACUACGGAACCAAAAUAAAAGAAGAACCCCAAAUGCGACAAAGGUCCCCGAUCGACCCCAACUAGGCACCACUACUGAUCAACUAGAACAAAACAACACAAAGGACAAGAUCUUCAUCGAGCUCCUCCUGAGCUUGGUUGCGUCAUCUGCACGGACUCAUCGGCACCUGCAAGCUGGUUUUGGAAGUAUCUGUGAGCCACGGGGACUCAGCAAUCUCGCACCCUCACGAUCAAGACUAUUUAAGCCUAUGGGUAAGGUAAAGGUAUGAGGUGGAGCUGCAACAAGCGACUAGCAUAUAUGGUGGCUAACAUACGCAAAUGAGAGCGGGAAGAGAAGGCAAAGCACGGUCGAUAAAAGUAUGAUCAAGAAGUGAUCCUAAAACAACCUACGUCAAACAUAACUCCAACACCGUGUUCGCUUCCCGGACUCCGCCGGAAAGAGACCAUCACGGUUACACACGCAGUUGACUCAUUUUAAUUAAGUUAAGGUUCAAGUUAUCUACAACCGGACAUUAACAAAUUCCCAUCUGCCCAUAACUGCAGGCAUGGCUUUCGAAAGUUCAAAACCCUGUAGGGGUGUCCCAACUUAGCCCAUGACAAGCUCUCACGGCCAACGAAGGAAUAGAACUCCUCCCGAGACGUUCCGAUCAGACUCGGUGUCCUGGUUCUUCAAGACACUUCGACAGGUUAAAACAAAUCCAGCAACACCGCCCGAAUGUGCUGACAAAUCCUGAUAGGAGCUGCACAUAUCUCUUUCCCAGGGCACACUCAGAUGAGACAUCCUACGAGUAAAACCAACCCUCAAGUUGCCCCGAGGUGGCCCCGCAGUCUACUCGGUCGGACCAACACUCAGAGGAGCACUGGCCCGGGGGGGUUAAAAUAAUGAUGACCCUCGAGAGAGCGACUCCCAGGGGAAAAGUAGGUGGUGGUGAGGCAAAUGGUAAAACCAAGGUUGGGCAUUGCUGGAGGAGUUUUAUUCAAGGAGAACUGUCAAGGGGUUCCCAUUAUUACCCAACCGCGUAAGGAACGCAAAAUCCGGGAACAUAACACCGAUAUGACGGAAACUAGGGCGGCAAGAGUGGAACAAAACACCAGGCAUAAGGCCGAGUCUUCCACCCUUUACCAAUUAUAUAGAUGCAUUAAUUAAAUAAGAUAUAUUGUGAUAUCCCAACAAGUAAACAUGUUCCAACAAGGAACAACAUCUCCAUGUUCCAACAAGGAACAAACUUCAAUCUUCACCUGCAACUAACAACGCUAUAAGAGGGGCUGAGCAAAGCGGUAACAUAGUCAAACAACGGUUUGCUAGGACAAGGUGGGUUAGAGGCUUGGUUCAACAAUAUAGGAGGCAUGAUAAGCAAGUGGUAGGCAUCAUAGCAUAGGCCUAGCAAAAGAGCGAGCAUCUAGCAAGCAAAGAUAGAAGUGAUUUCGAGGGUAUGAUCAUCUUGCCUGAAAUCCCGCAAGGAAGAAGAACGAGUCCAUGAAGAAGACAAACGGAUGUAGACGAACGGGUCCUCACAAACACGACGUUACCGGAUCCAACCCGAAGAAGCAAACACCAGAAAGAAGCACACAACAUAGUAAACAACCAACACAUGUACAUGGUAUGCUAUGCGGGAUGCGGUAUACGAUGCAUAUGCAUGACUUGACAAGGAAUGAUUGAACCUGGCCUCAACUUGGGAAUCCAAGUGUGCCACUGGAAAGAUGAGAUGAAAUCGCUUAAAAACGAUAUAAAGAUCACCGGAAACGGAGCUACGGUUUGGAAAUGGCAAGCAAUUCAAUUAUGACACCGGUAUGAGAUUUAUAGCAAGUAGCCAUCUAAAUGCAAUGAGAUGAACAUGCUACAGCACCCAAACAUGGCAUCAAAAUACAUGGCAGGAAUCCAUUCAUGAUGCUUAACAAAAGAUGAACACUGAGCUACAGCCAAUUCAUCCAUUAACAGGUUCAAACAAGCAUGGCAAAAAUGCAUAUGGUAAACAGAUUUCAGACUUAGUGAAAUUAACACUUGCCUGGAAUUUCAGAUCAGGUAGCACUCUUCGGAGCAUGAAAACUAUAUGCUACAGGAUCUGAACAUGGCAAAGUAAAGCAUGGCAUGGAGCUACUCAAAGAGCUUAACAAAAGUCCCUUAGUGACCUUGAGCUAAAAGGGAUCAGAAAAUACAAUUGCAAGCAUGUGAACAUGGCAAAACCAUAAUCAGAUCACAGACUUGGUGAAAACUGGAGCAUGCUGAAAACAGAUAUCAAGUAGGCAUGUUUACGAGCUCGAUGCACUCACUACGGAGCAAGUCAUGAUAAACUAAGCAUACAUCCAUCAAGAAUACACAAAAUGCAAGCUAGACAUGGCAAGAACAAUAACAUAGCAUGCACGGAUCAACUACAACAUCAUCGGCAAAAUCGCUAACAAGUAGACAAUCUGCCCAGAUUCACGAAAUGACAAAAGUAGAGCUCGAUUGACUCAAGCUAGGGUGCUCCAUAAUUGCAAACAAAGACAUGUAUGGAUAGAGCACUACAAGAUUAACAAAACAUCCUUACUGAUCAUCCUCAAAAGAGGCACGGAUCACUAGGAAACAACAUGAACAUAUGGCCAUAUGAGAUAAACAGCUCAAGGACUUAGUGGAAAUGCUAAGUCCCUGAAAUCAGCAUUAACGAAUGCCUCACUUUGCAAGCUUGUGCUAGUCACCACACACAUCACAAAAAUACAUGGGUUGCACCUCUCGAAAGAUGGCAAAACUCUUAACAAAACAUAUGUAGAGCUCAUGGGCAUAUCAUGCACAUAAUAAUCAUGGCAAAAAUGACAAAUAUCUAAAUGGAGCAGCAGAUCUGACAAUUAUCUCAAGUAGCACUCUUCCAACAGCAUUUCGGGCAUCAAGAUGAACUCAAAUGAAAAUGAUGCAAUGAGAUGAAAUGAUGUACUCUCUGAGAAGAACAUCUUGAUAUGCUAUAUGUCCAAAAUAGAUCUAAGGAUGCAAAGUUACGAGGCGAUGAACAUGUGCAUUUGAAACGUGGGAAAAAAUAUGGUGAGCGUUGGAUACUAAAGUGUGCUCAGGGCGAGGCUUAGCAGGACGCUCACCAAGUGGGCUCGGCCCACGGGAAGAGGAGAAGGCAGGCCGGCGGGCCGGCUGGAGCUGGGCCUGCGAGGCCAAGGCCCACGCGGCCACGCACGGUCAACGGCGUCGAUCAGAGCUGGAUCGGUUCCUCCCGAUCCAUGGUGGUGGCGGCGCUGGAGAAUCUCCGGCGAGGCUCGAGGCGACGACGGCGGCCGGAGAGCGAUGGGAAACGCCGGGGACGGCGCGGGGGCUGCCGGAUCUGGCCGGAGGUGGCCGGAUCCGGGCGAUGGCGAGGUGGAGUGAGGCGCCGGAGCGGGCGGCGCUCGCCGGCGAGUUGUGCCGCGGCGGCGGCGAAGCGCGCCGGUGAGGAGGCGGCGCGAGGUGUCGGGGAGGAUGGGCGGAGCUGGCGGCGGAAGGACCCGGGCCGGGGAGGGCCGGAUCUGGGCGCCUCGGGCCCGGCGGCGCGGGGACGGCGGCGGUGGACAGGUGACGCGCCGCGGUUGGACGCGGACAAUGGAGCGGACAUGUCCGGCGUGGGGGAAUUUUGUCCGGCGGCGCGGAGAGGACGGAGUUAGGGUUUCAUCCGCGAAUUUCGGGAGGGGAGCAUAUAUUUAUAGGUAGAGAGAGCUAGGAGAGUCCAAAUGAGGUGCGGUUUUCGGCCACGCGAUCGUGAUCGAACGCUCUAGAUGAUGGAAAGGGUUUUGGUAGGUUUUGGGCCAAAUUGGAAGGGUGUUAGGCUGCAACACACACGAGGCCUUUUCGGUCCCUCGGUUAACCGUUGGAAUAUCAAACGAAGUCCAAAUGGCACGAAACUUGACAGGCGGUCUACCGGUAGUAAACCAAGGCCGCAUGACAAGUCUCGGUCCAAUCCGGAAAUGUUUAAUCCCCACACACAAGAAGAAGAUAGAAAUGACCAUCGGAGGAGAACGGAGCACCGGAAUGCAAAACGGACAACGGGGAAAAUGCUCGGAUGCAUGAGACGAACACGUAUGCAAAUGAAAUGCACAUGAUGACAUGAUAUUCAAUGCAUGACACGUAAGCAAUGACAAGGCAACAACGGCGAAUAACUGGACGACACCUGGCACAUCGGUCUCGGGGCGUUACAGUUCUAGUGGAAACAUGUUUCAUUUGCAGAUGUUAUAACCGUGGUAUCACCAAUGUUAGCUUUCGAAGGACGCUUCAAAGAUAUCCGUCCUGGCUCCAUUUGGUUCAGCGAUAAAUGUGGAUUAGCCCAGCACAAAACAAGUGUAAUAACCUAACACAUGAGCCGAGUGUGACAAUGCGUUCCAAUUUAGCUCCAUGUUUUAGGCUCUUUCUCAUUGAAAUCAAUGUAUGUGCCUACUAGGUGAAUGAUGAUUAUCAAUUUUGUAGUCAAAAUCUUUAUUUGGUACAUGUGUAGAGGACCGCCCUCAUAUUUUGUGCCCUUGAAGUGGAUUUGUAUGGCAUGUCGCAGUCUGUCAUCCUUGGGUGAUACUAGUAAUAUUCCCAACUCUCAAGGACAAAGUCAGCAAGCACCGGUGACUUGAUGGCGGUUCCCGAGAUGAAGCCAAUGGAAAAAAUCGCCCAAGCUCCACCUCCCACUUUGAGAUCCUUUUAGUGGAAUGUUGACUAAUAUCAAUCCUAGGGAUAAUUGGUUGAGAUCACCAGCAGAUGUGCUUGGAAGUAAUCUCGCACCUUGCGAGAGACCAGGACCACUUUGUAAAACUUCAAGGUGGUCGGGCAUCGUUUCUUGGGACCAUGUAGAACCUCACUGACAAAGUAUACCUGUCACUGUUUCCUCUCAUAUUGUCCUUCCUCCUCUUGUCGCAUGACCACCGGGAUGCCACUCACGACUAUCGGUCUUGCCGCAAUGUAAAGUUCAUCGAGCUUGGGAGCUACCAGGACUGGAGGAUUGGUAAGGUAGGAUUUGACAUAUUGGAACGUUGUGUCAAAUUCUUUAAUCCACUUGAACUUGCCCAUCUUAUAGAGCACCUUGAAGAAAGAGGGGUCUUUGUUGCUCAGUCCAGCAAUGAAGCGACCGAUAGUGGUCAUGCACCCGUUGACCCGCUACUCAUCUUUUAUUUUUUUGAGGGGUUUCAUUUAUUUGAUAACUUUGAUCUUCAAUGAAUUGACCUCAACACAAUAUUGGAUAACAUGAACGUAAGAAGCUUGCCAACAUUAACACCAUAGAUGCACUUCUCAGGGUUGAGCAUCAUAUGUUUUUUCUUCGGAUGCAGAAAGUGUGUGGGACUAGUCCCCCCUUCUUAUUGGACAACAUCGGGUGAUUGAUGUACAAUUCAUGUUUCAGCCCAUCUGCUCUUCAAAGCUACUAUGGUAAGUAGUCACAAUAUUAACUAGGUUGAAAGCAUCUUGGCGUAACAAAACACUCCUAGUAGUGUGAUGUGAUUCAGAACUUCAUGCUCACUUGGCGAUAUAAAGAGUAUGCAUCCCGAACACAAAGGUACUCGUGGUCUGAUGUUGAGUCGACUAUCUCGUGGAUUCACUAUAGGGGUACAUAUAUUUGGGACAAGCUUUCUUGAGGUUGUUGAAGUCUAGGCACAUCUGCCACUUACUUGUUGGGUUUCAGGACCAACACCAGCUUGGCUAGCCAGUCGAGGUGUUUUUGAUGUCUGACCGAUCUCUUCUUGAAUGGCGACCUUUCGGUCAGGGGCUAAUAUUCCAAACUUCUGCAGGAUAGCCCCCAAGGAACACAUGAAGGUGAUAUUCAACAACUUCUCGUGGGAUCCCCAACAUGUCCAAGCUGUAACAGUAACAUCUAGAUGGUUUGGAAGGACGCGAGGAGUUCCUGCUCAUGCCGAGCAUCCAGUGUUGCCCCUGAUCUCGACGAUUAGGGAGGGGUCUAAAGUGACCCCCCGACCUCACUGUGUAUAGUCACAACCACCUUAAUUAGGUUGGGCGUGCUUCUUCAUGCCCGAGAAUCCGAUGAUGGUCAUGUCCAGGACAGAUGCCUGCGGCGUUGUCAUUGCCCUGUUUCUAACAUGAGAGUUGUAGACGAGAUUUGUUUGGGUCCCAUAGUGGGCUUGAAUUGUCGAUGAUUAAUUCACCAUCGGUCGUAUGUUCUACUGGGAGGUUGUGGAAGACAGUAGUGGGAAGAGUGGUGCUCCAAGAAUUUCAUUGAUGGUGAUGGUGACAUGGUGGUUUUACCCAAGUUUAAGCCCCCGAAUGGGUAAAAGCCCCUGCAUGUGGUGUAUAUUGAUCAAUUGGGGAAUUACAGUAGUGUAAUCUAUGUCGAUAGUCAGGCAGUUAUUUGUAGGGAGAUACGAUAUGAUUUAAAGACCAUGUUGUUACUCGGGCAUAGCUAGAUCACAGGCUUAGUGUGCUAGUCCUUAUCCCUUUUGAGUGUCUACUCGGGCAUGACUGGAUGCGGGCCCCGGUAUGUACCAAAUGUAAAAAAGACGAGGAAAAUAAAUAAAUAACUGCUAAGCUACAGGGGUUACCGUUGGAGUUGGAUCAUUGUCUGGGGCUAAAAAAUGGAGCAGCCCCAUUUGACAUCCACGGGCUUUGUUUUACGGCUUUCUGCUAGAAAUUCUCUAAGGUUCGAAAUAAAGAUUAUUAUAGCCUUUAUCUUUAAUCUAUUGUCAUUCGCCGAACUACCGUUGGCAAGGGAUGCUCUUCAUCACACGUACUGUAUACUCGUAACUACUGCCCCGUUGUCUGGGAGAUAAGCCCUGUGAAUCGGGAAUGAGGGAGUAUUUUCAGCAUGAGCGGUGCUAUGCUGAGCAUCAACUGGGAAUAAACAACUAGCUAGUCAACGAUCCCGUCCAUAGUUCCAUAUUGAUAUUGAUAGAGAGUUAGAGACCCAUCGACGCUCUGGAGGUCAUAGUGCUGCCGCAGUAACCCGAGCAAUUAAUGUGGAUGCAGAGAUCUCGAUCCCCAUCUUCACUAGCCGCCGGGUCGUCGGAGCCAGUAGCUGAUAAGGCGUGAGAUCCACUCGUUCGAAUCAGAUCCGAUGAUUUCUUUCGCUUCUUUUUUCCCGCCUUGCGAUCCUCGUGUGUACAGUGUACGUUAGACUACUCACUGGCCGGGCUAUAAAAGGAGCCGGUGUUUCCUUUCAUGGCAGGACACGAUCUAGCUCGCUCGCCCUUCUCAUCAUUCUCUCUAAGGCAGCCUCCAUUACAGGCAGCUCUCAGGCUGCUGAGUUCAUCCUGCUGUUGCGAGAAGGUAUCGGUUUCUCGCGCUUGUGUUGUGCGCUGCACACACAUUCCAUUGCCCGUUUCUACUUUUGUGGUAUACACACACAUACAGUAUUACCGUACGUGUAGUCCCUGAGCUUUGGUUGUUCUCUGUCAACUGUUAAAUACUCCUACAUGCUGGGACCGUUGUAUUUGCGCCGGCUGGUUUUGAAAUUUCGAUGUGUUCAGGUAUAGGUAGAUUGAUAUGUGUUAAACCUAGCUAUAAUCAUGCUGGUUUCCACUAACUUGAUGCAUGCCGCCGCCAAGAGAGGAACCUCUCACUGCAAUAGCCCACAGCCCCACAACUGUUCUUCUUUGCUGCAUAUAUAAGAUUCGUCGAAUGUUUACUCACAUAAUUGGUAUCCCUUUACUCAGGUCUAAGUAUAGUCAGACAAGAUGGGGAGUGUGCACAAGGCCACCUUCGUUCUCCUCAUGUUCUGCUUGGCGGUGCUGGGGAGAGCAGAAUAUCUCAAGUACAAGGACCCGAAGCAGUCGAUUGGUGUUCGCGUCAAGGACCUGCUCGGCCGGAUGACUCUCGCGGAGAAGAUCGGCCAGAUGACGCAGAUCGAGAGAGAGAACGCCACGACGGGGGUGCUAUCCAAGUACUUCAUAGGUAAACCAUAGCUAAAUAGUAUGUUGCAAAAUAUGGUGAAGGACUGCAGAGUUUGUGUUUGAUAUUGGUGUGCAUGCUGUGAUGCAGGUAGCGUGCUGAGUGGUGGAGGCAGCGUGCCUUCUUCCAAGGCAUCCGUUGCGGCUUGGCAGUCGAUGGUGAACGAAAUGCAGAAGGACGCCAUGUCCACCCGCCUGGGUAUUCCGAUUAUCUACGGUAUUGACGCUGUGCAUGGUCACAAUAACGUCUACAAAGCCACCGUCUUCCCCCAUAACGUUGGCCUCGGAGCUACCAGGUGUGAAUUUCUCUUGAUUUUUGAUAGGUUGUGAUAAUUUUGUACAAGAAGAGAAGACCACAAUGUGAUGCAUAUGUUAAUUCCCCGUCUAUAUGUAUUGUUAACGUGUCCCGGUCUUCCAGGGACCCUGAGUUGGUGAAGAGGAUAGGAGAAGCAACUGCUCUUGAAGUUAGAGCUACCGGGAUUCCAUAUGUCUUCGCUCCGUGUAUUGCGGUAAUGGAUAAUAUUGUUGCGUCUUGAACAGUUGGUCUGCAUAACAAACAUUUUUUUGAAGAAAAUAUGGCAAAGAUUUACUGUUCUUACUUACUCAUUUAUUUGUUUAUGAUCAGGUUUGUAGAGACCCAAGAUGGGGACGCUGCUAUGAAAGCUACAGCGAAGACCCAAAUGUUGUCCGUUCAAUGACCACAAUUAUCUCUGGCUUGCAAGGCGAUGAUCCAUCAGAAAUCAAGGGAAGACCAUAUGUUGGUGGAAGGUAUAUAAUAUACAUCUAAAAGAUUUCCAUUAUUUAUGGUCUUGUACCCGAACGUGUAAAUGUGAAAGUAAUGUUACAUUAGGAGAAAAAAUGUGACUAACUUUGUCAUCGCUUCGAUACCCCUUUGCAGUAAGAAAGUUGCCGCAUGUGCAAAGCACUAUGUUGGUGAUGGUGGUACGUUUAUGGGGAUCAAUGAGGGCAAUACAAUCAUCGACGAGCAUGGGAUGAUGACUAUUCAUAUGCCUGCUUAUUAUAAUUCUAUCAUCAGAGGCGUCUCUACUAUUAUGGUCUCAUACAACAGUUGGAACGGAAAGAAAAUGCACGCCAACCAUCACCUAAUCACGGAUUUCCUCAAGAACAAGCUCAAAUUUAGGGUAUGUUUCUCGUGACUGGCAAAAGAUUGAUCUCCGUAUUUGUUUUUCUUCUUCAAUAUUAAGAGAUACUCAUGUCAUUAAUCUCUUGGUAUUUUGUGCAUAUAGGGUUUUGUGAUUUCUGACUGGCAAGGCAUUGAUCGGAUUACUACUCCCGAACACCUGAACUAUUCCUAUUCAAUUGAGGCUGGAGUUGGUGCUGGUAUUGACAUGGUAAGCAAAGUCCAAGCACCUUCUAUGGACAAAGGUUGAGUUAAUAGCUAGCAUGAUAAAGUAUGUCCCUUGUCUGGUUAUGAUACAUUCUUGACAAUUAUUGUUAUCUCAUCUGCAUCUAAUACAAAUGUGGCAUUUUUUUCACUAGCUAUUUGUAAUAUAGUACACAUAAUCAUAAAAGAACAAGUUAAUUUUAAGAUGCAAAUUAAAAAAAAAAUGAAACUCCAUGGGCACUAGCACCCACGGUUUAUUGAUAUAGAAGAAGCAUCCCUCAUGAGAAUUCCAGAAAUUCGUCCCCGACGUGGAUCGAACUCUGGUCGUUAGGUUUACAAUCAUGCGCCCCCAACCACUGGGCUAUGCCCACGUCCUCUUAAGAUGCUUCUUCUAUAUCAAUAAUUGAUAUAGAGGACGUGGGCAUAGCCCAGUGGUUGGGGGCGCAUGAUUGUAAACCUAACGACCAGAGUUCGAUCCACGUCGGGGACGAAUUUCUGGAAUUCUCAUGAGGGAUGCUUCUUCUAUAUCAAUAAACCGUGGGUGCUAGUGCCCAUGGAGUUUCAUUUUUAAGAUGCAAAUUAAAAUAUGAGAAAACAUACCAAUAGGCUUCACCUCUCUCUCUCUCUCUCUCUCUCUCUCUCUCUCUCUCUCUCUUCAUUAUUGGUUAAAAGGGUAUUUUUCAUGUGUUGUUUUGCAGAUCAUGGUUCCUUUUGCCUACACAGAAUUCAUCGAUGAACUUACAUCCCAAGUUAAGAAGAACAUUAUCCCCAUGAGCAGAAUCGACGAUGCUGUCUACAGGAUUCUUCGGGUCAAGUUCACCAUGGGUCUAUUUGAGAACCCUUAUGCCGAUCCAAGCCUCGCCGGCGAACUCGGAAAGCAAGUUAGUUCCGGACAACAUACUUUCUUUCUCUCACACUUCAUUCUUGAAAAUAUAAAAUUCUUACUGUAAAUUCCUUCCCAUUGUUAGGAACACCGAGAAAUUGCUCGGGAAGCCGUCAGAAAAUCACUGGUGUUGCUGAAAAAUGGAAAAUCCGCCUACACUCCAUUGUUGCCCCUCCCCAAGAAGGCCGGCAAGAUCCUCGUCGCUGGAAGCCACGCCGACAACUUGGGCAACCAAUGUGGAGGAUGGACGAUCACAUGGCAAGGAUUGACCGGCAACGACAAUACUACUGGUAAAUAGUGUCUGUUGUUUCACUGCUUCUAGUGCUAAUUUGUAGCAACGUCGCCGUUCAUCAAUGAAACAAAAAUUCAUGGAAACGUAUGAUGAAACGCAGGGACGACCAUCCUUUCGGCGAUCAAGUCCACCGUCGACCCCAGCACGCAGGUGGUCUUCUCGGAGAACCCGGACAGCGCCGCCGUGGACAGCGGCAAGUACGACUACGCGGUUGUGGUUAUCGGCGAGCCGCCCUAUGCUGAGACGUUCGGCGACAACCUGAACCUGACGAUCCCUGCCCCCGGACCCUCGGUGAUCCAGACCGUCUGCAAGAGUGUCAAGUGCGUGGUCGUCCUCAUUUCCGGCAGGCCGCUGGUGGUGGAGCCAUACAUCGGCGCCAUGGACGCGUUCGUCGCCGCGUGGCUGCCCGGCACUGAAGGGCAGGGCGUGGCCGACGUUUUGUUCGGCGACUACGGGUUCACCGGGAAGUUGGCGAGGACGUGGUUCAAGUCGGUGGACCAGCUGCCGAUGAACGUCGGCGACAAGCACUACGACCCGCUGUUCCCCUUCGGGUUUGGCCUCACCACGCAGGCCAAGAAGUGAGUCCGGUGAGAUGACCGAGAUGGAAUGUAUCUCGGUUGGGCUGUGAGAGAUGGGAUACAUUGCGUUUAUGGUUGAUUUGCUUUCAAUAAAAGAGCGAUGUAUUCUUCCGGCUGUUGUGGUGUUAGUUCUGUUGUGCAACAAAAUCUAGCGCUUUGUUCUUCGACAUCCUCCCAUCAGAGAGUACGUGAGAAACAACGCCCCAGCCUUUCAAAAAUGUAGGGAGACCCAAAAGUGAAACAGCGCCCCAGCUUGGUGUGGAGUACUUGGCUCUACCUCUCUUGGAUUGGCAACUAAAAAGAGUAGACUUUCAAUUCCUUGAGCACAAGGUUCCAGGGAGGCUUGUCUCAUGGGAGGGCAAGAAUAUCACUGCAUUGGCCGCACCGCUCUUGUCAAGUCGGUGUUCACCUCUCAAGGGGUUUAUCAUCCGAGCACCCCUUACCUCGACCCCUCUUUGUCAUCCAGAUCCCACCUUGUUUCUGCUCGAGGGAGUUGGGAGCCGCCGCCCCUCUCCUCAACCCCCUCCCUCCCGAUCUAAUCUAAGGCUUCAAGCCACCGCCGCCCCUCUCCUCGCUGCCGCUGGAGCUCCGCGGGGCAAAGCCCAGGCGGGGGAUGAUGGCGGCGGCGGGGCCUUCCUCUACCGCGACGCCAGGAUGCGGCUGCGGUGGAGAUCCAUGCGGGUGUCCUAGACUUGCGCAUCGGUGGCGUAGCGGUGUGGGGCCCUCCGCCGUCGAUGGCUCACCCAGGCGGGGCGGCGGUUUUCGGGCGGUGGUGCGGCUCCGGUCGUGCGGUUUCCUAGCGGCAGACGUCAUCCAUGGGCAUGCUGGAUGACGGAGGAGGUUGAUCUGGUGGUCUAGCCGGGGAUGGGCGCGAAUUUGCCAGUGAAAUCUUGGUUUGGUGUCAGCCAGAAACUGCCAACGACGCCGCCCGCCAGUGUUGUUACCUCGUUGGAGGCGUUGUGGCGAUUUGUGUCCCCUGUGUGCCCCGGGGGAAACACCAGAUUUGGGCUUUCCAGAUCGGAUGAUGGCGAGGUUCCUGCGUCGUCACCCCCAUGGCAUCAUCUUUUGGGUUGUACAUCAGCUGGAGGGACAAGUGUUUGGCUUGCUGGUGGUUGGGAGCAGGUCUCCGUAUGCUUCUUAUGCGGUAACCAAGGUGGAGCGGCGUGCCAUCUACAGUAUCGACGACGGUGAGUCUUGGCGGCAAGGUGCAGCGGAGUCUCGACGCUGGAUACCAUAUGAUGAGCACGCGUAGGAGGCUGGCGUUGUCCGGCAUCGUGGUGGUGUCGACGGCAGAAGGGCCUGGAAUGAUCGGUGCAUUGAUUGCUCAUGGGACUACAGAAGAAGGCGGUGACGGAUUCUACAGCGUGCGCAUGCGGUGCAUGCUGAAGGUUUACUAAACCAGUUGGUGCUCCCGGCUAGCCAGCGGGCGGCUUGGUGAGGCCACCGGAUUUCUAGGUGUGCAUGACGCGACGUCAGGGCACAUCAUUUAUCUCGUGGGUAGGGCGAUUGUUUUCGCCAGAAAGGUGUGGCUUUGGGUUGAUCUAUGCAUUUAUUUUGUAAGACCUUAUCGAAUAAAAUAGUAAAGAUGGUUGUGUGCAUCGCUUGAUGCCGAGGAGGGGAUAAUCCUCCUUUGCGAAAGAGAAAAAAAUCCAAGCACCCUUCACAAUGUUAAGCUAGAGUAGGCUUUCCUUUGGUCGAGAACGAACAAGACCUUGGUGUAGAAUGCGAAGUCAAUUGGCAUAUCAUUGUCCCGUGGCACGACUUUCGCGGUUUUCGUGUGCUCAAUACCGAGAAAUUCACGAGGCUCUUAUAUUGCAUAGACCUUGGUUUGAAUGGAAGGAGCUAAGCAAGAUGUGGGUUGGAAUGGCCAAUCUUUGCGAUGAAACGGACGUCAAAUUGUUAUAUCAUUCACUACCAUCGUCGUUGGUGACUACGCGAGGACUCCUUUUUGGGACUUUCCCUUGGUGAAGGGCAUAAUCCCCAGGAGAUAACACCACUCAUAUAUGUGGCAUCCACGAGAAAUAAUUUGAAGACAAGAUAAACUUUAAAGGAUGAUGUUUGGAUCACCAAGAUCAAAAUUUCUACUAUCUUUCUAUGGCUCACAUUCGAGAAUUUAUAAUCCUUAGGGCACUUCUUCGCGACUUGCACCUGAAUGAAAAUGCGUGGUAGACAUUGUUUGGAAGCACAUGGCUAGUGGCCACUACUUGGGGGCAUAUGCGUACAUGGCAUAAUUUUUGGGGCUACCCCUAUGGACCUCACGGUGUGGUAAGCUUGGGCAUUGUCAAAGAUCAAAUUCUUUGCUUGGAUGCCUAUCCAAAAUAGGAUUUGGAUCGCCGAUAUACUGGACAAGAGAGGGUGGCCAAAUUGCUCCUAUGCCCCUAAUGCAAAAGAGAGUAUGAAUAUGUGGUGCAUAUUUUCUAAAAGUACUGGUUCAUUCUGAGGCUAUGGAAUUUGACCAAUGAGUGGUUCCAACUCGAGAGCAUUGUCACAUCCACAUGACACUUGGAGCUCUCUAACAAGGGCUGGUGGCUUAAUUUAUUUAAAAAAUACAAAUAUGAAAGCCAUAGCCUCCCUCACUAAGCCCAUUAAUUAGUUGGACUCUCCUGAACGAGCUUCCAGGAGUAGCAGGACGUUGGUCCUUGGAAGGUUGCUACGAAGCAGGACUGGGCAGAGAAGGUGCCGCUCGUGGACCAUUUCCAGAUCAGCUGGUCCGGUGCAUCAGAUAGGAUGGUAUGCGCGCGAUCUGCCAUAGCUACAGGUAUUGGCUGAUCUCAUGGAUGCAAGGAUGCAGUGUAUGUCGUGCGCCCAGGUGUUGCCAUUGAGCCCUUCCACCACCAUUCUGGCCUUGCGCUGGCACUUGGGGAUGCAGCUAUAGAGCAUGGGCAUAAGCUCGCAAUUUGACAACCCAUUAAGCCAACGAUCCUCCCUAAAUAGGGCAGUCGAUCCAUUCUCAAUAAUCAUGAAAGUAGAUACCGAAAGAACCGCGCUUUCAUCAGUGGAGAACUUAAGGUCGAGCCCCUGCCAUGCGCACUCUGGGUCCGUGCGAGAGAACCAGAGCCAACACAGCUGGAGCGGAAGCCCGACAUGCUCCAUGUCGCGAACUCCCAGACCACCAAGCUUGAGCGGGCGGCAAACAUGGCGCCAGUCCUUCGUUGGCGUCUCCCUGGAUUUUCUCUAGUUGCUAAUGGCGUAGCUAUGUANNNNNNNNNNNNNNNNNNNNNNNNNNNNNNNNNNNNNNNNNNNNNNNNNNNNNNNNNNNNNNNNNNNNNNNNNNNNNNNNNNNNNNNNNNNNNNNNNNNNNNNNNNNNNNNNNNNNNNNNNNNNNNNNNNNNNNNNNNNNNNNNNNNNNNNNNNNNNNNNNNNNNNNNNNNNNNNNNNNNNNNNNNNNNNNNNNNNNNNNNNNNNNNNNNNNNNNNNNNNNNNNNNNNNNNNNNNNNNNNNNNNNNNNNNNNNNNNNNNNNNNNNNNNNNNNNNNNNNNNNNNNNNNNNNNNNNNNNCCAACUUGUGAAGGAAAUUUUUUUUUGAGUGCUUAGGUGAAAACUUUUUUAGCUUUUGCCCGCAUCUGCCAUCCCGCCCGCAUCCGUGACCAUGCCGACGCCCCCCGCCCGCCGGCCCCGAUUGGCGCCGCCCCGGCCGGUGGCCACCGCGCAGUAGGCGAAGCCGGCGAAGGGACGAGGAGGCAGCGUCAAACGGCUGCCCAACCACAGCUGCAACCCGGCUGACAGUUCUACGCGGCCGUUGAAGCUCUCAAAGGCGGCCGCGGCGGCUCGGGGCGACGAGUCAUAGACGGUGCGGCCGGCGGCCUCCUCCAGCAGUCACACAUCCAUUCCGCGUGGAGGAAGAUGUGGCUGAACUGCGGCUGAGCAGUGGCUGGUAGCAGCCGUGCGGCCGUUUUCAUCUUCAUUUUGGAUCAUCUAUUGGAGUUGCAAAUUUGGACUAUCCGUUGGAGUUGAGCUUUUUCCGGAGCUCCAAAACGCAUUUUUUGGCGGUCCAAAUAUUACAUCUCCGGUUUUGAACUGCUAAAUUUUGGACCAUCUAUUGGAGAUGCUCUUAGGCUCUACCAUGCAUUGACUGAUUCACGUGUGAUCAGACUGUACUCAUAUUAUUUUCACUUUUUCAGCAUGAACUGCGCCGGACGGUAUGUGUAGGAGUACUAGUUAGCGUGGUCAGCAUCAACGGCGAAUUAACAACUAGUUAGCCAGCGAUCUCGUCCACAGAGAGACGUCUCAAUCGAUAGAUAAUGAGAGAGAUACCCAUGGAUCUUCUCUGGUGAUCGUAGUGGUGCUGCAGUAACGCAGGCAGAGAUCGGACUGUUCCUAUAUAUAGCACAGCACGAUCCGCCGUGGUCGUCGCUGCUACUAGCAAGUAAGGCGUGAGGUCCACUCUUGCGAAUCAAACCCAAUGAUCUCUUUCGUUUCUUUUUGUUAUCUUGAGAUCCUCGUGUGUACCUGAGACCACUCACGAGGGUAUAAGAGCAGCCAUUGUUUCCUUUCAUGACAUGACAUGCUCGCUCACCCUUCUCAUCAUUCUCACGCAGCCAAGAUGGGGAGUUUGCACAAGGCCACCUUUGUCCUCCUCAUGCUAUGCUUGUCAGCAUUGGGGAGAGCGGAAUAUCUCAAGUACAAGGACCCGAAUCAGCCCGUCGGCGCCCGCAUCAAGGAUCUGCUCGGACGAAUGACCCUCGCGGAGAAGAUAGGCCAGAUGACGCAGAUCGAGAGGGUAAACGCCACCGCGGAGGUGCUAUCGAAAUACUUCAUAGGUAAAAUCAUAUCCCACGCUCACGCUAAAACAUGUGCAAAUGGUGAAUGCCGGCUGCUGACUUUGUGUUUGACAUUGGUGUGCGGUGACGAAUGCAGGUAGCGUCCUAAGUAGCGGCGGUAGCCCGCCUUUUCCCCGAGCGUCUGCUGAGGAUUGGGCUUCAAUGGUGGAUGAAAUGCAAAGAGCCGCCCUCUCUACCCGCCUAGGCAUUCCGAUGAUCUACGGCAUUGACGCCGUGCAUGGUCACAAUAACGUCUACAAAGCUACCAUCUUCCCUCAUAACGUUGGUCUCGGAGCUACCAGGUAUAAAUGAAUUGCUCUUAAUUUUUUUUGUGAUAAGAUAGAUAUAUUUUGUAUAUUACAUCGAUAGGGUGUGACAAUUAUGUAGAAAAAGAAUAAACACAAAAUGUGAUAUGCAUAUAGUUUGCAAUGCAUAUGUUGAUUCCGUUUAUAUUGUUAAUGUCUCGUGGCCUUCCAGGGACCCUAUGCUGGUCAAGAGGAUAGGAGAAGCAACUGCUCUUGAAGUUAGAGCUACCGGGAUUCCAUACGUCUUUGCUCCAUGUAUUGCGGUAAUAGAUAAUAUACUACAUGUUGCAGGUCGGUCUGGAUAGCAAAGAUUAUUGUUCUUAGUUACUCAUUUGCUUAUUUUAUUACUCAGGUUUGUAGAGACCCAAGAUGGGGACGCUGCUAUGAAAGCUAUAGUGAAGACCCAAACAUUGUCCGGUCAAUGACCACAAUCAUCUCUGGCUUGCAAGGUGAUGUUCCCUCAGGUUCCGAGGGAAGACCAUAUGUUGGUGGAAGGUACUCCCUCCGGUCCUUUUUAAUUUGCAUAUAAGAUUUGACUGAAGUCAAGCCUCGUAAAGUUUGACCAACUUUGUAGAAAAAAGUGCCAACAUUCACAAUCUGAAAUCAAUACCACUAGAUGUGUCAUGACUUAAAGUUUCAUAUUAUAUAACUUUAGCAUGGCAGUUGUGGAUAUUUUUUCAUAUAAAUACGAUCAAACUUUGUGAAGUUUGACUCCAGAGAAUUCUAAUAUAUGCAGAGUAAAAAGGACCGGAGGGAGUAAUAUAUAUCCAACACAUAGUAGCCAAAUUGUCUCCUGGACGUGUAAAUGUGAAAGUAACGUUACAUUAGGAGAUGUGACUAACUUUGCCGCCACUCUGAUAUCCUCUGCAGUAAGAAAGUUGCCGCAUGCGCAAAGCACUAUGUUGGUGAUGGUGGGACGUUCAUGGGGAUCAACGAGGGCAAUACAAUCAUCGACAACCAUGGGAUGAUGACUAUCCAUAUGCCUGCUUACUAUAAUUCUAUCAUCAGGGGCGUAUCCACUAUUAUGGUCUCGUUCAAUAGUUGGAAUGGAAAGAAAAUGCACGCCAACCAUUACCUAAUCACAGAUUUUCUCAAGAACAAACUCAAAUUUAGAGUAUGUUGCUCAUUCUCGCAGAAGAUGUCUCUCCCUAGCUAUUUGUUUUUCUUCUUGUGUAUUAAGAUAUAUUGGUGUCAUUAAUUUAUUAUGACUUUGUGCAAACAGGGUUUCGUGAUUUCAGACUGGCAAGGCAUUGAUAAGAUUACGACUCCCCCACACUUGAACUAUUCCUAUUCAAUUGAGGCCGGAAUUGGUGCUGGUAUUGACAUGGUAAGCCAAGUCCAAUCAACUUGUAUCGACAAAACUCGAGUUGAUAGCUAGCAUGAUAAAGGAUGUUGCUUGUCUAGUUAUGAUACAUCCUUGACGAUUGUUAUCUCAUCUGCAACUAAUACAGAUGUGACAAUUUAUUCAGUAGCUAUUUUCCAUAUGAUCAUAAAAUAGUAUGCUAAUUUUAAGAUACAACUUCACUAGAAGGAAAAUAUACAUUUGUUAUACAAUUUAAACUGAGAAAACAUAUCAAUAGACUACACCCUCUCUCUAUCUCAAUACCCAAAAAUUCAUAUUUUUGUUGAAAAAAUGUUUAGCAUAUUUUAUUUUGCAGAUCAUGGUUCCUUUUGGCUACACAGAAUUCAUUGAUGAUCUGACAUCCCAAGUUGAGAAAAACAUUAUCCCUAUGAGCAGAAUCGACGAUGCUGUCUACAGGAUUCUUCGGGUCAAGUUUACCAUGGGUCUAUUUGAGAACCCUUAUGCUGAUCGAAGUCUUGUUGGUGAACUCGGGAAGCAAGUUAGUUUUUACCACCACAUUUUCUUUCACUGACACUUCAUUCGUUAAGAUACUAGAAAGCUUUACUAUAAAUUUCUUCCCAUCGUUAGGAACACCGAGAACUCGCUAGGGAAGCCGUCAGGAAAUCAUUGGUGUUGCUGAAAAAUGGAAAACAUGCAUCCACCCCAUUGUUGCCUCUCCCAAAGAAGGCUGGUAAGAUACUUGUAGCCGGGAGCCACGCCGACAACUUGGGCAACCAGUGUGGAGGAUGGACAAUCGAAUGGCAAGGAGACACCGGCAACAAUAAAACUGUUGGUAAAUGGGUGUCUCUUAUUUCAGUGCAUGUUGUACUAAUUAGUAGGAGCAUCGUUGAUCAUUGCAACAAAAGCUCAUGGAAUCAUGUGAUGAAACGCAGGGACGACGAUCCUUUCGGCGAUCAAGUCAACCGUCGACCCUAGCACACGAGUGGUCUUCUCUGUUAACCCAGAUAGCACUGUCGUGGAAAAUGGCAAGUAUGAUUAUGCCAUCGUGGUGGUGGGUGAGGCACCCUAUGCCGAGACAUUCGGCGACAAUCUAAACUUGACGAUCCCUGCCCCCGGCCCCUCGCUCGUCCAGACUGUCUGCAAGAAGAUCAACUGUGUGGUGGUGCUCAUCUCCGGUAGACCGCUGGUGGUGGAACCCUACAUUGGUGCCACGGAUGCGUUAGUCGCCGCCUGGCUACCCGGCACGGAGGGCCAAGGUGUCGCCGACGUGCUCUUCGGCAACUACGGGUUCUCCGGGAAGCUGGCGAGGACAUGGUUCAAGUCGGUGGACCAGCUGCCAAUGAACGUUGGGGACAAGCACUAUGACCCGUUGUUCCCCUUCGGGUUUGGCCUCACCACGGAGGCAAAAAAGUGAACGGGGUGAGAUAAUUGAAAUGGGAGGAAUGACGGUUGGUAUGCGAGAGACGAGACUGUCAACCGUUGAAUCAUGUCAACCUCCAUAGGGUGCGCAUGGCUUUAUCUAUCUACUAUCUACUCCCUCCGUUCCCAAAUAAUUGUCUUUCUAGCCAUCUCAAAUGAACUACAACAUACGGACGUAUGUAGACAUGUUUUAGAGUGUAGAUUCACUCAUUUUAUUCCGUAUGUAGUCACUUGUUGAAACCUCUAGAAAGACAAUUAUUUAGGAACGGAGGGAGUACAACUUAUUACAUGUACUUGUAUAAAUAAAAAUACGAGUGAGGUGAAUCCAAAUAAUGUCACUCAUUUGACCACCUAUAUCCAAUGUGUCCAUGCACCAAUGAGCUGCCGUCUAUGUUUCGGCCUAGCAAAGCACCUAGCCAAGUCACUCAACCGGUGGUGCAUACGGAGGUUGCACAUCGAGCUAGACCAAAGCAACUCAGAAGCAACAUCGCCAAGGACGGCGAGCCAUAUGUUGCGAGUUAGGACCUUGUCUUACUGAGAAGCUGAAACCAAAAGGCACGACCAAUGAGGACACCAAUGAGUGGACAAUGAGGACACCAAUGAAGGCUGCAAUCGAUGCAAUGUUACCCGUCAUACAUGCACCUGUCAUAGCCAAAGGGGAGUCGCCGGAGUGAAGGACGUCAAGGUAAAGCUUGGAAAUAUGCUAUUGAAUUGGACAUGUGUUGCACCUGCACGAUUACUAGUAUCGAUAGGCAUAAGAGCCAAAGAAUUGUUCUAAAAAAACAUACAAGCAAAAUUAUUCUCAGAAAAAAACCGUACAAGCAAAAUUAAUAACUGAACAAACUGAAACCAGUGUAUAUAAAAGUAUAACGUUACUUCUUGAAUAUACGCUAACAGGGUGUCAUGAUAACUCACAAAACAUGCAUGUACAUGAGUAACCAACAUAAGAAUAAAAGUAACUAACUUCAUCCCACAAUACAGACCAUAGUAGACCAUACCAAGAUACAACAAACCAGGGCACCCUUCUUUAUCUUUGGUACUGAAGAUUAAAAGCUGCAGUCGAAAAUAAAAUCCCUUCACAACAUCGGACCAUGUCCCUUCUGAGUAACUGAAAAAAUAUUGGAGACCAGGGAGAGCUGCUGGACAACCAAAAAGAUCCCAUUAGUACGCAUGAGCAGACAUUUUCUAUCAAGUCUACUACUCCCCUGUAUUCAAUCAACUGCAUCUUCAAUGAACCUUUUUGAUGGAAUCAACAGAAACUUUCGAAUAUACAACUCCAGUGCUUCAAUUAAAAAUAGUUGGAGCCAUGGAGCUAAGCAAAAUGGAUGUGAAACACUGGUUUCAGAUUACAUGUAUUGUCUAAGCUGUGAAUCCCUAUUUCUCCUCUAUUUUCGAUAUCCAUCAUUUUAAAUUUGAUCUUUCACUGUGGGUUAAUUUACAGUUUGCAUUGUGGCGAUUCUCCUUUUCAAAACCAUCCAAGCUUGAGAUAUUAGUACUAUUUCACAAGCUGUCUAUCAAGUACCAACCAUCCAUUAGAAUUCCCCACAUGUUACCUCAUCUCACCCAAGUAUAGAACUUUGCAGGUAUCAAAAUUGUAGGCCACUGUUCUGGAGGCCCCAUGAAAGAAAACAAACUCUUUGUAAGGAUGAAAUCCAAGACAAUAAAAAUAAUCCCGAUAACCACCCUUGUCAUCCCAAUCAUCUGUGCUAACCACGUAUUCAUUGUCAGAGUCCCAGUCAAAAUCGCCUUCCGUCAUUGCUUUGUCAUUGUCAUGUGCAGGCUGAAGAUUGAUGUCAUUCUUCAACACCAGCUCCAUCUGAUCCUCCGACUGCACGACCCAGUAUGGGCCAUCAACGUGAUUGGCAGGAUAAAUUUCCACUACUCGCUGAAGGUCGAUGACAUUCCUCAGUGCCCACUCCAUCUGACCAUGCGAUUCAUCAAGGAACCAAAUCUGAAAUGUGUUGCAGUCGACGCGGAAUGCGCAAUACACCCCCUUCUCUGAUUUUCCUAUGCGAGGCGGAGUAUAUCCUUUAUUUCCAUCUGGAAACUUGAUCACUCGAUAGGUAUCGUGCAACAAGUUUAUUCUGCAAGAACCAAAUCAACAAUGAUAAACAUUAUAUAAUAAGCAAAAUUAUACGAACAUUGGUGGGCAAAAGAAACAACUGAACAUCCAAUUGCAUCUGGUGCCUAAGAUGGGGGGGUAGAUAUAUAGUACUACCUCAGAAGAAAUUCCUCUUCGCAACGAACAUAGAGCGCGUCCUUCCAACAGGAUAAUGAAUCUCACGUGAUGUAUUGCCUUAGUCAGAGCCGGUUACAUAUACACGGUGCUGCCCUACAUGCAGGACAUGAUUACAGGAGAUGGCGCUACACUAGGAAGGCUCCUGGAGACUAGGACUAAUAGUUACAACAUCAACAAGAUAUACAUCACAGGUUUACAAGAGUAACGUGACAGUUCAACACCCCCCCGCAGUCCGAACGGCGCCAGGGAAGACGUUCAGACUGGAGUGAAAGUCACGAAAAACCGAAGACGGCAGCCCCUUGGUGAAGACAUCGGCGAACUGGGACUCUGUCGGAACAUGCAGCACCUUGACCUCUCCAAGGGCCACACGGUCGCGCACGAAAUGCAAAUCAAUCUCCACAUGCUUGGUGCGCUGGUGCUGAACAGGGUUGGAUGAGAGAUACACGGCACUCACAUUAUCACAAUACACAAUGGUGGCUCGUUGAGGAGGGCGAUGAAGCUCAGCAAGAAGUUGGCGAAGCCAACAGGACUCGGCGACGCAGUUGGCAACUGCGCGGUACUCAGCCUCAGCACUGGAUCGGGACACAGUGUGUUGUCGCUUGGAUGACCAAGAGACGAGGUUAGAGCCAAGAAACACACAAAACCCGGAGGUGGAACGACGGGUGUCGGGGCAACCGGCCCAAUCAGCGUCACUGUAGGCGAGAAGAUCAUGCGAGGAAGAGCGGUAGAGCUGGAGCCCGUAGUGAGUGGUGCCACAGAGGUAGCGCAACACACGCUUGAGCAGCUGGUAGUGUCCCUCCAUCGGUGCAUGCAUAACAAGACAUAGCUGCUGCACUGCAUAGGAGAUGUCCGGGCGAGUGAGCGUGAGAUACUGGAGUGCACCAGCGAGGCGACGGUAGUGUGUGGGAUCACUGUAAGGGACACCGUCGGCACCAGAAAUCUUGCUGCUAGUGUCAACAGGAGUAGAGAUGGGCUUGCAGUUGAGCAUCUGGGCGCGGUCGAGUAUCUCAAGCGUGUACUGCUCCUGGGAGAGAAAGAGACCGGUGGUGGAGCGGUGGACGUUGAUCCCAAGAAAAUGGUGAAUGUCACCAAGAUCACUCAUAGAAAACUCGCCGGUGAGAGCGUGCACGAGCGACUCGAGGAGAGAGGUGGUGCUGGCGGUGAGAAUGAUGUCAUCAACAUACAAGAGUAGAUACGCUAGAGAGGUGCCGCGCUGGAGGAUGAAGAGCGAGGUGUCACACUUGGAAGACACAAAACCGAGGGAGUGCAGAAAACGGGUGAACCGGAGGAACCAAGUGCGAGGCGCCUGUUUAAGCCCAUAGAGGGACUUGUUCAGACGGCAAACAUGUGUGGGAGAGGUGGCAUCGACGAAACCGGAGGGUUGCUGGCAAUACACAACGCGGCAAGAUCACCAUGGAAAAAGGCAUUCUUGACAUCCAUUUGUCGAAUGGGCCAAGAUUUGGCGGUCGCAAUGCUGAGGACCACCCGGAUCGUGGCCGGCUUGACCACAGGACUGAAUGUCUCCCGGUAGUCCACACCCGGCUGUUGGGUGAAACCACGCACCUCCCAGCGUGCCUUGUAUCGCGCCAGAGAGCCGUCGGGAUGGAGCUUGUGACGGAAAAUCCACUUCCCGGUCACCACGUUGACACCUGCAGGACAAGGAACCAAAGACCACGUAUCAUUCCGAGUUAGCGCGUUAUACUCAUCGACCAUCACGGCAUGCCAGUGCGGGUCCUUAAGGGCUGAACGGUACGAGGAAGGGAUAGGGGAAGGUACGUCGGCAACAUGGAGAUCAAGGACUUGUUUGGGCAUGGCAUAGCCAGUUUUGCUCCUGGUACGCAUCGGGUGUGGGUUGCUGGGCGGGGAAACAGGGACGGCACGUGGUGGUAGCUGGGGUUUGGGAGAAGGCAGCGGGAGGCGUGGCGGCGUGGGACUGGGAAGGAAAGGAGACCUCACAGAACGCGAGUGCGAUGCGCGGGGCGAUCCCGAGAGAUGCGAUGGGGUCAAACCCCCUGGCGGUGAUCCCAAGGGAGGCACGGUGCGAGGCGUGAGUGGUGGGGAGUCGGGCGCAGAGGACGGGGAACACGCGGGAGACGUGGGCGGGGUAGGUGGUGCAUGGCUGGAGGGGCCCGCAGCUCGCGGCUGGUUGGCUGCAUGGCGGGCGGGUCUAGCGGCGGGACUGGGAGGGGAUGGUGGAGGCGCGGUGGUUGGGCCAGCUGGCAGUGCGGGAGGGGCGGGCUUGCCGGGCGGGAGAUCUGGCAGGGUGCAGCGGUACGAGGUACGGGGAACGUGGGGGUUAGGAUUUUCUGUGGCUACGAAUCCGGCGGAAACAGAGAAGGGAAAAACGCUUUCGUCAAAAGUGACGUGCCGGGAAACGAUAACCUUACGGGUGGCUAGGUCGAGACACCGGUAACCUUUCUGUUCGCGUGGAUAGCCAAGAAAAAUACAACGUGCGGAACGGGGCGAGAGCUUGUGUGGGGUUGUGGCGGAGAGGUUCGGGAAGCAGAGGCAUCCGAACGUCUGGAGGUGGUCGUAUGUAGGAUGGACACCAUAUAAAAGGAAAUAUGGGGUGAAGUGAUGAAUGACACGAGAGGGUUGGAUAUUGAGAAGCAUGGUGGCGGUGUGUAGGGCCUCAACCCAGAAGGGAGGUGGUAGGGCGGCUUGGAGGAGCAGCGUGCGGAUGACGUUGUUAGUGGUGCGAAUAUGGCGUUCCGCUUUCCCGUUUUGCGGAGAGGUGUGAGGGCAGGUGAAACGGAACACAACACCGUGGGAAGAAAAAUAAUCACGAAGAGACGUGGUGAGAAACUCGCCCCCGUUAUCGCAUUGCACACACCAGAUGAGUACAUCGAAUUGUGUAGAGAUAAACUUGAAGAAGCGAAGAAGGGUGUCACAUGUGUCAGACUUGGCGCGUAGAGGGAAAGUCCAUGAAAAAUGCGUGUAAUCAUCAACAAUAACCAGAUAGUACUUGUAGCCAGAGUAACUAACAACAGGGGAGGUCCAAAUAUCACAAUGGAUUAAUUGAAACGGGGCACAAGUAUAAGAGGUGGAUGUGGGAAAAGGUAGCCGAGUAUGUUUGCCCAUUUGACACGCAUCACACAAGUGCGAGGAACGAGCCUCAUUAUUACAUGCAGAAAGAAAAUCUGAAGGAAAAUGGGAAAACGUGGAGGAGCUAGGGUGCCCAAGCCGCCUAUGCCAGAGAUCAGUCGUGGAGAUGACGAAGGCAGUGGAGGUGGUAGCGCCAUUAUUGCCGGAGAAAGGAUAAAGGUCCCCGUCACUGUUGACCCUCAGGAGCAGCGCCUUGGUGGCUAGGUCCUUCACAGAAAAACCAUGAGGGUCAAAUUCCACAGAACAUAAAUUCUCACGGGUGAACUUGCAUACGGAAAUAAGAUUUUUGACAAUAUUGGGAGAAAGAAGGAUAUGGCGCAAAUAAAAGGGCUUGGGAGGGAGGUGAGCAGUACCAACAGCAAGGACGGGAAGGCGAGAACCAUUGCCAACGAUGAUGUGACGAGUAUAAGGAGCUAAAACAGAAUGAUAAGAGGACAAGGUACCUGGAUCCCCGGUGACAUGGGAGGCGGCGCCGGUGUCCAUGAUCCACUCGGCGUUGGCGGGGAAGGCGGAGCCAUAGCUGGGGGCAGCAUGGUACAUGGCCGCCGCGUCCCAGCCGGGAGGAGCGCUGUAGGGUGCAGGAGCCGGGGGUGGCGGGGCGUGGCUCAACAGGAGCGGAUACGCCUGGUGCGGCGCGCCGGGGCGGGGCCGAGGACGCCGGCAGAAUUGGGAGGGAUCCAGGGCGCGCGUGGGGGAGGAAACGGUAGUCCCAUCGGCGCGAAGUACCCAAGCCAGGGCUGGGCGCCGCGGCCGGCAGGAGCGUCACCACGCCCACGCCCAUGGCCGCGCCCACGGCCUCCACGCUGGGCGCGCCCUGCUCCAAGUUGGCCACCGCGCCCAUUGCCACCGUUGGGGGCGCGAUCGCCACCACGGUCGCCACGGUCACCGCGGUCGCCGCCGCGAGGACCGCCGCGAUCUCCAGCGCGGUCACCGCGCUCAUCAUGCUGGACAGCAAGGACCUGCGCCCCCUUGGCGUGCGCGCGCUUCUCCAUGGAGAGCUCGGCGAGGAUGAGCCGAGACCGCGCCUGGUUGAACAUCGGGAGGGGCACGAUCGACUAGAUGAUGGCCGCCUGCAUCGCAAACUUGGGCCCGAGGCCGUCGAGCAUCUGCAGAGUCAGGGUGCGGUCGGUGACUGGCUCCCGGACAUCAGCAAGAGCAGCGGCGAGGCCCUGAAGGCGACGGCAGUAGUCGUUGACGCUGGGAUCGCCGCGGAUGGUCGACCGGAACUCUUGGCCCAGAUGCAUGGCCUGCUCCGCCUCGUUGUCCAGGAAGUACUCGUGGAGCCGGGACCAGAUGAUGAAGGCAGACGAGCCGGCCGACGCGACCACGUCGAGAAGGUCCCCCUCGAUGGUGGAGAAGAACCAGAGGACGACGAUGUUGUCGUCAUCGCACCAGUCGGGAUCGCCCAUCCGACGAGCCGAGACAGCCCGCAUGUGGUCCUCCGUGUGAUAACGCGCGAGCAGCAGGGUGAUGUAGUUGCGCCAGCGGGCGAAGUUGGCCCCGUUGAGGGCGAGCUUGAAGUCGAUCACGCCGGCGACGCUAGUGGGAAGAGGUGGUUUGGGGUUGGAGGAGGACGGCAGGGUCACGGUGUUGGCAGUGGUGUUGGGAGGGAGGGUGGAAAGAGGAAGACCGGUGGAGUCGGAGAUGUCGACGGAGCCAGAGGCAUCGACGGUGGCUGGAGCGCGAGGGCGCAGGUCUACGGCAGGAAGGGUGGCGGCGGCGGCGGCUGCGGCGGCGGCGGCGGCUUGAUCGGCAUCAGCCUCGCGUGGAGAGGAGGGAGGAGUAGUCAUGGCUCUGAUUACCAAACAGGAUAAUGAAUCUCACGUGAUGUAUUGCCUUAGUCAGAGCCGGUUACAUAUACACGGUGCUGCCCUACAUGCAGGGCAUGAUUACAGGAGAUGGCGCUAGACUAGGAAGGCUCCUGGAGACUAGAACUAAUAGUUACAACAUCAACAAGAUAUACAUCACAGGUUUACAAGAGUAACGCGACAGUUCAACAGAAUAGGCGGCAUAGAGGAGAAAUGAUACAGUGUCAUAAACCGCUUUCACAUCCGCAACCGUCCCCGUGGCCUCCCCUUCGCGAAGAAGCGAUCUUUCCUUCCAGCAACCGGUCUUGGAGGAGAAGACGUGCAUGAUGUAAGGCGAGGGUGGCCAUUCCAUCGCGGACACCGACUCAUCAUCACCACAAAUGUGCAUACAGAUAUGCCUCGUCGGAAGCUUGAAGGAAAUGUUAGGGAUCAAGAACACCUCGUAGUACGGCGACAGGGCCGGAUCGUACGCGAGGUAGCGAUUCUCGCUGCUGCAACGUGUGCAGCCUGCCGCCGUGCACGAGGGCGGCAGAGGGGGCAGACGCACCCACUGCGGCGUGGCGGGGUUGACCACGUGAUAGCACAUCAGGAGGAGGCCGUUGCAGCAGUCCAUGAUCGGGAAAACGUCGUUGAGCAGCCAGUCCAGGUAGUCGAGCUUACCGGUGACCCUGCGGCCUGUGGCGGGGCCGGAGAAAAGCAUGGGUAUGUUAUAGGGACAGGUCUCGUAGAAGAUGGCGUCGAGCAUGAGCGGGAGCAGAUCCGGGCGGAGCAGGCGGUUGGCGUCGACGACGGCGCGCCACCCCUUGCACACGCAGCGGCACGCGGCCAGGCUGCGCGGCGCGAGGCGGCGGAGGACCUCCGCGAGGACGUCCUGGGGCGCCAGAUCCAUGCCGACCGUCGGGCGGUUGCUUGCUUGCUAGUACAUGCGGUGUGUGGAGGGGGCUGGCGGCCGGGACGGGGUGGUUAGGGGCUGAGAGCAUCUCCAACAGGUGCCCAACGCGCCGCACGGUAAAAGCGGAUUUGGCGCGCGCCUAUCGUCUGGUUUGGCGCGGCGCGCAGCGUUUGCUUCAGCAGCCGCGCUGAAAAGCCCCGCGCGCGCAGCUCCAGCAGGCGCGGUAAAAUGCAAUGCGCGCUCAUUCUACAAUAUUUUUUAAAUUAAAAUUACAUAGAUAAAAAAACGAUACAAAGAUAUUUUACAUCGGUGCAACUACUACGGCAUAGAUAGAUAGAUAGUUCGACAUACAUAGAUAGAUAGAUACUACUACGGCAUAGAUAGAUAGAUAGAUAGAAACUACUACGGCAUACAUAGAUAGAAAACUACUCCAAGUCGCUAUCAUCACCAUCAUCACUCUCGUCGGUGUCGUCCGAGGUUGAGAGCCAUAUGUCGUCCCAACGUUCAUCGUCCGAGGUGAAGAUGACCUCCCACCUGCGGAGACGAUGUCGCACUGCUCGUUCGCCACUGCCUUCCGCUGACGCCGGUCUGCCCGCUCCGAGCGGCGCCUUGCCGUCCUCUCCGCCCAGUAGGCACGCUCGGCGUCGACGUCCUCUGGGUGGCGACAGCGCCACUCCGCCAUGGCUCGCUCGUCCUCGUCGGCGACGAGGAGACGGCGCUGCCGCCGAGAGUGGUCGGCACGGUCCAUGUCCGUGAUGAGACGCGGCGGAGGGGCGAGGCGCUGCGCCUCCUCGCGCGUGAAGACGUUCCGGAAAUUCAUCUGCGACCGGGGCCUCUCCAAGCGCCACGCCGCCGCGUCGUACGCGCGAGCAGCCUCGCGCGCGCUCCGGAAUGUCCCGAGGCCGAGCCGGACGUCGCCGGACCGUAUCUCGGCGGAGUACCAGCCGUUGGGGCGCUUGCGGACGCCGCGAAAGCCCGAAGCACCCCGACGGUGCGGCGGCAUGGUGGCGCGGUGGUAGCGCAGAAAGCGGCGAAGCGGCGAGGUUACGAGAAGGAGGGCGCGUGGCUGUUCCGUGCGCGUGGCGAAGCGUGGGACUUUAUAGGCGCGCGUGAAGCGGCGCGUCAAAUCUACCGCGCCGUGUGCCGCUUUCUCCCGCGCGCGCGCAAACGCUUCCCACGCACGGUAACUUCCCGCCACCGCUGGAGCGCGCGGAAUCAACCGGCGCGCGAAAAACUGCUUUUACUGCGCGGGCGCGCGUUUUGGCGUGCCUGUUGGAGAUGCUCUGAGGGAGGAGAGAUGCCGCGGCCGGCGAGGGGCGGAUCUGGGAGAUUGGAUGGCCGCCGGCGCCCUGAAAAAUUGGUUCGAAGGAAGGAUUGAGCACCAGCUAGCAGAUCUCCAAACAUUUAAUUCAUCGAAUUUAUUAUACUCCUGGACGCGACCACCCCACCCACGCAUCCAUUUCCAGCUAGGAGCUCCAGCCGAUUGUUGACAAAAGUUUGGCUUUGCGUGCAGCCACGGUGAACGAGGUGGGGAGUGGAGGCGCCGCUAGAGACCACGCUCUAGAGCUUGCCGGCCUCCCACAGUGCCAGCCGAUCCUUGCACGUACGCACAGACCCAGCGUGUCACUCCCGUCCCGUGUGCGUGCGUCCAGACUAGAGUAUAUCGAUCAAAUCGAUCACCAUGGCUCGCGUACUUGCCUAGUACGUAUCUCCGAAGGAAAACAUCCAGCUGGUACGUACUCCACCAAGAAUCAACCAGCCUGCCUGUCUGUCUACUUGCCAAGUCAGCUCAUAGUGCGUCUGUUUUUGCUGCUAAAAGCAUUGCGGAGUGACACUCAGAGCUCGGCGAGGUAGACACGGAACGGACCUUAUCGGCUCUGUCGUGUACCGCAUGACCGGUGUACCCCACGCGCCGUGCCGCUGCCCCGGCUUCGACAGGACAAGAAGGUCACCACCGCGACAAGACGGCCGUCGGGAUUCACCGCAGGCUUGGAGCGUAUGAGAGCAUCCAGUGUGUCAAAUUUGCUGCCUCUAAGGACUCUCUCCACCAAGAGGCAGCCUCCACACAUUGUAUUGUAUCCACCAAAAAUAUGUUAGAGUCGCCUACAACGUUAGAGGCAGCCUCCAUUGAUUAAACAAUCCAAAGGGCCUCUCUUGUCAUUGUACGUUGUUUGUGCUAGCUCUUGUAGUUGUGGAGAAAAGCUAGGAACGGUUGUGAACACCUCUUCUUUCAACACAAGUUUACGCGUUCUAUAUGGUCCGUCAUUUAAAUAGCAUUCAAUUUGUAUCCGCCCACAAGUGUUGCCAAUAUAUAUGGUCACUGAUUUGACGGGAUACCAAAUACUUCUAGUACGCUAAUACGAGUGGGAGCGUCUGCCAUAUUAUGGUCGCUUUGGCUAUGUGGAAACGAUUGUGUCUUUAAUGGCAAAAACUUUUCUCAUGUGCAGGUUAUUUAACGUUGUACACACUGGCUUCGUAUAUGGUCUAUGCUACAAACGAAUGGAGUAUCAAUUGUUGUUCAAGGCGAUGUGUCUGCGGUUGGGACGGGUGGCCAGGGAGGUUUUUACCCAACAUGGGUGGCAACGUAAUCUCCGGAUCGGUCCACCUCCUUAGUCGACAUUGGCAUAGUUUCAGACUCAUGGCUUUACUUUUGCUAGCUUGUCGUUUUUUUCAUAUAUAUUUUGUUAGACUGUUCGUUUCAGGCUGUAUGCAUCUUAGCUAUGCAGAGGCCGGUGUCUCUCAUUAUGCUUUUGUAUCCACUUGAUGCUACAUUCUGAAUUAAUAAAAGCGCCCUUCUAUCAAAAAAGAAGAAGUUGUGAAGAAAUUGUAUUUUAUUUCUGUUGUGGGGGCCAUCUUAGAGGCUGAGUGUUCUGCUAUACACUACAGGGAUUUUAGCUAUGGCUGGAGACAGACGUGUGGGGCCCAUAAUAGAGGCAAUGAUGCCUCUACACACUGUUGAUGCCCUGAAUUUGGUGCGGGAGCGCGUCUGCAGAGCAAGCCAGGUGACCAUGGCCCAUGGGACCCAUGUGCAGGUAGGUGACUCACCCGAUCCCGUCCUUUCCGAGGCCAUGUACGAAUCCUCCGUUUGGAUACGACCUAAAGGUCAAAAACAAAUGGGAUCGGUGAGGCAAAUGUAUGGACUUCAGGAAUUUAAACAUCAGGGUUCAUUUGCGUUGGGCUCUACAUCCUCAGGGCUUAAAACAGACUUCACUCCUUUCGCUUGCAUCGCGCUUGCCACACAGGAGAGACGCCCACUUCCGCUUGCACUGCACUUGCCACACAGGAGAGACUCCCAACACCUGAGCCUCUGACCACAAUGUGACUGUCCCGCACAACGAACCCACAUCCUCCUCACCAGCCAUUGCCGUCAAACACCCCAUCAGUGUUUAUUUUAAGGACCUCCCCUGUUGGUGCCCGUAGAUACGCAGUCCUGAUACUACAGUGUUUGUGUGAGAGCUGUAUUAUUUUUGCUAAAUGACCCUUUAAAAAACUUGAACCCUUCACUGACCCUUAAAAAUCCUGGUCAAAUGUGAAUACAUGCCAAUUUAUUUGGCGUCAUUGACUUUUGAUACGUCACAUCGACUUCCAAUGUGGAUUUGGUGGCGCCAAAUAAUUAAACGCUAUUACAUGUAUUAAAAACACCAAAUAAAUUGGGGUCUAUCUCGAAGGUCAAAUUUCGAAAUCAGUUUUUUUGGGCCUACGUCACUAGCAACUCCAAUCUGUUUUUUUUCUCAGAGGUCGAUGUGACGUAUCAAAAGUCCUGACAAGUGCACUAUGCUUGUGCUUGCGUCCNNNNNNNNNNNNNNNNNNNNNNNNNNNNNNNNNNNNNNNNNNNNNNNNNNNNNNNNNNNNNNNNNNNNNNNNNNNNNNNNNNNNNNNNNNNNNNNNNNNNNNNNNNNNNNNNNNNNNNNNNNNNNNNNNNNNNNNNNNNNNNNNNNNNNNNNNNNNNNNNNNNNNNNNNNNNNNNNNNNNNNNNNNNNNNNNNNNNNNNNNNNNNNNNNNNNNNNNNNNNNNNNNNNNNNNNNNNNNNNNNNNNNNNNNNNNNNNNNNNNNNNNNNNNNNNNNNNNNNNNNNNNNNNNNNNNNNNNNNNNNNNNNNNNNNNNNNNNNNNNNNNNNNNUGCACUCAAUCUACCUGUGGCAAUGUAUUUAUUUUCUGAUGAGGUGCUAAGCGCAUUAAAGAGUUUAGCAACUAAAAUCUCCAAUGCAUAGGUGCAUAACUUGUUGUAGUUAAGUUCCCUUUAUUUAAUUAUUUAGCAACUAAACUCUUCUAUGCAUUGGUGAUCUUUCUUCGUUUAAGUGUUUUGCUAGGUUCAUGUGCGUGACGUUGUUUCUUCCCAGGGUCACAGGCCUGCUCUCUCUCCUUAAUUGCAUUUUCAUGUCAUUUUUUUUGCUUAUGUGGCAAUGAUUAGCAAUUGUACACCAUGAAGAAAGGGCCUAAUGCACAUGAGUUGUCAAUGAGCCUACAAUUUCUACUUGGCAAUAGAGGUUGCAGUCCACAUGCAGACAGUGACUACAAUUAUACUGGCUCAUUUCAUUCAGUUUUUGAGACGGAAACUUAAUUAAGAAGCAUCCUUUCGUGCCCAAUAGAAACGGUAAGUAUAUGCCCCCGCCAAUAUUGGCGACAUAUGUACUAAAACAAAAGAAGCGCUAUUGACACAAAAAUGUUGUUUGUGCAUGCACCAAAGAGGAAAAAAAAA